CACCUUUUGCUCAGACAGAGAAAACAAUAAUCAUUAAUUAGCGGCAGCUAGAAUCCUAUAAUCUAAUAUAUAUAUAUAAUUUUAUCAGCUCUGGGAAAUGAAGAGGCGAACGAUGCCGUUGAGAGUUGCGACCAAGCCUGCUCUAGCUUCUGCAGCGUGCAUGUUGGCAGCGCCACCGUGGUUGCUUAAGCAAAUGCAUCCAACUAGAUCGUCCUUGUGCUGAAUAAUUGGAUAUCGUAUCCACUUAAAGCUGCCUUGUGUAGUACGUCUUUGUGUCUCUCUUUAUAUUCCAAUAAGGUCGGUGAUCUUGAUGCCACACACUCAGAUGUGUGUUCAUCUCCAGAUACUACUCCAUGCUACCUGCCCUUUGUGUUUUGUUCAAUAACUGGGUAUCAUAUCCCAACCAGUAUGCCGUCUGUUUUGUGUUUGUUUCCUUCUAGUUCCAAAAGGGUCAUCAUGAUGUUACCUUCUUUCAAUAUGGUGCUUUGCAUGACUACUAUUGUAUGGUACCAUCUUGUGGCCAAUAAGUACAUCUUAUCCUAUGACCUUUGCUAUGACCCUUUGCAAAUAAGUAGAAGAUUGUUAUAAGCGUCAAUACUCCUUAUAAAUUGAUCGCUGCUGUGAGUUCCCUUUCAGCUUAUCGUAGGCAUACAUUAUUGCUAGCACGGUAAAGCCAAUCAACACGAAUGAUGAAGUAAAUGUAGCGGUACUUCUGUAUACCAACACCCUUACUUAAAUGUACCGGUGUCAUUCCCUACUGGCACAUAUAUUCUUAUAUGCUAGCCAGCUUGUAAAAUUAACCAAUUAAAAUAAUUAAUUCAAGAUAGAAAUAACUUAUCGGCUUCUCGAAGCAUGUGUAAUAUGAAUCGCUUCAUCUAUAUUGCUUUCAGGAUUUUGGGUAACUAAAUUUAACAUUUGCACAUACAAAUGUUAAAGUACAAAUGUUAAAUCUAGUUACCCAAGCAGAAUAUGAAUAUACUCUAUAGUAUAUAUAUACUAUAUAAAUCUAGUUAACAUUUAGUCUAAAUGUUAAAUCUAGUUACCUAAAAUCCUGAAAGCAAAAUGUAUAAAUAUAUAUCUUUUAAGGCAGUAUAAGCUUCGAUUCCUAUUGCUGCUCUGUUAAAUCUCAUCUUUCGUUGUGGCCCAACACUCUAGUAUGUAUGUUGCACCAAGCUUCCUUGAGCCGCUCUGCCCUCUGAUUUUGCUGCGUAGGGGAAUCUUUAUCAGGUUGGGCUGCUUCCAGUCAUACGAUGUGUGGCUUCAUAUCUUCUACAAGUUAGACAGGAAACCCGCGUUCUGGAAGAUUCUGCAACGUGCACGUUGGCGCUGCCACCGUGGUUGCUUAAGCAAAUGCAUCCAACUGAAUCGUCCUUGUGCUAAAUAAUUGGAUAUCGUAUCCACUGCUUAAAGCUGCCAUGUUUAGUACAUCUUUGUUUUUCUCUCUUUAUAUUCCAAUAAGGUCGGUGAUCUUGAUGCCACACACUCAGAUGUGUGUUCAUCUUCGGAUACUACUCCAUGCUACCUGCCCUUUGUGUUUUGUUCAAUAACUGGGUAUCAUAUCCUAGUCAGUGUGCCAUCUGUUUUGUGUUUGUUUCCUUCUAGUUCCAAAGGGGUUAUCAUGAUGUUACCUUCUUUUGAGGUGUCUAUGACUUUGUUAAUAUCAAUAUUAACCAAUUCAAUCUAUCUUAACUAUUUGUAAGGGGUAUGAUGUAUGCAUGAUUAUAACAAUGAUUGCGCAUACAAUCACUGCCAAAGAAACGGUCAAUACCAUAAAGACAUAUUACAGACAAUUCUCAUAAUUUAUAAUGAAUAUACAUAUUCACUACUGCAGAGACUGUCAUUUGUAUCAGCUCAUACGUGCCAGGGCAAAGGUCACCCUUGCAUUAAAAGUACAUUUGCACGGUAAAGAUAACCAACACGAAUAAUGAAGUAAACAUGCCGGUGCUUUUGUACACCAACACGCUUACUUAAAUGUACUGGUGUCAUUCCUCACCGGUAGCCGGCUUGAAAAUUAACCAAUUAGAACAAUUAUUUAUUGUAUCGGUGUGAAUUUUGACCUAUUGGAAUAUGAAUUUGACCGUUACUGCAUUCGUCAAGACUCAAGAGAGAAAUAACUGAUCGGCUUCUUAGAGCGUGUGCAAUGUGAAAUCAAGGACUGGAUGGAAGUUGAAGCGCUAGCUUCAUCUUCCGCUGCAUGUUAAUUGCUUGGAUAAGAAGUUGUAGCCGCGUAUAUAAAUAGUCCCGCUGAUGCUGUGCUCCGAAGUCUAUACUAUAUAUGCGAAAACUAGAUUGCUUUCAGGAUUUUGGGUAACUAAAUUUAACAUUUGUACAUAAAAAUGUUAGUUUACGAAUGUUAAAUCUAGUUACCCAAGCAGAACAAGAAGAUAGUAUAUACUAUAUACUAUGUAAAUCAAGUUAACAUUUAGUCUAAAUGUUAUAUCUACUUACCCAAAAUCUUGAAAGCAAAGAAAGAAUAAGUAUAUAUCUUUUGUUGGAAAAUUGGUCCACGGAGAGUGGCCUCGUUCGUUUCACCGGGAUGGAAUUCCAGUCAGGAUUACUUCCAAGUCCGGUUUAAGUGAUUCCACCCAUGUCACUCAAUUCGGCUAGGAUUCAUUCCAGGGGUGAGGAGGUAUGGUUUCAAUCCGGGCCAUCUAAUGUAGAAGGAUUCCAAUCCAGGCCGGUUUUCGUUCUAGGCUAGACUAAAACGAACAACACUUUCAAUGCAAGUCUGGUUUCAAACCGGGCCACUUCAAACCACCCGGAAUGGACCUCAUUCCGGGCCAAUCCGGUGAUAACAAACGAGGCCUUAAUGGAAUCCCAAAGCAAGAGUUCAGUGGCAUUCUAUAGUCCCAUGCUGCUAGUUUGAGUUGGUCGAAGCCAACUUAAAUAGGAGAGCUCUCUCACUUCUCUAAAAAUGUAACUGAAGGAGAGAAGGGGGCUUGGGUUACACAACGCACGCACGCACGCAUAUUUGCAUUCUUUUCGCGUAACCGACCGCGUGACUUGAAACUUGCGACGUAGCGUGCUGCUAAGUCAAGUUGAUAUAACCUUUUUGCCGUUUGCGUGUAAUCUUUUGACAACGGUCAUUGGAGGUGAUAAGCACGCAGUCAAUACCUUAAUCCUGAGUUAAUAGGGCGGUUACUACUGCCAAUUAGUGCAGCAAUUUUGUAGGGGAAACGGUUAGCAGAGGGCUACCGUCUUCUCUAUAAGAAGUUUUGGAGACGUUCAGGAACACACAUGUACAUGUGAGAGACCCACGGAUUCCUUCCCUUCUCCCUUUUCCAUCUGGUGAAGUGUGCUAUGGUACUGAGCUGCUGGAUCUCGCCGGCUCUUCUCCUUGGCGUGCACCGAGGAGGAGGGUGAGCGGUAUCUCUGAGCUAUUGCCGUCAGGAAGCCUGCACGAGGGACAACAAUAAAGUUUUUAGGUAGCGCCUGCCUAAUCUUCGAUCUGCACUGCAACGUGUAACCCUGCAGCAACUCUACACGAGGACGGAGCACUAAUCUGUAAGUCCUAGAUUGGUUUCUUACAUAGUUGUAGGUUACACAAGAUCUAGAAUGGUUACAUACCAAUUAUUAUGGGUUACAUGAUGUUUUGUACGGUUUCGUCUAUUUUGCAUAUGCUAUUUUUUCUAUUUUGCAUAUGCUAUUUUUACAUACCGUUUACAUGCAUAUGUUAAUGGUUACACCUAGCUAUUUGAAUCUAGAAUUGGGUUACAUAGCAGUAGCAAUGAGUUACGUAAUAUGCCUCACGUUUAUAUCUGGUAGAAUUUAACACGUAUCUCCAACAUAUUUUGAGGCAGUAUAAAUUUCAAUUCCUUUUGCUGCUCUGUUAAAUCCCGUCUUUCGUUGUGGCCCAACACUCUAGUAUGCAUGUAGCACCAAGCUUGUUUGAGCCGCUUUGUGCUUUGAUUUUGCUGCGUAGGGGAAUCUGUAUCAGGUUGGACUGUUUCUUUGUCUUGCGAUGUAUAGCUUCAUAUCUUCUAGAGGUUAGACAGCAAAACCCGCAUUCUCUUAAGGCAACAACCCGAAGAAUCUGCAGCGCCUCUGAUAUAUCACUGCUGCAGAAACGAUCUUUAGUACUGAUCUCCAACCCUCUUUAGUAUCGGUUGGGCAACCAGUACCACUAUGUCGGUACUAAAGGGAGUUCUCUAGAAUCGGAUCAAAUAACCGGUACUAAAAGGGCUCCUUUACUACCGGUUGGUAACAACAAUAGGUAGUGACUUUUUUGCACCCAAAAAAUUAAAGAAUAACAGCCGGGAGGCUCGCACACACACGCAUCAUGAGUAAUAUGCGCGUGCAUGGUUUGUGGGAUUUCAACCCACGACCAAGCUAUAAGAACGUAGUUACAACAAAUCAAACACUUAGACAUUUUAGAGCAUCCCAAAUAACUACAAAUUCUAUAGUUUACCAUAUACCAUAAAAUAUUAGUUAAAAUAAGAGCAUACACAUGUCGGAAGAGUCCCAAUGCACCGGUUGAGGAUCAGACCAGGCACUUUGAAUGCACAUGCCAUAAGAUAAUUCUGCAGGACAAUGAUUGCAAUAAUGGACCAUCGAGAAGAUAGGGGCGAUGGGGUUGCCUCAUCAAUUAUCACUUGGCGCAACAAGACCAGCAAAGUCUUUAUCGACAGGGGUGGAUCAAGGGGUGGGGCAGGCAGAGCUCCAGUCCUCCUACCGCCGCUCGAACAAUGGAGCCCCCUUAGCCCCUCCAUAAAUUUUUAGGUAGAAGAAAAAAGAAGAGAAGGGAAGCAAGGGGAAGAAGAGGGAGCCCCUACUAAGUAGGUCGCCAUCGUGCUUCCCAACGCAUGAUCGCCGCACCGCAUCCAUUCCUCUACAAGCCUUCAGCGUCUCUCCCGCCGCUACCUCUGAACCAUGUGCAGCUAUAGACCCAACUAGUGUGUUGUCGCCCAUCUCAGUCCCAACAGAGCGGCGGCGGCUGCCAACACAAAUCUCCCUCCGCCUCUUCUUCACGGUCGAUGGCCGCCACAAGCAUAAACCUCGCCUUCGCAUCCAAGCAAAAGGGUCGUUGGGGUGCCUUCUUGCAUCACUUCUCAGCCUCCUUCACUUGCGGCCAGCGAAGAACUGCGCCACCACCUCGGGUGCGUGCCACCACUCCAGGGCCGCUACCCCAUGCCUGCGGCCGCCACCGGCCACCACGCGUGUGCAACCGCGUUGCACCGCUUCCCUGCUUUGUGCCACCACUACUGCUGUACCACCAGCUCCACCACCUUGGGAUGGUCGCCAGGGUGACUGAUUGGUGGAUUAUUACUAAAAAUAAGUUCCUUAUUAUCUGCAACUACUAUUAACUCAGAGAUACAUGCGUCUUUUCCUUCUCCUGCUAAUAGGUCCUAAAAUAUCUAGGAUGCUUUAUAUUUCUGGACAGAGGAAGUAUUUGAAUAAAAUGAACCAAUUUAAAAAAAAUGUGUUGUACACUACUACAGAAAGACCUAUCAGUGUCAAACCCAAAAAUGUCGUCACCGCCAGUUUUAGGCAUCGUUGGUGAAAGGUUGGCGGUGAUGGGCAUCCCCUUCAACAACGGCACUGGAGCCGACGGUGAUUGACAUUAGAAAACAAAAAAGGGAACCCCACCUAGCCACCCCUGCAACCCAGCCGGCCGUGCCUCCCCUCAUGCCCACCACCUCGCCUCCCCCGUGACCCCCCGCCGGCGCCCUUGUGCCUAGCCCCCUCGCCUGCCCGGCCGGCCACCCUCGUCAUGAGAGAGAGAGGUGCAUGUUGUAUAAUUGCGUGAAUUUUUGAAUGUUUAAUUUUAUGUAAGUUCCAUGUAAUAAAUUGUACAAGUUUUAUUGUAUAUAUGAAUUCCAUAUAUAUAUAUUUAUAAUUUAAUGUAUGGUUUCAUGUGUAUAUUUCAAUCAUGUGUAUAAUUAGUAGAUUGCCGAUUUUCUUUUUCUACUAGACAAGGGUUGAUGUAUAAUUACGUGUAUAUGUUUAUUGUAUGGGCAAUUAGGACAAGUUUUGUAUAAAUUUCUUUUAUUUCAUGGUUGUUGUAUGGUUUCAUGUAUAUACAUUUAUUGUACUACUUGAGACAAUUUUAAUUUAAUAUUUCUAUGAUUACAUGUGUGUAUAACUAAUUGUAUUAUUAGUUAAGAUGGGAGCCAAAGAGGAUGAAAGGUAUAUAAUAGAGUAGAUUAUUGCUGGCGGUAGUGGCUCAAACGUUGCAAGAACCUACACCGAGGGUGAGGGUAGCUAGGUGGACAUGUACCUCAACAUGUCCAGUGAUGGCAAUGACGAUGAGGAGCACGAGCAUGACGUCUAUGAUAAUGCGGAACAAGACAUUGCAGAAUUGGAAGGUUCUAAUGAGGUGUGCUUCAUGUUGACGAUCUAGUUGGCUUUUUUUCUUUGGUCACACCUUAGUUACCAUAGAACUUCGUCUCGGGAGAAGAUUGGUGGUGCUAUGGUGAUUGGAAUUUUAUUGCCUCCAAAUUUGAUUUCCAUCGAAUCAUAUCCCUUGUAUUUAUCUUCUUUUUAUUUGUGAGAGCAUCUUCUUUAUGCUUGCAAAACAAUUCAAGUGCACAUACUACCCCUAGGGUGAUGAUUGGGAGUAGAAACAAUUGCCAACAAAACAACACCACAUCCUAAGAUUCUUAACUUGUGGCAUAAUUAAUCUAGUGAAAAGAAAGAUAAAAACCUAAUGGGUGUACGUGAGUGCAAUGUGUAUAUGCAUAUGAGUGGAAGGCAUAUAAGCAAAGACAAUAUUUACACAUAGUUCUAAACACGAUGUUUACAGCUAGGUUGCUGAAUUUCUCCAUAGCUAUAGAGAUUAAUUAACCAAGGUCAAAACACGAUGUCUAUCCCAAGAUCAGUAAUUCUUUAUAGCACAAGAAAAAGAAAGCGCAUUGCAAAGUUUAUAAACCAACCAAUACAGCAUGAAAACAAGAUGAAUAGCUAGCAAGGUUUAUUAAAUUGAAUGAUGACGGUCUGCAAGCAAGUUUGAACACCAUCUUUACACAAGAUUGCAAAUGGAAAAUGCCCAUAUGAAGCACUAACAUGGAUAUGAAAUCAUUCAUCAUAAAGCGUAAAGAACAACCAAGUAGUUUUUAAUGGCAUAUACAUGUAUAAUAUAGUUUAGGUGCUAAAAUUGAUAUUCACAGCUAUUUUGGGCUCCAAUUCGCGUCCAAACCAACCUAGCCCACAGACCACACCCGGCCGGCCAGCUCAUCGGCCCAUCUAGUCACUGAUCCUUCCACCACCACACUCAGCCCAUCAGUCGGUCAGGUCCCGAGCUCCUGCCUGACCUAGUCCGCUACCGCCGCCAGGCGCCAAGCACAGCCGUACGCACUGCACCGCCCCCGUCCACCCAUGUCCGCUGCGCGGCAAAGCCGCGCCCCCCAGCCCCCGCGGUGAGAUCUCGACGCCCGCUGCCGCCAGACCCCAUUAGGCCUCCACCGGCAAGUCCACCCACAGUCCCACACGACCUAGUCCGCUNNNNNNNNNNNNNNNNNNNNNNNNNNNNNNNNNNNNNNNNNNNNNNNNNNNNNNNNNNNNNNNNNNNNNNNNNNNNNNNNNNNNNNNNNNNNNNNNNNNNNNNNNNNNNNNNNNNNNNNNNNNNNNNNNNNNNNNNNNNNNNNNNNNNNNNNNNNNNNNNNNNNNNNNNNNNNNNNNNNNNNNNNNNNNNNNNNNNNNNNNNNNNNNNNNNNNNNNNNNNNNNNNNNNNNNNNNNNNNNNNNNNNNNNNNNNNNNNNNNNNNNNNNNNNNNNNCCCCCCCUCCACCAGGACUGCUUGUUGGCCCCCACCGCGAGGUAAUCAAAAUGGACGGCUCAAUCACUCAAUCUGUUGACAUGAUGCACACGGUUGCAAAAAUAGAUGUGUCAAAAUAGAUAUAUUGCUAAUUGCUAUAGAUGCAUACGGUUGACAUGAAGAAGUUAAAAAUGACAUUUGGUUCCUUGUAGGCAGUCAAAAAUGAAGUCAAAAAAUAUUGAUCUGAAAUCAAUGUGGGAAAGGGCUACGAAGACACACAGAUUCCCUUGUGAACUUUUUAUGUCAUUCGUCUAAAUAUUUUUUUGCAAUGGGCAUACCCUACUCUGAAAUCCUGGGUCUGCCACUGAUGAUGAUGGUCUAAACAUAAAACAAGCCAAGAUUAAUUAGCCACAACUGAAAUUAAACAAAGGUUAAUGUCAUUGACCCUAGCUCUAUCCUAGCUUUUACAAAAGUCCCGGCACAUAUAGUGGUUGGGCCCACUCUCUCUGCUUCCCUCUCUGCUGCAUGCAUGCACACGAGCAACGGGAGGCCCCACAAAGCCCAGAAGGGUUCGGCUGAACCCGGCCGAUCCAAUCUGAGCACCACUCCCUCCCAGCCUUCGCGCAGAUGCUCCUCCAACAUUCCUUGACCCCUCCCUCAGCGUCCCAUUGGGUUUAACAUUGCAGGAGAGGAGUCCCUUUUUUAAAAUCUCAACCACCUCCUCUCCUCAUUCACUCCACUCUCAUCUCCAUCAAACUCACCAAGAUCCACAUCGGAAAUCCCUGCUUACCACCAUGGCUGGCAAAGCCCUCGUCCCUUUCACCAACUUGGGCUUAACCAUUGAUCUCGAUGGGGAAAUCACUCCGGAAAUAGGGCAGUGACCCAGAGCAAAGGUGAUGCCAGAGUGUAGAUAGCAGUUAGCAUGCCAAAUUGUGAACCGCAAGCGCUCGGAUUAGUUGUUUUUUUUCCCUUAGAGAUUCCCCCAAGGUUUAUCAAUCCAUGGAACAAGGGAUUUGCACAUUUCACUAAGCAUUAAUCAAUGUAAUUGAAAGCUUUUUGAAUAAGAUAUGAUUAUGCUAACAAAGGAACUAAGCAAUCUAGAUUAAGAUGGAUAGAGAGUAAAGGUUGUGAACAAGAUAGAUUAAACGCUUAUAGAUGCAAUCACCAUGCAUGAAUGAAUUAGAUCUAGGUGUUAUUGUGAGUGGUUGUGAACCAUACCCCAACACUUUCCCACCCGCAACAUUGUCACUACAUGUGGGUACUCAACUAUCGAAACAUAAGAACACAUCAAGAUGAUCAUUCUAGGUAAGCAAAUAAGCAACCCAAAGUAGCGCUGGCCAGCCUUUUCAUGAAAGAGCAUCAUCAAGAUAAGAUUGAUAACAAAAUAGAUCUCAACCAAAGGUUCAGCGAUUACAAAUCAAGAUCUCCGUAUAACCCCGAUGACAAAUAGAGGUAUUACCCCCAUGAUCUUACACAUGUUGAUGAAUUUUAGGGUAAAGGACGCCCUGUAGAUCAACUGGACCAAAGAUGAUGAUGAACAGGGGCAGGGAAGGCCCAGGCUGAUCAGCCUGGGCACUUUUGAGCCGAUCAGCUUAGGGAGUUUCCUCCUCCCCUGGUGCUCCUCUUCGCGUGGCCUCCUCUGGAUCCAAUCUUCUCUUCAUUUCUCCUACUUGUGGUGGCAAUGGAUGGUGUUUGCAUGGUGAUUUCCUCUUCUCCCCAACUCUCCCUCCUUGAAGUCCAUGAGGGGGUAUUAAUAGUCUCCAAUAUGCGGCAGCUCUGGGUCAAUGUCGGUGAAAAAACCCUAGAGAUCAUCGUACACUUCACGCUGAGGAAACAAGAGGUCGACCGAGCCCUGGGAUAGACCAAGAGGAUCAGCCUAGAGGGUCCCAGGCCAAUCGGUCUAGGCCCUUCCUAGCCCUUCUAGUCCUCUCCUUCCUCGUGCUGGCUUUUCUCGAUGACCCUUGUCCAAAUAUCCAUUAAGCUCUAUAUACAUACCCCCUUGAUUAUGUCGUAUUUCCUGUCAAAAUACAAUGCUCCAAAAUACAACACAUAUGCAAUAAUAGGGUUAUUUCAUGUGCCAAUUGGUGCGUUAGUAUACGAAUAAGCAUGAAAAUACUGGUUAAAUGACACUAAAAGUGUGUCAAUAACGAGCACCAACAAUCCCCCCACGCUUAGAUCUUGCUCGUCCUCGAGCAAGUCUAGCGACUAAAAGAUCUUGAAUUAAACAUGAGCAAGCGAGUCAAGUACCUAGCCUUGAAACAAAAGAUUAGAGGAGCAGCAAAGAUAAUCAAAGUCUGGGUGUUCAAAGAUUUAUCUAAGCAAAGAUUCCCCUACAACUAUUAUUCAGAACCAAGUAACUUCAAGAAUCAACUACACUUAUUUUCUGGCUUUUUUCAGAGGGUUUUUCUUUCAUCACAAAACAAUCUCCCUGCAACAAAAUUGAAAAAAGAAUUAUUUUCCAGGUGCUUACAUGUCGUUUAAAUGAAUGUUCGCUAUCCUACUUAUUUGCAAGCUCUCAUCUCUCAAAAUUCAUUCAAUUAUAUGGUGGAGCUUGGGUAAGGUUAGCUAGAAUCAACACGUAUAUUAUUGAAUUAAGAAAACCCUCUAACGGUAGCCUACCUUUCGAGCCAUUGAUCAUAAGAAUAUCCACAUAAUGUGAAGUUUUCAAGGAUGAGAAUAGAAUGGUGGACAUGUGCAAAGGAAAAGAAAUAUAGUGACUCUGAGGCACAAGCAAUGUCCUCGUCGUUGGAUUGCAUAUGGUUGGAAUGAAAAUCUGUUCCUUAAACAAGUCCAUCUUUUCUUUGCACCACUCUUGAUCUUCAUGACAGUAAAAACUCCUCCUUUAUUUCUUUCUCUCUUUUCCUAUUAUUUCUUUUUAUUUGUCUCAAUACUUUUCUUUCUUUAUUUCUUUAUUUUAAUCUCUUCUCCGAACCUCUUCUGAACACCACACAAUAAAAAUCAGUUUUAGAUCCUUCUAGAGACCUUCCAGGAAUUUGCUACAUGAAAACCGAGGCAAGGAGACCCCAGGCCGAUUGGCCUGGCCACUCCUUUGCUCUCCUCUAGCUCUUCUUUCUUGUGAAGCUUCCUUAUCUUGUAUCUUUCCAAAAAUUUCAUAAAGCUCAACUAGAAACGGAACACAUCUUCAUAUAAUGAGUUGUGUUCAAGGAAUUGGUAAUAAAAUUGAGAAAUUUGUGGUUCGGGUUUACGAAUUCAGUACAAAAAUAUGAUUAUUCCAAUGAAGAACUCUCAUUACUGAAUAUUGACGAGGCAAGCAUUCAAAGAUGGUAAAAAGGAUAUGAUCAAUUCUCAGAAUUAAAGCAAACCAAGAGAGAGCGAUCCUAAUUCAAUUCAAAGUGUCAAAUGUUGCUUAUGGUGGUAUGAAUAAAUAUUUUUAGGCAUUGGGUAGGAUAAAUAAAAACUCUCAACCUGGUUAAAAGAUAUUGAUCAAUCUUGUUUUUGCAGAGGUUUUAAAUAAAAAAUAAAAUUUUAAAUCACCUCCAAUUCAAAGCCUUACUCAUAAAUCAUAAUCAAAACUGAAGCACUUGAUCAUCAUAAAGCAUGGGUAUUGCAUAAACAAAUCGAUUACUAAAACUCCACAACUACGAUUUAGAAUUCAAGACAAUGCUCAUAAUCUAAAGUUGCAAAGACAAAAUAAAAGACAAGCAAGCCAAGGUAGACACUAAAAACACUUGCACGAUCCUUGAAUUUUAUUCAUGCUUCUUCUCACAAAGACGCUAAAGUAGCCAUGUAGGCCUAAGUCUUCCCAAAAGCUUAAGAAGACUACUACUUUAUCUACUUUUGGUUGAAAUAAAAAUACUAAUCUAGACUCUCACAUGAUUCGACUCGACCAAACUAGAUCCAAAAACUCAUACGAGCGACAAUCUCCCCCCCCCCUCUCAAAUCUACGACCUCCUCGUGGUAACCAUAUGGAGUACAAGGAAAAGACGCUUGUAAACGCACUAAUGACGCUACCCGGACUACUUGCACACGGAAUGGUUGUUGUUUCCUUUGCUUUGUUCUUCGUCAUGUUGCUGCACAUCCCGAAGAGCUUCCUCACGUUCCUCUGCAAGAACUUGAACUUGAACUUGUCCUCCUGACGGCAAUCAUUAUCUUCUGCCUUUUGAUCCAGAGCUUGUAAGGCUUGCAUGAUGUCAUCGAACGCAUCGAAGAGGUAGUGGAUGUUCUUCCUGCAAGCUGUGGAACAUGUACGAUCAUGCUCCUACGAUUCUGGCCCGUCGUCUUCUAGAUCCUCCUCUUUGCCCUUGUCUUGACGGUGGCCAUCUUGCUCCUUGCUCGUCUUCUUGCCUUCAGCCCGAUCCCAGUACGUGUUGUCAUCUUCUUCAUCGUCACGGCCUGCAGCACCCUAUGAUCCAUUGUCUAUCUUGUAUGAAAGAAUCAGAAGCUUGUUCUCCUCAGGGUGUCUUGCGCGGUGCAGCGUUUGCAAGUGCAAGGCUUGCUAGUUCUUUUUACACAUUGUAAUGUUCAUUGCAUGCUCUAAUUGUUCUACAUUUGUAAUUUCUUGGUGAAGUUUGGUUACUGAUCCACUGUUUGAUUAACUCUUGGGCCCAAACACUGUACUACUUCUGAUUAGAUAUCUGUAUCUUAACUUUGACCAAAAAAAAUAUCCGGCAGUUUUUGCCAUUAAAGUUUCAUAAAUCAUCUUGCAAAAAUCGUACUAUACAACAAGGGACGGUUUAUUAUAAAAUAUACGUUCCCCUUAUCACAUGCCACUUCCACUCAAAAGGCAACGAAUCAGUUUUCAAUCCUGAGUGAGCAAUUUGCUUUUAUUACCGAUGCCUCCUAUUCCCUUGUGCACCAAGUUCAUUUUGGAUAGGACUGCAAAAAGCGACUAACCAGCUCGGAUUCUCCACCUGCAAAACCGCAUCUGCAGCAACCAACCCCACGCGGUGGAAAAAAAAACAAAACCCAGAAACCGGACGGGGGUGGAUGUGGGGCUCGGAGCCCAAGCAAAAAAAAGGAUCGGGAGCGCCGGAGCAGGCCAUCACCGGAUGUUAGAGAUAGAAAAUGGUUGAAGUUGGAGUGGAAAUCAAACAAGCCUUGGAGCAAAGGAAAAAAAAGAUCAAACCACUCAAGCAUUCAUUUGAUUUAGAAAAGAGAACAUUUGUUAAGGUGGGGAGUUGAAAUCAUCUUUUAAUUAGUUCCACGUAUCUGGUAUCAUUACAGUUGGUUUACUUGUGUAAGUAUAUAAGUAGCUCUGCCGAAGCCUUUGCUCCUAUAAUUUAGUAACUAGUACAAAUGGAUCAUUAGGAAAAUCAAGUUGCAAUCAUUUCUCAGCCAACCAAACCUAUCUAAAUCAAAUUAUUGUCCAUGCCCGGCAUGCACAGGUGCCUGCCAUGCAUGCAUUGUUGCUCCAUUGUAAUAACCAUUAUUGUCCAUUGAUGUUCCAGCGCAUGUGUGCACUGUGCAGACACCAAGCAUCGAGAUUAUGUACUAGUAAGGUACCAAGAACACGUGAAGCACACGGGGGAGGCUGCUCCACUCGGCAUGCACAGGUGGGGCACGGCACCACUACUCGUCUCCUUCAGGCAGAGGACAAGUGAUGUACGCUGAUCAACCACUAGUAGAAAAACGACUUUCCAUCCGCCCCUUUUGUCCCGGUUUAAAGUUGGCCCGGGACAAAAGGUUCACCAACCGGGACUAAAACUCGGUCACUGGUGGGGGGCUCACCAACCGGGACCUUUUAUCCCGGUUGCAAAGGCUAGUGGGAAAAAAAGACUCUGAGAGGCCUUUUAUCCCGGUUUGAAACACCAACCGGAAUAAAAGGUGGUCUUUUAUCCCGGUUGGUGUUUCCAACCGGGAUAAAAGGGUCCCCCACGAGUUAAUACAAAAGGAUAGUAUCCCCUAUAUAGUCAGAUGUGGUGUGUAGGUGGGAUGGCAAGGAAGCUACGCGCGAGGCUGGAGGUUGUGGGUUUGAAUCCCACGAACCGCGCACCCCCACCACGGCAAACGGAGGUGAUGGCGGAAGGUGAGGCAACGACAGUAGCUGGUGAGCUCCCGCUCCAAUGUCUCGCGAGUGAAGGAGGAGGAGGUGGCAUGGGAAUCGAAGAGGAGGCCGCCGCUGGCGGGUUUAGACUACGUGGAUGUGUGGGUAGGGUUAAGGUGACGGUGUGGACUAGUAUAUAUAAGAUGUCUGGGCUUGUUAGAAUAAGAUAACAUUCUAACCGGCCAAAUUCGGACCCGGUUAGAUUAAAUUGAUAUUCUAACCGGUCCUAUUUCUAGGUGGUAAGAAUAAGUUAACAUUGUAAUUGGCUUUAUUUGGAACCCGAUUGAAUCUUCUUGUUAUUCAAAAAAACAUCAAGUUCAUCAAUUUUAAUCCAGAAAAACAUCAAGAUAAUUUAAGCACGAUAUAUAACAAGAUUAAUAAAUUUAAUAAUUGUUUGAUCCACAAAUUAACGAUAUUUAACAAAUUCAAAAAAUCCAAAUUAACAGAACACAAUAACCAAUUGUUCGAAAAAAUCAAAAUAAUCCACACACAUUAAUAUAUUACAAAUUCAGAAAUAUAUCAAAAUAAUCCCCGAUCCACUCGAUACCGUCAUAGGACUUUUAAAUACUGAGCUUCUUGAUUCGUCUGAGGUCCACGUACUCGUCUCAGUAACACUAGUGAUGGCCAUGCAUCUUGUAGAUGUCUUCUAACGAAUCAAGCUUGACGUACAAGGUCAUGCCUUCCGCUCCUUGAGGAUAACCAUCUUUGGUGAUCUUGAAAUGGCAGACGGUGGAUGUGCCAAAGGUACGUAACGAUCCUUCUAAAUGUAUGCCACCACAACUUCCGUCUGAUCGCCAUGGGUGACACCAAGAAGAGCUACCAUGCGGCAAGGGACGAACAAUUUAUCAAUUAGUGCCGCUGUCCAUUCGCCAUCAUCUAAUCCAGCCAUAUCUUGAUGUAUAUUUAAGUAUAGAAAUUAAGAUUUAAAAAUAAACAGAAUAAAUUGAGAUCGACUAUGUAUGUAUAUCAGAACAUUAGCUUUUGGAAAAAGGGCUUCGAUGGAAGAGAGGCACGGGGCAUAGAGACAACAACGAGUGACAAUAUGUCAGAAGAAUACCCGAUCACAAUUAUUGGCUACAGGACGGGCACACACAGCCGAUAUUUACAGUAGUCAAUACCCCUGGUAAAUAACCACACCAUCAAGAGUAAAUAGUGACAAUAUGCAGUAUAUACACGACAUAGCCUUGGUUGCCGUGGAAGCGCCAGAAGGGAGACAAAUAACAGGGACCACAACAUCAAGUAGAUAGUGACAAUAUGCAGAAGAAUACCCGCGCCUGUUAGCAUGUGUGAACUGACCACACCACGAAACGUGAUACACGGCAAGCGUACCAAGGCCUUGCUGUGCAGACUAUGCAUGGACAACACAUGGUACCUGACCGCUUUUGGCCUCAGACACAUCGAAAAACUGCAUCGUUCCACGUUGUACAUCCAUUGCUAGUUUAUCUAUAUUACAUAAUAUAUUAUUAGCUAUUUGAAUAGAAUGAACCAAUUAAAAAAUUGCGUUGUAUUUUAGUACCGGCUGCAGGAUGGUGUUACCAACCAGUACUAAUUGGCCUGUAGGAGUGAUGGUUAUUAGACUUGGUACUGUUGUUAGCAUCAUUAACCUAAUUGUGCGCGGUAUGAAUUUGGGGAUGCAAAGCUAGCUCUCUAUGAAUGUGAGGGAUGGAAAGCUAGUUCUCUAGUAGUAAUUAGCUAUAUAUAUAUGUCAGUCAAGAAAUCGAACACUAUGCUGCUACGAGUCACCAUCAUUUCCUUCAUUGACAAUCUGACAUAGGUGAAGCUGCUUCAAGAAUUUCCUUCGCGCAGUCGUGGAGCUUAUUGGAUUAUCACCAGGACGGGACACGGAAAUGGCCAGCAAUGAAGCUGAUUGCCGUCUGAGGAAGAUUACAUACUUACCUAUGAAAUGAAGCGAUUGCAUAGACUAAUGAAGCAUUGCAUAUUUGCAUGUGAGUGUGGCAGAUAAUUCUGCAGGACAUGAUUGCAAUCCACGCACCAUCGAGAAGACUGGGGCGAUGGGGUUGCCUCAUCAAUAAUCACGUGGAUGCAUGCAUGCAUGUUCCCGCAACCGGACAAGGGUCUGAUAUAUGGCUAUAGUAUUACUGAGCCCACAUCAAUAAUUUCCGCUGGUGUAUCGUGUGGGAAGAAUCAACAUACUACACCUCGAGUUCUUGGAACUAACUGACGUUCACAUGCAACCUCCACAAGGUGCUGUAUAUAUGCUUUUGACAUUCACCUGCCAGUUCGUGUAGAGGACACCCUAACGUAUGGUUAAUAUUAUCCAUUUCAUGAGUAAAAUACUGUGAUUCAAAAAUACUUCAAAUCCCUUGAGACAAUACUUCUCACUUGACUAACCACUAACCAACCCCGAAACCCUAACUCAACUCCGAACCCUAACACCUAACGGCAUAACCACUCCGUUUUGCCAGCCAGAUGGAGGAACUGGCUGGGAGGGAGAGAGGGCAGCGGUCCAGGGUUGAAAACGACGGGCGAGCGCAGUAACAUGUGGAGGAGGAAGUGCCACGUAUUCGUUCACCGCUAUUGGGCAGCGACACACAACACGCCCAAUAAGAUUUUCGCACGGUAGAAGGGCGCCAUGUAUUCAAUAAUGUUAUUGGUCCUCCAUGUGCAGAAGGGCGCGUAUGGAAUAACAAGUAGGGACACUGCAACUAAUCUACUCUGCUCGUCCAGUCCCUAGCCUAUAAAUAGAUGCCAUGCUAGCUCUUGUUGUGCUCACAGUUAAUCCGAUUACACACGAGCUUCUCUCCCUGGCCAAGACACAAUCAUAGUAUGAUGAAGAACAUGGCACUAGCCGGCAAUGGUAUGAAGAAGUUAAUCCUCGCUGUUCUCUUACUGUGUCUAGUUAUAGGGCAGAUACAAGUGGAAGCUAAGAGCUGCUGCCCAUCCACCACUGCAAGAAAUGUCUACAAUACCUGCCGUUUGACGGGUGCAUCCCGUCCAACGUGUGCAAAACUGUCAGGCUGCCAAAUUAUCAGCGGGAACAAAUGCAAGCCCCCUAACGACCACCUCACCCUUGACCCGGACACUGGUAAAUAAUAAAUUUAUCUCACUUGAUUUCUUUGUGUUUUGAGUCGUUAAUGUAUUUUCCAUCUGAUGAAACGCAUUGGUUUUGCAUUGAAGAGGAAGUUAAUGUGCUUAACUUCUGCAAGUUGGGGUGUGCGUCGUCUGUGUGCAACAACAUCAACGCUGGUAAGCACCUUUUGCUCAGACAGAGAAAACAAUAAUCAUUAAUUAGCGGCAGCUAGAAUCCUAUAAUCUAAUAUAUAUAUAUAAUUUUAUCAGCUCUGGGAAAUGAAGAGGCGAACGAUGCCGUUGAGAGUUGCGACCAAGCCUGCUCUAGCUUCUGCAGCGUGCAUGUUGGCAGCGCCACCGUGGUUGCUUAAGCAAAUGCAUCCAACUAGAUCGUCCUUGUGCUGAAUAAUUGGAUAUCGUAUCCACUUAAAGCUGCCUUGUGUAGUACGUCUUUGUGUCUCUCUUUAUAUUCCAAUAAGGUCGGUGAUCUUGAUGCCACACACUCAGAUGUGUGUUCAUCUCCAGAUACUACUCCAUGCUACCUGCCCUUUGUGUUUUGUUCAAUAACUGGGUAUCAUAUCCCAACCAGUAUGCCGUCUGUUUUGUGUUUGUUUCCUUCUAGUUCCAAAAGGGUCAUCAUGAUGUUACCUUCUUUCAAUAUGGUGCUUUGCAUGACUACUGUUGUAUGGUACCAUCUUGUGGCCAAUAAGUACAUCUUAUCCUAUGACCCUUUGCUAUGACCCUUUGCAAAUAAGUAGAAGAUUGUUAUAAGCGUCAAUACUCAGUAUAAUUGAUCGCUGCUGUGAGUUCCCUUUCAGCUUAUCGUAGGCAUACAUUAUUGCUAGCACGGUAAAGCCAACCAACACGAAUGAUGAAGUAAACGUAGCGGUACUUCUGUAUACCAACACCCUUACUUAAAUGUACCGGUGUCAUUCCCUACUGGCACAUAUAUUCUUAUAUGCUAGCCAGCUUGUAAAAUUAACCAAUUAAAAUAAUUAUUUCAAGAUAGAAAUAACUUAUCGGCUUCUGGAAGCAUGUGUAAUGUGAAUUCAAGGACUCGACGGAAGUUGAAUCACUUCAUCUAUAUUGCUUUCAGGAUUUUGGGUAACUAAAUUUAACAUUUGCACAUACAAAUGUUAAAGUACAAAUGUUAAAUCUAGUUACCCAAGCAGAAUAUGAAGAUAGUUUAUAGUAUAUAUAUACUAUAAAUAUACUAUAUAAAUCUAGUUAACAUUUAGUCUAAAUGUUAAAUCUAGUUACCUAAAAUCCUGAAAGCAAAAUGUAUAAAUAUAUAUCUUUUAAGGCAGUAUAAGCUUCGAUUCCUAUUGCUGCUCUGUUAAAUCUCAUCUUUCGUUGUGGCCCAACACUCUAGUAUGCAUGUUGCACCAAGCUUCUUUGAGCCGCUCUGCCCUCUGAUUUUGCUGUGUAGGGGAAUCUUUAUCAGGUUGGGCUACUUCCAGUUGUGCGAUGUAAAGAUUCGUAUUUUCUAGAAGGUAGACAAAAAACUCGCGUUCUCUUAAGGCAACAACCGGAAGAUUCUGCAGCGCAUAGGGCAUACCAUUAUUGUAGAAACGACCUUUAGUACCGAUCUCCAACCCCCUUUAAAACUGGUUUUGCAACCGGUACCGUUAUGUCGGUCCUUUAGUACCAGAUCAAAUAACCGGUACUAAAAGAGUCAACUAAAAGGACUCUUUUAGUACCGGUUGGUAACCAGUAUCAACUUGUUUUGUGGCCAAAAAAAUAAAGAAAAAAACAGUCAGAAGGCUCGCACACACGCGCAUCACAUGAAAUAUGCGUGUGCGGGGUCCAUGGGAUUCGAACCCAUGAAAUCAAGCUACGCGCGACCCUUCGUUACCAUCUCACCUGAAGUAACCCGUGGAGGAGGCUUUAGUACCGGGUCAUAACACCACCCGGUACUAAAAGUGACUCUUCAGUACCGGGUCAUAACACCACCCGGUACUAGUAUCGGAUGGUGUAAUGACCCGAUACUAAAAGGCCUCUAGGGACCCUCAAAUUUGAACCCGGUACUAAUGCUAAUAUUAGUACCGGGUCAAAGUGCAGCCAGAACUAAAGCAUGGGAUGAAAGGUCAUAUUUCUAGUAGUGUAUAGUUGUUGUGAAGGACUUACUUGGCUGUCCUCUCUCUUCUCCAUCCCCUUGGUCUUACGCCGCCGCUCGCACGCGAGCUGGUGCCCAACCAGAGGAGUGAGAGCUAGGGGCAGGUUGGGAGGUGGGGAUAGCGACUGGUGGCCAGGGUGAUGGUUGAUCCUGGCGGGGUUAGGGUUUUAGGGUUUUCGAGCUUCCUAUGGUCGGCGAACCUAGAGGAGGAGCUCAACAUCAGCUGCAACCCGCGAUGGUGGUGGUUUGGCCAGCGCCCGAGGCGAGGCAGCGCGGGAGUGCUGCCGGUGGGUUGGUGUUGGCACUCAUUAUUGACAACUAUUUUGUUCAUAAAAUAACACUCAAACUUGCUGCUGCUGCCGCCGCCAUCGCCACCCUAGCCAUAAUAUAAAGGCAAAAUUUGCUAAAGGACAUGCAAAAUGAUGCUAGUUUGCUGGCGGGCAUCGUUGACCUUGUAAUAUGCUACAAGACACUCUAGUUGUGUAUCAAUUUGCUGAAAGACAUUGCUAUGACUAAAAUAAUGUUUCUGGACUGAGUUGGAGAGAGAGAUGGAGUGAAAUGUCUGUUUUGCCCAUGACCCCACUGGUCAGAUCCUUCUUCUUCCACCCUCCUUUGUUCUUUCUUCAACCAUUACCCAGCUCCAGCGUGUUGCAGAUCUACGAGGGUGGCGGCCUGGGGCGAGGGGCAUUGCUCGCCCUCGGAGGAGCGCUGCGAGCGACGGCGCGGGGGCGGCAACCGCGCGUCAGAACCUGACUGUUCGUUAGCUCCUCUCGCUGCUGGGGAAGAAGGAGGGGGAUGGGCCAUGGACGGGGUUCCCUUGAAAACCUCAGCGUCGAGCUCGGGCGGCUACGCGCAGGCAGCACUAGGCUGCUUCACGGGGAGGGGGCGCGGCCAAUCAUUGGCACCCCACUGGUCCAAUGCUGAUGAAGAUGGUGCCAGCGUCGUGUGAGGACAUCUCAUCUCCUCGAGUUCCAUGGCCAGCACAGGUGAGCUGCCGCUACCACAAAACAGAGAUUUCGUGAGAGUCAAAAAACCUUAUGAAAAUAGCUAAAACCAUCAUGAAAAUAAUCCGUGACAUGACACUCUCACGAAAAUCCUCUCACAAAUAUGGUGCCAUGAAAAUACCAUUUUCAUGAGAGUGAACUGUCAUGAUUUUAUUUCGUGAGAGUAUUUCCUAUCAAUGACCUCCACGAAAUACUUUGUGCCACCAGGUCUUCAAGAUCAUUUUCAUGAGAGCUGAACAUCAGGAAAAGUCCGCCACAAAUGUUUUUCUUGGAGCCUCUAACUCUCAUGAAAAUCAUGCGGGCCGCCACGAAAAACAGCAUGACCAAAUGACAAAUUUUAUUUUCAUGUGUUCAUACCGUGAAAAUGGUCAUUUUCAUGAGAGUUGAUGAAACAAAAAAUAGUGCCAUUUUCAUGAGAGUUCAAGCAACCAGGAAAAGACACUAAUAAACAUCCAGAUCCCAUCCAGCACACAUCCAUGCACACAUAUAACCCACAUAUUGCUCCAGCACACAUCCAUGCAUAUACAAGAUCCAAAUGUUAAUAUAGUAGACAUCCAUGCCUGAACUAGUCUGCCACACAAGUCAUUGAUGCUACAAAUCCUACAAUCGCAGCAUGUGCAUACAAGUCACAGAAUGAGACAAUGUACCCAAAACUAAAAGGUUAGCAUCAACUGUGCUUCAACCAAAGUUGUCAUCCCAACUCUCCUCUUCAUCCAUGCCAUUCUUGUCAUGGCCGUCACUGUCAGUCCCCAUGGCAUUGCCAAUGCUGUGCAUGUCUUGGUAGGAACCUACAUGUGAUGAACCAGUAACCUGCAAAAAGAACUCAAAGGAUCUUGUUCUCAUAUUGUUCUCAUAUUGUAGCUGUGAAAUUCUUACAAGUAGUGUUGCAAUCAGUUCACUUUGAACCAAAAGAGCUCAAAGGAUCUUGUCCUAAAAGUUCCUCAUAAAGCUUAUGGGUUUGCUGGUGGAACUGGAAGGGCUUGAUGCAGCAGAUGCCAUUCUGCAAUAGAGAAAAAUUUAGAGAGCAGUAAUAGUUAAAAUUGGAUGCAGCAGAUACACAUGAAACUAGUAUUUAUACAAGUCUAUACAAUUAAAAUCUAAGGAGACUUAUCAUCGUUUUCAUGUGUUGCGAAUUAAAAUAAUGAAGGAUACACUGUUAGGUGAAAAUUCAAGAAACAAAAUUUUGCAUAGAGAUAAAGGUCCAACAUUAUUACAAGUUAAGGUAGUUUUAAAUAUCCUUGUAAUCUUCCUUUGGUUUCCUCAACGAUUCGAAGACAAUAACCUUGCUUCUAUCAAUGAUAAUUAUAAGGAGAAUCCAGUGGAAACUGUGUAUUCAUAUUAGAACUACCUAAGGUUAAUUAGGUUAGGAAAGGAAAUCGAAAAUAGAUGGUACCCACACUUACUUAAAGUUGUCGGGCAAUAGUAUGUAAUGCUUGUAAUUCCGUUGCUCCAAGAAUUUGUAUAUGUGGUCCAAUGUAGACUUUGGUUGAUCCCGUAUCUGCUGUUGGUUAAAUAAGUGUUUCUAGCCAUUUCUAGCCAUUAGAACUGGGACUAAAGGGGGCUCUUUAGUACGGGUUGAUAUUACUAACCGGGAUUAAAGAGCCCCCAUUAGAGUUGGUUUUUGGAUGCGGAACUAACAACUCCUUUAGUCCUGAGUACGAAAACGACUGAGAUAUUUGUUGCUUGGUUGAAGGUCCUUUCUCUACCGUGAAUAUUGCCAGAAAGAAUUGAAAGAGACUGCUUGCUAAAAAUAUGUCAUAGAUGUAGACCAAGCUACCAAGGAGGUAGCACUAGUAGAGAAUUGACUUUCGAGCCGCCCCCUUUUAUCCCGGUUUAAAGUUGGCCCAGGACAAAAGGGGGUGCGCCGGGGUGCGGAAAUUUGGAGGGGAGCAUUACUCCCGGUUGGUAAUUGCAACCGGGACUAAAGGCCCCCCUUUAGUCCCGGUUGCAACGGCUAGCUGGGGGGCAUCGGUGGCCGGACCCUUUUAUCCCGGUUGGAUCCUCCAACCGGGAUAAAAGGGACUCCCUUUUAUCCCGUUGGAGGAACCAACUGCGAUAAAAAGUUUAGUCCCGGUUGGUGCCUCCAACCGGGAUAAAAGGGUGUCCCUUUUAUCCCGGUUGGAGGAUCCAACCGGGACUAAACUUCCAACCGGGACAAAAGGUGUUUCCUUUUGUCUCGGUUGGAGUUUUUAACCGGGAUAAAAACUCAUCCCCCACUAUGUCCCGAGACAUAGACUUUCUUCUUCCUCCAGCCCGAGCCAGUCCAGCACAUUGAUAGAGAGCUGAGCUUCACCUACUCUCCGGUGGUGCCAAAGCAAGGGAGGUGCUGCCCGAAGUUUUUUCCCUCAUUUUCGUGGGAAUUUGACUCAGCCAACACAAGUGUUGCGAAGGUUUGCUACUUCAUCCUCGUGUUAUGCUUUGAUUUAUGCUUUGGAGAUGGAAAGAUUAUUUGCUACAAUGUGAUGAUGAAGUAGAAAAAUGGAGAGGUAUUUUGAGCUAGAAUGUGAGGGAGAUUGAUGUGUCAUAUAUAGUAUGCAUUAUUUCAGUGGUUUAAAAAUGAUGCUACCUUGUCUAGACGGUUUAUCUUAUCAAAUUCAAUAUGGUUUUUUAAAUCCAUAUACUUGUUGAACUUGCAUACCGUGUUCAUUUCGGCGAGAAUGUUCUCCGCCGAGCAGCAACGUAUGUCAAGAAGGAGGUUCGAUUCUACGAGAAAGAGUGGAUACGGACAUCGUGACCAUGUCCCCUUUUCCGUAGCAUCUAACCUCUUUCAUGACGAAGUGCGGUGCCACCCAGCUGAGGACAUCCUCGCGAAAUGAACACGGUCUUCAAGUUCAACAACUUCUGUAGUGGUAAGGAAAGAAUUUUUGUACAUAGAUGACUUCUGCUACUUGUUGAACUUGCAUACCGUGUUCAUCUCUCCGAGGAUGUUUUCCGCCGAGCAGCAACGUAUGUCAAGAAGGAGGUUUGAUUCUACGAGAAAGAGUGGAUACGGACAUCGUGACCGUGUCCCUUUUUCCGUAGCAUCUAACCUCUUUCAUGACGAAUACCGGUCCCGCCUAGUUGAGGACAUCCUCGCGAGAUGAUCACGGUCUUGAAGUUGAACAACUUAUGCAGUGUUAAGAUGAUCACGAUCUUUAAUCGAUUUUCACGCGUAAUCCAUUAUCAAGUGUAAUCCAUUUUCAUGCGUAAUACGAUGCAGAUGGACUAGCAAUGGAUGUAUAAUGCAGACAGGCGGAGCAAGGCGUUUAUUGAUGGCUUGCAUUAUUUUCUCGAAGUGGCAAAAGCGAACAAGCCAGAGAAUGGGUUCGUAUGUUGUCCAUGCUUCCAAUGCAAUAACAGGAAGGAGUAUUCAAACGAUUCCUGGGGGACUAUUCACAGCCACUUGUUUAAAUACGGUUUCAUGCCUAACUAUUUGGUUUGGACCAAGCACGGUAAACUAGGGGUUGUAAUGGAAGAUGGCGAGGAGGAGGAGGAAGAUGACACCAUUCCGGACUGGGUUGCAGGCCAAGCUUUUGCAGGUACUACAAUGGGCGAGGCUGAUGAAGAUGAGUUUGCAGAAAAUGACCCUACUGAUGACCUUGGUCAGGUGAUACAAGAUGCAUACAGAGAUUGCGAAACUGAGAAGGAAGCAGCAAAGUUGCAGCGCAUGAUAGAUGAUCACCAAAAAUUGUUGUACCGAGGUUGCCAGCAGGACCAUAAAAAACUAGGUACGACACUAGAAUUUGUGCAAUGGAAGGCAAAAAAUGGUGUGUCCGAUAAGGCAUUUCAGGGGAUGUUGAACAUUGUCAAGAAGAUUCUCCCCGAGAAUAAUGAAUUACCGUCCACAACAUAUGAAGCUAAACAGAUUAUUUGUCCUCUUGGAUUGGAUGUUCAGAAGAUACACGCAUGCCCUAAUGACUGUAUCCUCUAUCGUGGUGAUGAAUACGAGAAAUUGGAUGCUUGUCCCGUCUGCGAAGCCCUGCGGUAUAAGAUCAGGCGAGAUGAUCCUGGUGAUGUCGAGGGGCAGUCUCCCAAGAAGAGAGUUCCCGCGAAGGUGAUGUGGUAUUUCCCUAUAAUACCACGCUUGAAGCGCUUGUUCAGGAACAAGGCGAAUGCUAAGUUGAUGCGAUGGCACAAAGAAGACCGUAAGGAAGAUGAGAUGCUGAGACACCCCGCAGAUGGGGCACAGUGGAGAUCAAUUGAUAGAAAAUUCCCAGACUUUGAAAGUGAAGCAAGGAACAUAAGGUUUGGUUUAAGCACUGAUGGAUUCAAUUCAUUGGGUGAGUUGAGUAGUGGUCAUAGUACUUGGCCUGUGACCCUUUGUAUGUUCAACCUUCCUCCUUGGCUGUGCAUGAAGCGGAAGUUCAUUAUGAUGCCGGCGCUAAUCCAAGGCCCAAAACAACCCGGCAACGACAUUGACGUGUACCUAAGGCCGUUGGUUGAUAACCUUUUACAGCUCUGGAAGGAAGAAGGUGUACGUGUGUGGGAUGAGGAUAGACAAGAGAUCUUUAAUCUACGAGCACUGUUGUUCGUAACCAUCAACGAUUGGCCUGCAUUGAGUAACCUUUCAGGACAGACAAAUAAGGGAUAUCGGGCAUGCACCCACUGUUUAGACGACACAGACAGCAUGUACUUGAAGCACUGUAAGAAGGUCGUCUAUAUGGGUCAUCGUCGAUUUCUCCCUGCUCACCACCAGCUGAGAAAGAGCGGGAUGCAUUUCAAAGGGGCGCCAGACCAUCGUAAAAAACCUGCACACCGUAAUGGAAAGCGUGUGUUUGAGAUGAUGAAGGAUGUAUAUGUAGUCUUCGGAAAGGGACUUGGUAGCCAACCUGUUCCGAACGACGAUAACGGACAUGCACCCAUGUGGAAGAAAAAGUCAAUAUUUUGGGAGCUACCUUAUUGGGAAAUCCUAGAGGUUCGCAACGCAAUAGACGUGAUGCACCUGACGAAGAAUCUUUGCGUGAACGUGCUAGGCUUCAUGGGUGUUUAUGGAACCUCAAAAGAUACAUUGGAAGCACGACAGGACCUGAAAGCCAUGGGGCAACGAGAUGACCUACAUCCGGAAAAGAGAGAUAAUGGACAGCACUACUUACGUCCUGCCAGUUACACUCUCAGCAAGGAAGAGAAGGAUAGCAUGUUUGAAUGCUUGAAUAGUAUGAAGGUCCCGUCUGGGUACUCCUCGAAUAUAAAGGGAAUAAUAAAUAUGAAACAAAAGAAGUUUACAAAUCUCAAGGCUCAUGACUGCCACAUGUUGAUGACCCAGUUGCUUCCGGUUGCACUGAGGGGUGUUCUACCAGAAAAUGUCCGGUUGCCGCUCGUAAAGCUAUGCGCGUUUCUCAAUGCGAUUUCGCAGAAGGCAAUCGAUCCAUCCAAGCUAUCAAAGCUACAGAACGAUGUGGUGCAAUGUCUUGUCAGUUUUGAGUUGUUAUUUCCACCAUCCUUCUUCAAUAUUAUGACGCACUUACUGGUUCACCUAGUAAAAGAGAUUGGUAUUCUCGGACCUGUAUACCUGCACAAUAUGUGGCCUUUCGAGAGGUGCAUGGCAGUCCUAAAAAACUAUGUUCUUAAUCGUGCCCGUCCAGAAGGAAGCAUCGCCAGGGGAUAUGGAACAGAGGAGGUGAUCGAGUUUUGUGUUGAUUUUAUUGAUUCAAUUGACUCGAUUGGGGUUCCAACUUCACGCCACGAGGGGAGGCUCCGAGGAAUGGGCACCAUUGGAAGGAAAUCAAGUUUGAGCAAUGAUACUGAUUUGUUCGACAAGGCACACUACACUGUUCUACAACAGUCAUCCUUUGUGUCUCCGUAUAUCGAGCAGCACAGGCAGAUGGUAGCUUCCAAAAACCCGACCAAAUCCGAUGCUUGGCUUACCCGUCAUCACAUGGAAACUUUUCCCUCCUGGUUGCGCCAACAACUUAUGGGUAACUCUGAGAUUCACCCACAGCUUGCCUGGUUAGCCAGGGGACCUACUACCACAAUCGUCGAAUUCCAAGGCUAUGAGAUAAAUGGUUACACAUUUUACACGAGAGCCAAGGACCAGAAAAGCACGAACCAGAAUAGUGGUGUCCGCAUAGAUGCCAUGGACAGAAAUAAUAGCAAGGAGUCGUAUUAUGGUUUCAUACAGGAGAUAUGGGAACUCGAAUACGGACCGCUGUACAUCCCUCUAUUUCUUUGCAAUUGGGUGAAGCUAACUGCCGUCACCAAAGAUCAGUACGGAAUGACAAUAGUAGAUCUGAGCAAGACUGGAUACAGUGAUGACCCAUUCGUACUUGCCAAUGAUGUGCAUCAGGUGUUCUAUGUGAAGGACAUGUGCAGCAAACCCAAGAGGAAUCCAGAAGAGACAUGGGAGCCAAAGUGCCACAUAGUUCUUCCAGGUAAAAGAAAAAUCGUGGGAGUCGAGGAUAAAACAGACCAAUCAGAUGAUUAUGAUCAGUUUGAUGGCAUGCCUCCAUUCGCCGUUGAAGUUGAUCCAAGCAUCCUGCUAUCCAAAGAAGAGGCUCCGUACUUACGCCGCGAUCAUGAUCAAGGAACUUUCGUGAAGAAGAAAUUUUACAACGUUGUAUUGUAAUGCGUUAAAUGUACAUGACCUUUGUGUAUUAAUUGAUACAAUUUGUAAUGUACCCUAUGUAUGAUUUCAUGUGUUAUUAAAUUUGUUAGGUGAAGAUUUUUUAGAUAAACAUGAACAUUGUUAACCACAUACUAACAUGGAUUUUUCUGCUGUUGACGUCGGAUUUCGUCAUCAGUAGAAUCGGCGCCAAAGAGGAAAGAAAUCGAAGGAGGACGGAUGGAAAUCGGCCAAAAGGUGUUACAGUGCGGAAUCGGUCAAGUGGCUUUUACUUCGCUUCAGAGUGAAUACGCCGGGUUCCCAAUCGGCAAUCCUUUGCUGAUAAGAAAUCGGCCGAUCAGGAAGGUGGACUAAGGUGGGCCUGUAUGGGCUUGGAAAGAUGGAAGGAUAAGGUGGAGUUCAGCCCAUGAAGCGUGGGGUAAUUAGUUUAGCUCGGAUUGUGCUUGUAGAUAUUUGUUUUCUGUUUAAAUUAGAGAUAGAGUCCUAGUCGGUUAAGAAGAUUAUUUGUACGGGGCUAUAAAUAGCUACCUUUGUAAAUCUGUAAAAAAAAAACAAUCAAUCAAUACAACAAGUUACUUUAUUCUUCGUACUUACUUUCGAGCAGGCGACUUCGCCAUCACUUUUCCUUCUCACGAGUUCGUGCGGGUUGGCAGGGCUGCAUCAUCUUGAUCUCCGGCCGAUUCUGUAAGUUCCGUUUAUCGAGUAAUAUCUAAGCUUUAACUUCCGGCGCAUCGCUGUUGUUUCGUUUAGAUUUUAUUCAUCAGUUAUCGAUAUCGACUAGAUUCAUAGGUUUUUACCUGUUCUCCUAGUUUUUAUCACCAGUUACCCCGCUAGGAAUCGGUAGUAUCGGCUUUCAUUACUUUCUGUUACCAAAUCCAUCUGUUGCCGAUUAGAUCUUUUCCUGGUGCUGUUACUACGUGCCUUGUACCGAUUACUUUAAUAUUUUUCUAUCUACAAGGCUACGGGGGUCGUGCUGUCUUGUAGCCGAUUUCUUUACCACAGUAAAUCGGCCGAUCUGCCGAUAAGCUCUCUCGAUCGGAAACUUAGCCGAUCGUAGUUACUGAUUUUGACACGUGUUCUUCCUUGCCAAUCAACAGGUCAGAUUGGCUGGCACGCCGCGCGAACCGCACCAGGGCAUUCACCCGAACAGGAGCUAAGCAGAUUCUCCCGGGUCGUGUGUCGGCCGCUGGGAUUCGGUUGACCGAUUUCUAGCGCCAACACACUUUUGGCACGCCCGGUGGGACCAUUACAACCGCUGUCUUGUCGAAAGCUGCUGAAGUCUCCGAAGAUAACGUCAUCGAAGUGACGGAGGCAGAUCUAAAGGACGACCAAAAAGAAGAUCUAAAUCAGUAUUUGGAGCAAGUCCGGAAAACUUGCUUGAAAUCCUUCAGUCGUUCCAGGAGCGGGGAAACUGUUAAAAAGUCUCCUUUCCCUACUCCCCGCCAGAUCACGAUUUCAGAAGAUUCGGACAAAAUGUCCGAUAUGAUUCAGCAAUCUCUUCAUCACGCCUUCAUCAACCAAUCCCCGGUACUUUCAAACAUGGUGCACAAUGCUGUUGUCAACUCUUUCGCCGGAGGUAUACCACAGGGGUACAGGGGGCCUACGUAUUUUCAGCCGAUUCCACCAAAUCAGGCUUAUCAGGCUUCACAGCCGAUCCAAUCCUCUGUCGGAGGAUCUGGUGCUUCUACGUCAUCAACUCCUUUGGGAUACGGCUCCACUGCACCACUCCCUCCAGUCAUUCCUUUACCCUGGGGGGCACCCUUAAACACGACCGGUUUGAAUCAAUCGGUCAGCCAAGGAAAUCCUCCGUUCCAGACACCCUCCCAAACGGCCACUCGGCCGAUCAUACCACCAUACCAGCCUAUCGCUCCGGAGGUCAACAAGACGUCAGAGCUCAUGCUAUAUGAUGGAACAAGUGGUUCAUACAAGCAGCCGUCCUUUACUACACCGCCGGCUUAUACUCAGAUACCACCUUUUCAUCAACCUCCUUUUAUUCAACCUCCGAUUUAUCAACAUGUGCCGAUUCCGCCGCCAAUUAUUCCCCAACAACAACCGGAUUGGACGGCGCAAAUCGCGGAGGUAAUGCAAGAACAAUUCGGACUGAAGCCGAAGGUGCAAACUUAUACCUACAGGACACCAUACCCAUCUACGUACGACUUGUUGCCGUUUCCCCAUCGGUACAAAGUCCCGGAUUUCACUAAAUUUUCCGGAAUAUAUGAUACUUCUACCGUGGAACAUGUGAAUAGAUUCAUCAUCCAAUGCGGAGAAGCAGCUACGCAAGAUGCCCUACGGGUACGGUUGUUCUCGUCAUCUUUGUCUGGAUCGGCUUUCCAAUGGUUCACCACUUUGCCACCAAACUCGAUUAUCACAUGGGCCGAUCUAGAGAGGCAGUUCCACAAGUACUUCUAUGCUGGAGUCCACGAAAUGAAGUUGUCUGAUUUAACUAGCCUCCGGCAACGAAGUGAUGAGCCGAUACCCUCGUACAUACAGAGGUUUCGGGAAAUCAGAAACAAAUGCUACUCCUUGGCUCUAACCGAUGCGCAGUUGGCCGAUAUAGCUUUCCAAGGCCUGCUGCCACACAUUAAGGAGAAAUAUGCUUCGCAAGAAUUCGAGAGCCUGAGCCAGAUUGUCCACCGAUUGUCCGGACAAGAGGUGCGUCCAUUCGAUCCAAGAAGGAAUUUCCAGAAGAAAGUGGCGUUCCUGGAAGAAUUAGAGGACGAGGAAGACGCCGACAUCGGACUUGCAGAGUGGAUUAAAGGAAAGAAGCCGAUAUCAUGCCCGUUCGGCAAAAAGGAGCCGGAAGCAUUUGGUUUCGAUACAACUAAAGCUGACAAAAUCUUUGAUCUUCUACUCCAGGAAGGACAAAUUAAACUCUCGCCUUACCACACGAUACCCUCUGCCGAACAAUUGAAGAAGAUGAAGUAUUGCAAGUGGCAUAACGCCACAUCACAUGAUACCAACGCCAUUGAGCAAGGCAGACUCAAAUUUGAAGUGCCGGCAAAACUGGCUAAACCUAUGAAGAUUGAUCAACACCCUUUUCCUACCAACAUGGUGGAUACGGGUAAGAAUCCCCUCCAAACAAAAGUGCUGACGUCCGAAUCGGCAAAAAGGAGCGGCUCUGUCGACCCCAGAAAUCAAGUUACACCCGAAGACAUCAAAGGGAAACGGCGAAUGGAGGACGACGAUGGUGAGUCUGAUAGACCACGUAUUACUUCCCAGUUCCUGCUCCAAAAGUACCAACGCCAACAUGAACGAUCGAGGUCCCGAGAGGAAGCAAUGCGUCGACACGAAGAACACUGGAGAUGCCCAUUCUUCAUCCAUUGUUGGGAAAAUAACCUCAGGCUUCCAUCAGCCGAUACUUGCCCAGAGUGCAACGGUCCCUAUCGAAGCAAUCGGCCGAUUACAAGGUCUCGCUCCAGAGACGGAAGGCCAGAACCGAUCAGCAGGAAUCGGCGCAACCCAGAUGAUCAGCGCCCUUCCAUGCGUGAUCGGCUGGGGGGCAGAAGUGACCGAUAUGAUCGGUCAGAAGAUAGAAGCCAUAAUAGGCAGGGGGGCAGGACCGAUCGACAUGAUCAAUCAAGUAGCAAAGCCAGCGUUCACAGUCGGCUCCAAGACAUGGCCGAUGCUCGGGUAACAGACGAGAACCCGUUAGGACGCGAGCCAGAAUGGGAACGCGCCAGGAAAGAAGGGAGGCCAAUAAACCCCAGAUGGUGUCCCGAUGGUUUGACCAAAUCACAAAAACGAAGAGUCCAACGCCUCCGCCAAUGGGAACAGCAAGAAGAAGAAAGCGCGAUGGACAAGAAGGAAGGGAGGCCUCGGGUAUGGCGCCCCAAAGGAAACGACAAGGGCAACGAUGAAUCGGCGGGUGAUGAAUCGGCAGCCGAAAUCGGUAUGGUUUUCAUAUUGCCGACGGAGUUUAUGACCCCUGCCGAUCAACAGAACGUGUCGGCAAUAGAGGAACAAACAGCACGGUUGGCGUUAGAACCAAUGAUGGCCACGUUCGAAAAGCCCGAAGACGACGAACGACAACAUAUGAAGGCGUUGUUUCUUAAAGGGCAUGUUGACGGUCGCCCCCUCACUAAAUUGAUGGUCGACGGGGGAGCUGCCGUCAACAUCAUGCCGUAUGCCAUACUCCGAAAGCUGGGAAAGAGCGAUGACGACCUAACCAGGACGGACAUGAUGCUCAAGGACUUCGAAGGCAAGGUGUCAAACGCUCGCGGUGCCCUCUGCGUUGACCUCACCAUCGGCAGUAAGACCCUUCCUACCACGUUUUUCGUCAUUAAUGGCAAAGGGUCCUAUAAUAUGCUUCUUGGACGAGACUGGAUACACGCAAACUGCUGCAUACCGUCAACUAUGCAUCAAUGCCUGGUACAAUGGGUCGGCGACAACAUCGAGGUGGUCAAAGCCGACUCCGCGUACAGCAUCGCAGCAGCCGACGCACAGCAAUGGAGCUGCGAAACCGUCAGGUGCAUAUCAGGUAGGGUGUGGGAAACUGAUUUCCUGAAGGUCACCGAUUUUGGCCUACAGCCGAUCCGAGCAGUCGGCUCUGAAGAAGCGCAAUAAAUGGAUCAGUUCGCCCGAGAAGACGGGAAGCUGGGACACGGAUUCACGUCGGCCGAUUCAUUGGAAAUGGUAGAUUUAGGUGACGGGACCAAACCAAGGCCGACUUUUAUUAGUGCAAAUUUAGAUCCAGAGUACAAGUGUAAAUUGACAAAUUUAUUAAGAGAAUUCAAGGAUUGUUUUGCGUGGGAGUAUCACGAGAUGCCCGGAUUAGAUCGAUCUAUUGUUGAACAUCGGCUACCCAUAAAACCAGGGUAUCGGCCGUACCAACAACCCGCACGGCGAUGCAAUCCUAAAAUUUUACCAGACAUAAAAGCCGAAAUAACUCGGCUAAUUGAAGCGAAAUUUAUUCGGCAAUGUCGUUACGCCGAGUGGAUUUCUAAUAUCGUACCGGUGUAUAAGAAAAACGGGAAACUGCGCGUUUGCGUCGAUUUCAGAAAUCUUAAUCAGGCCACACCGAUGGAUGGCUACCCCAUGCCUACGGCCGAUGUACUGAUCGACGCUGCCGCGGGGCACAAAAUUAUUAGCUUCAUGGAUGGGAACGCCGGAUACAAUCAAAUACUUAUGGCCGAAGAGGACAUACCCAAAACGGCUUUCAGAUGUCCAGGCCAUCUUGGUCUAUUCGAGUGGGUGGUGAUGACUUUCGGUUUGAAGAAUGCUGGUGCUACAUAUCAGAGGGCCAUGAACUAUAUUUUCCACAAACUCAUCGGCCUCCUGGUGGAGAUCUACAUCGACGACGUUGUGGUCAAAUCCAAAAGCCACGAGGAACACCUAGCCGAUUUGCGAAGGGUCCUAGAGUGUACCAAGAAACAUGGUCUUAAGAUGAAUCCCAACAAAUGCGCUUUCGGCGUCUCCGCCGGACAGUUCCUAGGAUUCAUGGUGCACGAACGAGGCAUUGAAGUCAAUCAGAAGACCAUAGCGGCCAUCAACAAAGUCGUCGCUCCGCAGAACAAAACUGAACUACAAUCUCUAAUCGGCAAGGUAAACUUCAUCGGAAGGUUUAUAUCUAAUCUAUCUGGACGGAUCCAGACGUUCACACCACUUCUGAAGUUGAAGCCAGACCAAGAAUUUAUUUGGGGAGAAGAACAGCGCAAGGCGUUAGAAGACAUCAAGCGAUACUUAGUCUCGCCCCCAGUCCUGGUUCCCCCCCAAACGGGUAAGCCGUUUAAACUAUAUUUAUCAGCCGAUGAAAAAGCUAUUGGGUCGGCUCUAGUCCAAGAGUUUGAAGGCAAAGAACGGGUGAUUUAUUACGUUAGUAGAAGACUCCUGGAUGCCGAAACAAGAUAUCCUCCAGUAGAGCGUUUGUGUUUGUGUCUUUACUUCUCGUGCACCAAACUCAGACACUAUCUACUGUCGGCAGAAUGUAUAGUCGUAUGCAAAGAUGAUGUAGUGAAAUACAUGCUGUCACUGCCGAUAUUGAAAGGGCGAAUCGGUAAAUGGAUUUUAGCUUUAUCAGAAUUUGACCUACGGUACGAAUCGGCAAAAGCCAUCAAAGGUCAAGUCAUGGCCGAUUUCGUCGCACAGCACUGUGGGCCGGAGAUCGCCUUCGUGGAACUAGCGCCUUGGCAGUUAUUUUUUGAUGGGUCAUCAUGCGGAGUCGGAUCGGGAAUCAGCAUCGUUCUCAUAUCGCCUCGGGGGGCAAGAUACGAUUUUUCUCUGCCGAUAGAAACCGCCACCACAAACAAUCAAGCGUAAUACAGAGCUGUAUUAAAAGGCUUACGAUUAUUGAGAGAAGUCAAGGCCGAUUCUGUCGAGGUCUUCGGAGAUUCGAUGUUAAUCGUGGAUCAACUAACCGGGAAGGCUGAGUGCAAAGAUGACAUAUUACGAAUUCAUCACGAAGAUUGCCUACAGCUGUUAAAAGAAUUCAGAUCGGCAGUAAUCGAGCAUGUCCCAAGAGACCGCAAUGAGGAAGCGAACAAACUCGCUCAACACGCAUCUGGGUAUCGGCCGAUUCUAGGCGCCAUGGCCUUAGAGCUUGCAGCUGACGAUUGGCGCAAAGAAAUUGCCGAUUACCUAAAGGAUCCGUCUAAAAAGGUGGAGCGGCGAGUACGCUUUCACGCUACCAAAUACGUAUUACUCGAAGAUGAUCUGUUUUACCGAACGAUCGAAGGUGUUCUUCUUAAAUGCCUUGGGACAGAAGAAGCCAAGACUCUAAUGGGAGAAAUCCACGAAGGGGUAUGCGGAGCUCACCAAUCAGCACAUAAGAUGAAGUGGAUGAUCAGAAACAAUGGGUACUAUUGGCCUACGAUCCUUGAAGAUUGUUUCAAAUAUUAUAAGGGUUGUCAGGAGUGUCAAAAGUUUGGAAAUGUCCAGCAUGCACCUGCAUCGGCCAUGAAUCCCAUCAUCAAACCAUGGCCGUUCAGAGGGUGGGGAAUAGACCUUAUCGGCCAAAUUUAUCCACCAUCGAGCAAGGGGCACAAGUUUAUUCUGGUCGCCACCGAUUAUUUCACCAAAUGGGUGGAGGCAAUCCCAUUAAGAACUGUGACUUCGGCUAUCAUGGCCGAUUUUGUAAGGGAUCAUAUCGUCUACCGAUUCGGUAUCCCUCAAACUGUAACAACCGAUCAAGGAACGAUGUUCACAUCGGGGGAAUUUGAGGAGUUUACAACCGAUAUGGGCAUCAAAUUGUUAAAUUCUUCUCUGUAUUACGCUCAGGCCAAUGGUCAAGCAGAAUCUUCCAACAAAGGAAUAAUCAAGUUGAUCAAAAGGAAGAUUGAAGAAUACCCGAAGAAGUGGCACCUGUGUUUAACCGAAGCCCUAUGGGCAUACAGAAUGGCCUGUCAUGGGGCCACCAAGUUAUCUCCUUAUCAGUUGGUAUACGGUCACGAUGCAGUACUUCCAUGGGAAUCGAGGGCAGGAUCAAGGCGCAUUUCACUUCAAGACCAGUUAUCGGCCGACGACUACUCGGCACUUAUGAAAGAAGAACUUGAUGAUGUGGCCGGUCAUCGACUAAGGGCUCUGAUAAGUAUCGAAGAGAAUAAAAAGAGAGUGGCCAGGUGGUACGAUAAAAAGGUCAAAGUCAAGCAGUUCUCCCCCGGAGAUUUGGUAUGGAAGUUAGUACUACCGAUCGGGUCGAAAGAUCCUAAAUUCGGUAAAUGGUCUCCUACCUGGGAAGGGCCGUAUAAAAUCGGCAAAUGCUUAUAUCUUGGAAACAAUAGAAGGAGAAGAAUUCACUAGAGCUCUGAAUGGGAGGUAUUUAAAAAGGUAUUACCCAAGUAUAUGGGUCGGUGCCUAAGGAAUUAAACACGAUCAUACAUGACCGAUACGAUUCGGUCUUGAGACACACAUAAAGUCAACCGGAACGGCCGAUUACAUUCAUUCGGUACGGGCGACGGGUUACAUGGCCGACAAAAUGUUUAGUCGCCCUUAGAACAAAAAUACAGCAACUAAUUAUUCUUUUUCUUACGCUCCCUCUCAGCCCGACCUAACUCUAUCAUGAGUCGGAUGUAUUCUUCUUCUAUGGCCUUCAUUGAAAUCUCCGCUUCGACUUGACCGGGGAGAUCUACGGGAGGGCGCGAAGUCCCCACUCCCGCAUCUUCAAGAACGACUUGCCGAGGGAGUGGAUGACUCCUGUCAAUGGGAGGUCGACGGCUGCCAUUCCUCUCCACGAAGUCCAGGAUCAUUCGGGCCUCCGUGGCGAUGUCGUCUUCAAGAUCGCCACAACGAUCGCCCCUGACAGGUGGAGAUUGCUGGUUACUUUCACUCACCACGGAAUCCAAGACUACGCGAGCCUCCGUGGUAAUGUGAUCCUGGAGCUCUUCUCGGUGAGCCGCGAUCAGCAUCUUGUCCUCCGACGUUAAUGGAUCUUCGGAAUGAAUGCACUCAAUGGCGCGCACGAGCUCGGGGCUAAGACGUUGAGGCUGAAACAAAGAAGGGAUGAGGAGGGAUAUUCUCUUCCUUAGGGUCUAAAAAAGAAAGGAAGGUAGAGGUCAAAAAACUUCACCUGGUUAACAGAGGAAGAAGAAGAUGACGAGGCCAUAGCGAAGAAAUUGCACCGAUGAGAAGGGGCAGAAAGGUUGAACCGAGAGCCAAGAUUGAUGUUACCAGGAGUAAGCGCCGAGCUUGGUAUUUAUAAAAGAAUGCGUGGAAAUCUGGUAAAGCUACGUCCCAUCGGUAAUAAGAAGGCAAUAAAUAGAAAGGGCGUCGCGAGGGGCGGUCAAAGAAGGUAGUAAAUGAUUCGUACAAAACGGUCAGUGUUUUACAGAUUACCCAGAAGGGUAUCGAUGGCCGUGAUGGCCCGACGCCGGAUCUGAUCGGCAGAGUCAAGUACCCGUUGGUCUUCUUCCGCCGAUCCAGGAACCUCCGAUGCGCUGCGAUGGAGUCUCAGUGCCUCGUGAGCAAAGCGUUGCCUCUCCCGUGUUAAAUCGGCAAUAACAGAAGGUAGCUCUUCGAGUUUGUUCUCUUCGGCACUGAUUGCCUUGAUCACUUGCUCCAUUUCCUUGGCAAGCUCCGCCCUACGACGCUUGAGACGGUCUAUUUCUCCUAUGAUCGCCGGACGGGAAUCUUCUAGGACAUGGAUACGCCGAUUCGCCUCUUGAGCCUGACGUUUGAAAGCGUCUUCCUCUUCGCGAGCCUUGGUCAGCUUAGCGCGAUCGGCCAUGUGACGAAGGGCUCUGAAGACCGGGAUCCUCAUAGACUCGAUGAAGGCCGCCGGCGCCAGGGCCUCCUCCGCCUCUUCUGGUACUCGUCCGCUGACGUCAUUGAAGAGCUGCCGAAUCGGCGAGGCGUCUUCUACUAAUCGGCCGAUGUCCCCUUGAAGGAGGGAUCGGAUGCUGGAAAGUUUGGCUCGGACGUCGUCAGGAACGGAACUCAAGGCGACUUGGCGAGAAGCAACUUCUUCGUCGUCAGAGAGGGCGACCGCAAAAGAAAAGAGACUGUUGUCGGGGGUAUCCUGUUCCUGAAGAUAAUAAAGAAAAGAAAUGAACCAGCUGUAAGAAAGAGCAAAUCGGCUAAGAUGGAGGCCGAAACAGAAAAAUACCAUUUUGAAGCGAAUCUCCUCAUGUUGCACUUGAGAAGCCGCCAUGCCUUGCUCGGGGGCCUGCGCCAUGGGUUCAUCAGAUGGAGAGGACUCCACGAUAAUUGGCGCAGUGUUUGGACCAGCCUCCUGACAAGAAAUCGGCGAUCGAGGAGCGAUUGAUGUGCCGAUGGCCUGUGUCAGAAGUUUGAAUAAAUACGGUACGUAAAUGCCCAAAGGAAAUCGGUACGAGAAGUUCUAUACAUUAACGGAAGGAAACGGGGGCACGUCAAUAGCUGGAGGGGCUGCUGCCGAUUGUGGUACUUCUGUAGGGAUGCUCUGUGCAGUUUAAAGAUAAAAGAAAAAUUAAUAUCAAAAAUAAUAAUCGGAGACAGCGCAACUCAGUUUUACCUGUAUGGCCUCCAACAACAACGAUGCGGCGGCCGCCCCAGCUUGCGUCAUGGUUUGAGUAUCGGCACCUUGAAUGACUUGAGGAGGUGGUACGGCCGAAGUGUCUGCCGAUACGCUCACGGGAGGAUCCGCCGAUCCCGUACGAGCCCGGACUCGGCGACUGGUCUUCUUGGUAGUCCUUUUAUGAACUUGUUUCGAUCGGCCAGUAAUCACGUCAACAGACGGGGCGUUAUAGCCGAUAAGGGGAUAAGUAGUGUAUGGAUGACUCUCUAUCAGUCGUCCGCUGCGGCUGUGUGUUGGAGGGAUCCGAUUCUCGGCCUAAAAUAAUAAAAUCAUUAGUACUCGGUCGUGUUAAGGGGAAUAAAAGGGAAUAAAAAUCGGCUAUGUGAAGUACCUCGGCGUUUGGAUCAAUGUUGGUCGGGUCCAGAAGAUUGCAGUAUGCCGAUGCUGAGUUGCAGAAGAGGAAUUGCUUCCAAUCAGCCCACCAUAGUUUGAACGGCUGAACAGCAAAUGGAGCUACUAGCCAGUCGUUCAAGUUAAUUGUACUGGAGUCUGGAAUUCGGUCUCGCAACCGACCGUAAUCUAGGCUAGAUUUGAGAUCAUCUCUAAACUUGAUUUUGCCAGCAAAGUACACCUGAAUCGGCAGCUGACCCAUGCCAAAUUGUCGUGCCGCAGCAGAAGGGUUGUAGAAUUCAUACGUAGGGGCAUCCUUCCCUGAGAAGAAAUUGGCCGGUAGGAUCCCUGGCUUGAUCAACCCUUCAUAGAGAUCUUCAUCAAACCGGCCAGAAGUUGAGUCAAAGCAGGAAGGGAGCUCGAAGAUGGGAAUGUCUCGCUGGUAUGGAAACCAGAUAGUUGCGUCCUCAUUAAAUCCAUCGUAAAAGCACCGAAAGUACUCGGCUACCUUUGUAGCGGAAUACGCACAACCUGGAAAAGCUGAUGCCGCUUCACCAUAAGACAUGCAUCGGCGACGCUCGGUAGGGUCUUCCGCCGAUUCAAUAUUGGGAAACGUCAUGUGGUCCACUGGCUGCCGGGUGAUCCUGUUCAUGUAAAGGUUCAACCAUAGAUUGACGAACCACCAAGGCCCACCUGGGUUGCCGAUUGGUUCUCCCUUGGAAAGUUUUGUGCCGAUUUGGUGGAGCAUGUGGUACACAGCACCCAGAAGAUGUUUCCCGAGAGGAAUGUGGCUUCCUUUGGACAGUGCCUCGGCUAAAGAUUGGGUGUUGGUUGUUGGGCCGGCGGCUCUUCCACAGAAAAGGUGUUUUUCUAGCCACAUCAUCAGGAAAGCGGUGUGCUCCCUAUUAUCAAUAGUACCGGUCUUCUUGUUAUUACUAAUAAAGCCCUUCCAGCUGCCGAUUCCUCUUACGUCCAGCCGAUGCGACGGUACGGUCAGAAGUUGGAAAGGCGUGUCAGGAGAGGAUAUGUCCAGGCCGGUCAAGAGGACCACAUCGGCCAGAGUGGGGGUCAUAGGACCGUGUCCAAAUAAGAAUGCAUUAAGAGCGUCAGACCAAAAAUAGGAAGCCGCCAUCACUAGCGGUUCGUUUUUCUCCAUUUGCGACAGAGAGAGGUUGAUACAUUGGCCGAUUUUGAGUUCAUCCCACAAGACGCUCUUUGACGUGGCCAUCCGUUGGUACCAUUCCCUCCAACCGGGGGUUUCAUUCGGCCAAGAUCUAAAAGUGCUGGCCCAUUGAUCUAAGUUCAUGUCAGAUCGUUUGAAAGGUAUCCGGUCAGUUUCCAAGUUUAUGAGGUCUGCUGGAUCUGGGUCUCCCAUGGGACCAAGGCAAACAAGGCCAGGACUACCCGUGAGAUGGAUAGUGAUUCUAUGUCUAACCGCCUAAAUGAGGAAAAGAGGCAUAAGAAUAUAAGGAAUAGAUCUAAGAUAAAUACGUUACCGAUAGAGGAAAAAUUCGGUGUUUACCUCCGGUAUAAAAUUCUGAGUAAUCGGUGUGGUCGCCGAUGCAGAUGCAGAUGAUGAAGCCGUAAUGGGGAUCGCCAUUGGGAUCUCUGAUGAAGCUCCUUCAUCUAUGGAUGGAGUGACGGUUGUUGCCACCGUUACCGGAGGUGCUACCUCCACCGGGGGCAUUGUCCCUGGAGCAUCGCGUGCUGGGGAAUUACCGGAGGGAGUCGCCAUUGAAGGGGAGGGGAAGAAGUGACAGGAGCUGGAGCUGGAAGGCUUCGAUGGCAAGAUUGAAGAAGGAAGGAAGUGCGCGCGCUGGAAAGAGGGAUGUGAGCUUGAAGAUGAGUUGCGGUGAAAUGAUAUUUAUAGGGUGCCUGAAGAAAGGGUAAAGAUGGAAUUUUCAACGCGCCGGCGCGUCGAGUUUUUCGGGGUAGUGGCUGUCGUGGGCGCCCGUUUCAAAAAAUUGCAAUGAUCAGCCGGGAGACCGCGAAACGGAAGGAUAUUUUCACUGCGGCCGUUUCGGAAGAGAGGUUAUAAAGAAUUUCGAAGUAAAAGGCUAUGUUUUACUCCGAAACUGGGGGGCAUGUGUUGACGCCGGAUUUCGUCAUCAGUAGAAUCGGCGCCAAAGAGGAAAGAAAUCGAAGGAGGACGGAUGGAAAUCGGCCAAAAGGUGCUACAGCGCGGAAUCGGUCAAGUGGCUUUUACUUUGCUUCAGAGUGAAUACGCCGGGUUCCCAAUCGGCAAUCCUUUGCUGAUAAGAAAUCGGCCGAUCAGGAAGGUGGACUAAGGUGGGCCUGUAUGGGCUUGGAAAGAUGGAAGGAUAAGGUGGAGUUCAGCCCAUGAAGCGUGGGGUAAUUAGUUUAGCUCGGAUUGUGCUUGUAGAUAUUUGUUUUCUGUUUAAAUUAGAGAUAGAGUCCUAGUCGGUUAAGAAGAUUAUUUGUACGGGGCUAUAAAUAGCUACCUUUGUAAAUCUGUAAAAAAAAAAAACAAUCAAUCAAUACAACAAGUUACUUUAUUCUUCGUACUUACUUUCGAGCAGGCGACUUCGCCAUCACUUUUCCUUCUCACGAGUUCGUGCGGGUUGGCAGGGCUGCAUCAUCUUGAUCUCCGGCCGAUUCUGUAAGUUCCGUUUAUCGAGUAAUAUCUAAGCUUUAACUUCCGGCGCAUCGCUGUUGUUUCGUUUAGAUUUUAUUCAUCAGUUAUCGAUAUCGACUAGAUUCAUAGGUUUUUACCUGUUCUCCUAGUUUUUAUCACCAGUUACCCCGCUAGGAAUCGGUAGUAUCGGCUUUCAUUACUUUCUGUUACCAAAUCCAUCUGUUGCCGAUUAGAUCUUUUCCUGGUGCUGUUACUACGUGCCUUGUACCGAUUACUUUAAUAUUUUUCUAUCUACAAGGCUACGGGGGUCGUGCUGUCUUGUAGCCGAUUUCUUUACCACAGUAAAUCGGCCGAUCUGCCGAUAAGCUCUCUCGAUCGGAAACUUAGCCGAUCGUAGUUACUGAUUUUGACACGUGUUCUUCCUUGCCAAUCAACAGGUCAGAUUGGCUGGCACGCCGUGCGAACCGCACCAGGGCAUUCACCCGAACAGGAGCUAAGCAGAUUCUCCCGGGUCGUGUGUCGGCCGCUGGGAUUCGGUUGACCGAUUUCUAGCGCCAACAUCUGCGCAUUCAAAUAAUUUAAUUGAAUAAUUUCUUGAUCACAGCAAUGCAGUAAAAUAAAUAUUUUACAGGCUAAAUGAGUUGGUAUAGAAUUAAUGAUUACUUCAUACUUAUUGUCAAUUUACUCGUUAAUUAAAUAUAUUUUUGCAUGUACAAAAUCUGUGAAGGUUUUGUUUUUCAUCCUGAAAUGCAGUGAAAAGGUAAAAUAAAAUCCAUUUCCAAAAAACAGGCGGGAGAAGAAAAAUAGGAAAAAAGACCUUUUGUCUCGGGGCUAACAGCAACCGGGACAAAAGGCCCCCCUUUUAUCCUGGUUGCCAACGGCAACCGGGAUAAAAGGGUACGUUUCGUCUCCCGCCCAAACGUACCCUUUUAUCCCGGUUGCCAACUGCAGCAGGGAUAAAAGGGUACACUCCCAGCCCCACCUGGCGGGGGUACCCUUUUGUCCCGGGUCCCGUCGCCAACCGGGAUAAAAGGGGGGGGGCCUUUUAUCCCGGUUGGUGNNNNNNNNNNNNNNNNNNNNNNNNNNNNNNNNNNNNNNNNNNNNNNNNNNNNNNNNNNNNNNNNNNNNNNNNNNNNNNNNNNNNNNNNNNNNNNNNNNNNGACGAGACGACGACGCGAGACGACGACGGCCGAGGCGAAGACGACGACGGCGGCGUAGGCGGGACGGCGACGAGACGGCGACGAGGGGCGACGAGGAUGGAGCCGGCGACGAGGAUGUGGAGCCGGUGGCCGGAGGCGACGAGGUGGCCGGGGGCCGGGCGCGUCGACGGACGAGGAGGGGAUCGAGGAGGGCCGGCCGGGGGACGACGACGGCGCAAUGGGGGACAUCGACGGCGCAAUGGGGGACGACGACGGCGGCGGCCGGUGAGGGAGGCGGACGGGCGGCGACGGCGGAGAACGCGCGGGACUUGCGAAAUUUUGGCUAAGUGUGUAACUGGCAGGGGGUAGAAGGGAGUACAGUGCCUUUUAACCCCCCCCUUUUAUCCCGGUUCGUAAUAGGACCCGGGACAAAAGGCUCUUUUGUCCCGGGUCCUAUUACGAACCGGGAUAAAAGGGGGGGGUUAAAAGGCACUGUACUCCCUUCUACCCCCUGCCAGUUACACACUUAGCCAAAAUUUCGCAAGUCCCGCGCGUUCUCCGCCGUCGCCGCCCGUCCGCCUCCCUCACCGGCCGCCGCCGUCGUCGUCCCCCAUUGCGCCGUCGAUGUCCCCCAUUGCGCCGUCGUCGUCCCCCGGCCGGCCCUCCUCGAUCCCCUCCUCGUCCGUCGACGCGCCCGGCCCCCGGCCACCUCGUCGCCUCCGGCCACCGGCUCCACAUCCUCGUCGCCGGCUCCAUCCUCGUCGCCCCUCGUCGCCGUCUCGUCGCCGUCCCGCCUACGCCGCCGUCGUCGUCUUCGCCUCGGCCGUCGUCGUCCCGCCGUCGUCGUCUUCGUCCUCGUCGCCGUCCCGCGCGCCGCCCGGCCGCCGCCGUCCCGCCGCCCCGGCCGCCGCCGUCCCGCCACCCCGGCCGCCGCCGUCCCGCCGCCCCGGCCGCCGCCGUCCCGCCGACCCGGCCGCCGCCGACCCGCCGACCCGGCCGCCGCCGUCCCGCCGUCCCGCCGUCCCGGCCGUCGGCCCGCGCGGGAGAGGUCCGCUGCCGCGCCGGCCGGCAGCGCCGGGAGGGUUUUCUUUUUAAGUUAAUUAGAAAAUUAAGUUUUAUUUUUAGAUAGAAUUGUAAUUUUGUUAAGUUAGAUUUUUAGAUUUCUAGUUAGUUUGUUAAGUUAGAUUUCUAGUUAGUUUUUUAAGUUAGAGUUGAUAUAGAGAUCGCCGAGUAGCCGCCGUGAUCGUCGCCUUGUAGCCGCCGUGAUCGCCGCCGAGUAGCCGCCGUGAUCGCCGCCAUCCCGCCGCCCAUCACAACCUAGUAGGCACCGCCCGUGGUUCCGGUGAACCGUCCCCGCCGUACCGCCGCCCUGACCGCCGCCGUCCCGCCUCCGCCGCCCUGAUCGCCGCCGUCCCGCCUCCGCCGCCCUGAUCGCCGCCGUCACAACCUAGGCACCGCACGUGGAUAUUGUUACAAAUUCGUAGAAAUUCGUCAAAAUUCGUAGAAAUUCGUCAAAAUUCGUAGAAAUUCGUAGAAAUUUGUAGAAAUUCAUAGAAAUUCGUAGAAAUUCGUAGAAAUUUGUAGAAAUUCGUAGAAAUUCAUAGAAAUUCGUAGAAAUUCAUAGAAAUUUGUUGAAAUUCGUCAAAAUUCAUAGAAAUAUUUCGGACUUUGUACGAUUCAUGUUAUUUUAUGAUUUCAUUAUAUACAUGUAUGAUUCCAUUCCGGACUUUGUACAAAUUUGUAUUAAGACGAUUUCUAUGACUGUCAUGUAUGAUUCCAUGUAUGUUUCCAUCAAUAGUUGAAAUGGCAGACGAUGAGACCGCAAGGUAUAUCAUGGAGCAGAUAAUCGCUGGUGAUGGUAGUGGCGACAACGUUCCACUAUCAUACACGUAUGAAGAGGGCACCCAGGCGGACAUGUUCCUCAACAUGUCCGCUGAUGGGAAUGAAGAGCAACAGCCGCAACAACAACUUGCCGUGGCGGAAGGUUCCGGCGAGGUAUAUACAACCAUUCUUGUAUUGUUUCACGCCACCGCUACUACUACGUACUAAUUAACGAAUCUUGAACUGUUAGCCCUCCGGAUCGACACAAGGGCAGAAGACCUGAGGUCGUACAAAGGUGAUGGAAGGGAGGCUUGUCAUCACCGAAGUUACAGAAGAGGGCAAGCCGGUUGCUCCCGAGAAAGUAGCAAAGAAGUACGUGAGUCAAAUCGGGGCAAUCGUUCGGGACAACGUGCCUAUCAGCAUCAGAGAAUGGAAGGGCAGAAGAGAUAAUCCGUACGCCCUUCCAGAGAUAGAAAAGAAUAUGCUGUGGGAAGACGUGAAGAGACAUUUCACAUUCCCCGAAGGAUAUAGCGAGAAGGAUGUCAAAGCGUGGACGCUUAAGAAGAUGGCUACUCAAUUCCAGACAUUCAAGAAGAUGCUGGACACCCACUACAUCAAGAAGGGCAAAACUCCAGACUUCAACGCGUGGCCAAAGUUGAGGGACCACUGGGAUGCAUUUGUUGAAUACAAGAGGAGUGAAGAAGGUGUGAAAAAGAUCACGACCAACAUAGCAAAUGCUAGUCAGAAGGGCUACCACCAUCAUUUGGGGUGAGGUGGGUAUGGCUCAGCAAUUCCCAAGUGGAGGAAGAUGGAACAAGAUCUGAUCGAACGGGGAAUCGUACCUGCAACUAUUGAAUGGCCCGAACGAUCAAAGAACUGGUACUACGCUCAUGGAGGCUCCCUAAGCCAAGAGGAUGGGACGCUGAUUUUCAAUGACACAAUACGUGAGAAGGCCGAACAUCUCAUGAAGAACAUUGAAGAUUCCAAGGCUGGGAGGUUGAGGGUGGACCAAGAAAAUGAUGAGCUCACAUUGGCCCUCGGUAAUCCAGAGCACCCAGGACGUUGCCGGGGGUUCGGGGUGGUUCCGUGGAAGUUCGCUUUCCGAGGCGACAGCGCCUCUUACAGAAGCCGGAAGCGAAGAAAGGAACAGAUGGAGGAGAGCUGGUAGCAGAUGGUAGAACAAAGAAUGAUGGAUGAAAUCAAUCGGCGGGUGGCCGACGCAGUUGCGGAGUUGGCGCAAUCUGGAGCAAUGCCGAAUCCUAACACCGCCAGCCCUUCUCAACGCCUCGGGAGCAGUUGUGCUUCUACAGGGGUCCCCGAUGCGCAGACGCCCAGGUUACCCGUGGAGGAGCAAUGGUUCCCCGUGGAUGCCAUCACGCAACGGACCUCAUGUAAGCUGCAUGCACCGGUCGGCAACCUCACUAUUAAGGUAUACUUAUACAUAAUAUUUAUGCAAUCUUGUCAAUUGAUCCAGGCCUCGAGAUCGGAGUUCAACCUGUUUACUUCUACUAUAUGUACAGGUAGCGUACGGGAGUGUGUUACCAACCCUGGCAGGGCAGAGCAGUCAUGGCAUGGACAUUCCAACAGGCUACGCCAGCGUCUGCGUCGAGCAAAUAGUUGAUCCCCAGUAUGAAGGUCUAGAGCUCGACUUCCCGGGAGGCGACGGGGAAAAGACAUUGGCAGAUGCGCUUCAUGGGAUCAUUCUAUGGAAGAAACGCUACAUCAUUAUUCCCCGCACGGAGCCAUCUCCUCAGACCUCAAGACCACUCCCCGUAGAUCCCCAGCAGCGACCUUCUCCUCAUACCUCGAGACCGGCAUCUCCUGCUCCAGGACCGUCUCUUCCAUCUAUAUCAAGGUCUCCAUCUCCACCACAUCCUGGUGCUGGGAGCGACGACGACAAUAACAACACCCCUCCCCGAUCACCGUCACCGGCACCAAGAGCGGCCCCCUCGAAGGAACCUGCAGCACCACUCAAGAAGUCACGAGCACCGCCUCCCAAGCAAAGACAGAGAAAGAAGAAAACAAAGGUCGACCCUGAAGUGGCUCGCAAGGAACGCUUUGAGGCAAUGUCUCAUGAAGAACAGUGGGCAGAAAUCCAACGAGAGGCCAGUGAGUGGUUCAAGAAACAAGCCGAAUUAAAAAAGGCAAGGGAGAUGGAGCCACCGUCAGUAAGUCGGCGAGAUUUAAACUUUUUUAUCAGGAUGGAGGAAGAAGCCAAGAAAAGGAUACCACUCUUGUCAAACUAUGAACGGGCUCUAGUAAAGGCUGAUGAAAAGGAUAAAAGGAAAGGAAAAUCAUCCUCCAGCAGUCCAGUCCCCGACCUCAGCCAUUUAUCAAAAAAAGAUGCUCAACGGGUAAAAGCAAUGCCCUUGGAUCAACAAGCAAAUAUAUUGAAGUUCAUGGAAGAAACAGGUCUGGGACUUGAUGAAUGCAUAGGGCAAGUCGAGACGCCAACUGCACCGCCCCCUGAGCCGAAGUGGACUUAUGAGCUAGGCAAACCUCUAGUAAAGCCUUCAAUGGUACGGAAGCUAUCAACAAAGAUGUACGAAUUCCAUCAAUGGUCGGCAUGAAGGUAAAACCGAUAGAUUUUCACGGUGAAGGGGAGAAAGUGCUGUGGCUAGACUUCAAGGAUAUAUACGAAGUGUACCAUCAUGAUGCCCUGGACGUCUCUCUGAUCAGCGCUUGGAUUCUGUAAGUGUCCGUUUAUUAUCUCUACAUGUAAAUUUUGGCGUGCGUCACCGUACUAACUUCAUCUUCCAUUUCAUGUAGGAUGCUAAUUCAGACAUGCCGCCGAGAGGCGUACCUACAUGUAGGCUUCAUGGAUCCAUCUGUAGUUAACCAACAACAGAUACAAUUAGCGCCGGAAAAAACCUUUGCGGAAAUAUACAAUUUCCUACACAAACAAACAUUCAAGGAUUUCAUACUACUUCCAUACAACUUCAAGUAAGUGUGUGUAUACCGUCUACUUUCGAUGUCUUUUUCCUUAUCUCUACAUGUUAGUUAGCUCUAAUAUGCAUGAACAUUUUACGCACGCAGCUUCCACUGGAUCCUUAUUAUAAUUGAGCCUGAAAGAAGCCACGUCACUGUCUUAGAUUCGUUAAGGAAAGAUCCGAUGGACUACCAAGAAUUGCAAGACAUGCUAGGCUUGUAAUAAUUCUGGACCUUUAUCUCUAUGCAAAAAUUUAUUUCCUAAAUUUUAUCCCUGUUACACUAUGUCAUUCAUUAUUCUAAUCCGCAGCGCAUGGAAACAAUUCAUAAGGACACACAAAGGUCCAUUCAAAGAAAAUCUUACAUGGAACACAGACUUCCCGGUACGUAUGCAGUCUGCACAUUUAUUACAUUGUAUAACACAAAUAUUUCAUAACUUAUUUUUUUCCGCACUGAAGUGCUUAAGACAGGAACCCGGGAAUAAUCUAUGUGGCUACUACAUCUGUGAGCACAUGCACAGUUUUUUGGGACCCAAGGGACCGAAGAUGACGCCGCACAACUUUAAAGUACGUAAAAUAACUAUAUUACUAGUUAAUUAUUUUCUAGCUCCUUAUAUGUAUUUGUUCAUGUAACAUUCACAAAUUUCCAAAUUAUAGAUGUUAAAUAUUCAACAAGGACUCUUGAAGGAAGAAAGAGUAGCGGCAAUAUGUGAAGGUCUCAUUGGAUUCAUAAUGGACGAGGUGGUGGACGAGGUGGUAAAUCCAAGAGGAGAAUUUUAUUACGAUGGACGACAAUUAGACACUCCGAUCAGCAACACCACGAUGGAUACUUUGAUUUAUUUGUAUAUAUAAUACGCGCUAAUUAUGAUCGAUUUGUACUAAGCUAGUUGAAUUGUGUAUAUGAAUUGUGUAUAAGGAUUGUGUAUAUAUAUAGUAAUUGUAUAAUUACAAAUCCCAUUCGUUUAAAUACUAGUUGAUUUCGUUCUAAAAAAAUCUCAACUACAAGGUUAACAAAUUAAAAGGGCUGCGGUACUACUAUACGUAUACGUGAUGCAUGCAUGAAAAAUUCAGACGUCACGGCUGUGCCAUGCAAGCGCCAUUUAGUCCCGGUUGGAAUCGAGCCGGGACUAAAGGGGACCCCUUUAGUCCCGGUUGGGAAAUCCAACCAGGACUAAAGGGGGACCUUUACUCCCGGUUAAAAGACCCGGGAGUAAAGACCCCCCCCUUUUGUCCCGGUUGGUUUAUCCCGGAUGGAUAUCCGAGAGAUAUGCACCCUACCAACCGGGACUAAAGGCCAAUUCUCUACCAGUGUAGACCAAACAUGAUACACACCAUGCGUACCUUGCUGUGCAGACUAUGCAUUGACAAGAUACCCGACCACAUGUUGGCCUCGGUCACAUCAAAAGAAUCAUGUAGGCCACCAAUAAACUACUUGAAGCGGCAUUCCGUAUCGUAUAUGCAUUGCCGGUUCAUCUGCAUUACAUUACAUAAAGCACUAUUAACUAUUUGAAUAAAAUGAACCAAUUUAAAAGUAAUGUGUUGUACUCUACUAUAGAAAGCCCUAUCACUGCCGGAUCCAAAAACAUCAUUGUUAAUGGUGGUUAAGUACCAAAUAUGAUGGUCAAUAUUCUCAAGAAUAAUGGAGAAUUAGCAUUUCUUAGACACAUAUUUGGUUUUGAACAAUGUAGUUCCACAUGUCUUUGGAGAUUAUUUGGGUGUGGGUGAAAUAAUACAAAAAUAAGGAGAAAACACACUCCCAUGGCAAAGAAACACAACUCCAACCAAUGAGAGAUAGCCACAGGGGCAGCACACGGAUCCAUGGGCCCACAAACCGCAUCAAACCGUCUUACCAAGGCAGGUAGCACCCACAACCGUCAUUAGGACCCACCUGGAAGUCUACCAAGAAGAAGGUUGCGAGUGGGGCCAGGAGGGGUUCGGUUGAAUCAUCUCUAGCUAGCUCCCCUCAUCCCCAGCUGGUGGGUGGUGGUGGUUGAUGGUGUCCCUACAUCGGUUAGAGGAGAUUCCCCCAAAUAUUCCUCCUGUAAACCACCUCUAUGGACCUAUACAUAGAGGGGUGUGCUCUCCAUUCCAACACACACCACAAGUUGAAUCACUGUCUCCCUCUUUAGUUUCCAAGUUUAUGGAGUUAGGCUAGAGUAGCUCUGCUCAAGGUUCCAAGUCCACUUGGAGUUAAGCAUAUGUCUCUUGUAUCGUUAUUUCCUAAAUUGACUUUAUGCUUAGUUCUUAUAUGCAUGAGUUAGUCUAAUACCCUUGCUCUAUUGAUAUGCUCGACUUAUAUGCUCGUAUGCUAGUCAUAUACCCUUGCUGUCGUAGUAUAGGCUUAUAUGCUCUCAUGUGUGCCUGUAGACCUUGCUAUAGUAUAUACUUGUUGUGUAUACAUACCAUGUAUAGGCUAGUCGAUCUAUACCAUGGCAUUGGUUCAAUAGCCAUGUUUUUGGUGGCUCCAGCCCUAGUCACAAUAGCUCGGGACAGCUGGAGUGUUGUUAAAAAUGCAAGAGUGGUGCUUGGGUUGUUUAGCAUCGUUGGAUAUGGGUUUGCCCCACAGGUUUCUAACGGUAGGCGACAGCUAGUGACAUCCCUGUCCGUCCUUCGUAAUCCCCCCACAUUCAGGUACGCCAUAAAUGUUCGUAAAUUAGCAGUAACUACGCCGGUACACCCAUAGGGUAUUGUCUCCCUGUAGUACCUUGGUGCAUAGAACUAAGUCCUAUACACUGUGUGUGUAUGUUUACGCUGAUAUGAUCUGUGCAGUAUAUAGGAUGUAUAUAUGAACCUAGAGCUAACUCCUAGUCCGUUCUCCAUAGCUUAGUUAUCUUGAGAUGAUUCUUUUGUAUGUGUAACACUACCCAUCUUAUCAUUAUCCUUGCUCCUGUCUUGUGUAAUAUAUCUACUCAUCCUAUGAUAUACUCAUAUGCAUAGUAAACUAUUUUGACCUACCCGCCUUCCUUUGGGAAAUAUGAUACCCUGGAAUAAUCCUAGGUGAAAUCCUACAACGGUAUAUCCAUGUGCUUGCGGAUUUAUUCAUGACCAUUAAAUAUACCAACAAUCAUCACUGCCGGUUAUGGGCGUCGUUAGUGAAGGGUUGGUAGUGAUGGGCAUCCCCUUCACCAAUGGACCUGGAACCGGCGGUGAUGGCUGUUAUAAAAAAGGGGACACCACCCAGCGUACCCCGCGACCCGGCUGGCCGCACCUCCCAUCAUCCCCGCCAGCCGCCCUUCCUUUUCGCCGGCCGAGCAUGGUCCUGGCCUUUGUCCCUACCGCCUCGCCUCCACCGCGACCCCCCGCCGAUGCCCUCAUGCCUGGCCCCCCUCAUCUUGCCGGCCACCCUCCCGAUGCGUCCACUAGGGCCCUCACACCACCAACCGCCCUUGCCUAGAGAGGGAGAGAGAGGAGGGAGGUGAGGCCACGCACCUCGUCCUACACCGCCGCUGUUUCUCCUCGGCCCACCGCGCCUCACCCCACACCACAGCCGCGCCUUGCCAUCUUACCGGCUGCGACGCCUCAUCUCACCGGCCACCGUUCCUCACCCCCACUUCGGUCGUCGCCGCUCCUUGCCCUACUGCUGCUCUUUGCCGCUGCGACUGAGCGGCGAGUGGAGGAGGAGGGACGGGGCAGGAGGAGGGCAAGAUCCGGGAGGAAGGGAGAGAUCUUGGGAGGUGGAGAUGGAAGGAUAUGGCGGAAGGGAGAGAUCCAGAGGGAGAGAGCAGGGGAGAGAGGGGGGCAUGUGGGGAGAGAGUGCGUGUGGGGUGGGGCCAGGCUGGUGGGAUGGAAGGGAGAGGGGCUAGACGGGCGCAGUGCAUUCAACUGGAUGAAGUAAAUAUUUCGGAUUCGAGACCCCAGCUUUAUUAUCACCGCUGGUCCGUAGUACCAUCCGGUGCCUGCUCGUAAUUUAAUUUGAAUCUGCGGUGAUGUUUUAUUAUCACCAUCGGAUCAUAUAAAAAAUCCGGCGGUUAAAAAUCCGCUGGUUUCGAUGAAAACCGACGGUGAUAGGAUGACUGUGAUAGUCUCUUCUCUAGUAGUGGUAUAUUAGUACCGGCUGCCAGACGGUGUUGCCGACCAGUACUUCUCCGGAGGCGAUUCAGUACUGCUGUUAGCAAAGCUUGUUCUCUAUGAAUCUGGGGAUGGAAAGCUAGUUCUCUAGUUGUGAUUUGUUACAUAUAUAUCUAUGAUAGUCUAGAAAUUGCAUGUCCUUCGUUGACAUAGUUGAAGCUGCGCGCUUCAAGAAUUUACUUCGUGCAGUCGUGCAGCAUAUUGGAUUAUCACCUAGACAGGAUACAUAGGUGAAGCAUUGGAUGUGAUUGUGGCCGAUAAUUAUGCAGGACGCUGUUGCAAUCAACCACCAAGAAGUCUGGAGUGAUGGGGUUGCCUCAUCAAUAAUUUUUAUAUAUGGCUGCAGUAUUAUUAAGCCCACGUCAAUAAUUUUUUCUCCGCACCAUAUAUCGAUGGGGUUGCCUCAUCAAUAAUUCGCGCAACCAGACAAGCUGCAGACUCAAUAUGGUACGAAGCUAGUUGCUCAGCCCACAUGCUCUGAUAUAACAUUGACAUCUGCUGAUCUACAGUAUAUAUGACCAGAAAUAUUGUGCCCACCUCAAUAACUUUCUGAAGUAUCGUGGGGAAGAACCUACUCGUACUAUGCCUCGGAACUAACUGACAUAUCGGCCUAGGCGGUCUAGGCCGAUUGGACUGGCUCUUCCUUGUGGCUUCUCACGUCCCCUUCGUCCCCAAGUAAUUUCAGGUGUUCUGCAGUUUCCUUUUCACUUGCAUCUGAGCCUCAUAUAUCAAUAGCUUCGGGAUAAGAAUGCCUCUUGAUAACCUUCCAAAUCCUCGCUUGAUUCACAUUGAUUCCGAAAUCAUCUUGCCAUAUCUUCAGAGACUUAGGUCCUAAGGCAUCAUGGAGGAUUGCUCGCCAGGAAUGAGCACCAUUGGGCUCCUGAGGACCCUAGGCCGAUCAGCCCGGGCUCUAUAGGUCGAUUGGCCCAGGCCCUCUCUGGGCCCGUUGGCCUUCAUCUUUCUCUGAGUCGACGCUUAUUCAGGGCUUUGUCCAAUUAUAGUCUAUUAUAGUCUAAUUUCCUACAAAAACAGAAUGUCCUCCAAAAUACAAUGCAUAUGUGAAAACAGCCCAAUUAUUAGGUAUGAUCAAUAGUUUAGGUAUAUAAAUUAAUAUUAUUAUUUAAGAUAAACAGGGGUAAAGGGUGUCAUUAAUAACAAGCGCCAACAAGCGUCCUGGCUGUUCAAUAAAUUUUUUCUAGUACCGAUUGGUAACACUAACCGGUGCUAAUAUGUACCCUUUAGUACCGGUUAUUUUACCAGGUACUAAAGGAGACAAGAGCAUCCUAACAUAAGGUUAAUAUCAUCCAUUUCAUGAGUAAAAUACUAUGAUUCAAAAAUAAUUCAAAUCCCUUAAGACAAUACCUAUCAAAUGAGUAAAUUGUAAAUAGAGUAAUCUUGAUCAAACAAUGUCCUAAUGAAACGGAACACUUCUGGUUCGUGUAGAGCACAAUAUAGAAAACAGUAGGGUAGCUGUACGAUUGACACGUGGUCCAUUAAUUCUUGAGCCAACACUAUGGACAUGUCUUCAUGAGUAGUGUACUAGUCAUGAUACAUGGUAUGCAGUAGGUGGAGGUAUUGACUUAGCCAUGCUAUGAGCACUUAGUUACAACAAACACUUUGCCAUUAUCGAGCAUCCCAAAUCACUACAAAAUCCAUAGUUUACCAUAUACUACAAAAUCUGAGUUAAAAUAAGAGCAUACACGGAAGAGUCCGAAUGCACCGGCACAUUGAAUUACUAGACAAAAAUUAUGGGACAAGGUUUUGGGUAACCGCAUGAAAAAUAUUGGAUUUUACUGAACACUUAGUUACAAUUACCAUGCCGUGAGCACUUAGUCACCACAAACAUUUAACCACUUUAGAUCAUCCUGAAUCCCUAUAAAUUCUAUACCUUACACCGUACCAUGAAAACGACAAGAACAGAGACAGAUGCGGUGAAAAUCUCCAGAGCAAGCCUGAAAUUAAAAUAAGAGGAGGCAGUCACUAUCGACAGGACACGGAGAUUGCUAGCCAUGACAGAGGAAGACAUGAUAUGAUAUUCACCUCUGAAAUGCAGCGUAGACUAAAUGAAGCACAAUUGCAAGUGAGUGUGGCAGAUAAUGGACCAUCGAGACCAUCGAUUGGUAUGAAGCAUGAUUAUCACCUAGACAUGAUAUCCUAGACAGGACGGUGAAUUGUAAAAAGAGUAAUCUUGAUCAAAGAAUGUCCUAAUGAAACGGAACAUUUUUGGUACGUGUAGAGCACAAUAUAGAAAACAGUAGAGUAGUUGUACGAUUGAACUGCAUCCAUCGACGUGGUGCAUGAAUUGUUGAGCCAACACUGGGGACAUGUCUUCAUGAACACCAUCUAGUGAGGACAGCAUGCAGAAAAAUAUCAAAACAUGUCAUAGGGAGGCAGACCAAUCUUGCGAGGUAGACGAAACGUGAUACACGAUCUGCCUACCUUGUCGUGGAUACCCCAAGUGAAGAUGUCAUAGAGGUGCAGACCAAGCUAGCAAGGAGGUAGAUGAAACGUGAUACACGGCCUGCCUACCUUGCCGUGGAUAUUAGUCCUGAUAUCAUUCUAUUGUUCAAGGAAUAACACUCAAUGCUGCUGCUGCUGCUGACCUGGCUCCAUAAAGUUAUAUUCCUCUAGCCGCUUGCACUAACUUUAUCUGAAGUAUUAUUCUCUCUGCACUGUAUAUAUGGUUACGGAGUUUGCUGGAGUAUCCGGGGGGAAGAACCUACAUAAUAUGUCUUGGAACUAACUGACAUUGAUUCACAGACAAGGUGCUGUUGUUGCCAUAUUUUAGAGCAUCCCAAAGGACUAUAAAUAAUAUAGUUUACCAUAUACCGUAUACCAUUAUAUGUUAGCUAAAAUAAGAGCAUAACAUGUCGCAGGAGUCCAAAAGCACCGGUUGAGGACCAGGUACAUUAAAUUACUAGAAAACGAAAGGGGACAAGGUUUAGGUAGCCACAUGAAAAACAUUUGAAUUUACUGUACCAUGAACACUUAGUUACCAUGCCGGGAGCACCUAGUUAACACUAACAUUUAGCCACUUUAGAUCAUCCCGAAACACCAAUGACCCUCAAUAGCGACAAAUUUUGGUUUAAAUGCCGUCACCAAUGAUCCUCAAUAGUGACGUGUUUAGGUUUAAAUCCCGUCACUAAUAACCCUUGGUAGUGACGUGUUUUGGUUUAAAUCUCAUCACCACUGAUCCUCACUAGUGACGUGUUUUUAGCAACACACGUUAUGAAUGACUUGUCAUUGGUGACAUGUUAAACGCGUUAUCUCAAUGGCAAAUCAAUGGUGACGUGUUUAAAAAAACAUGUCACCGUGAGAGUUAUUGGUGAAGGGUAAUUAAAAUGCAUCACUAAUUUUGUAGCAUUAGUUAUGAUAUAAUUUUGUAACGCAAAAAUCUACCAUAGUAACGAGGUUUAGAGCCGUCGCUAAUGUGGGUUUCUUACGUAGUGAUGCAAGCUCUACAAGGUGCUGUUGUUGCCAUUUUAAAGCAUCCCAAAUGACUACAAGUGUCUGGUUGAGGACUAAACAAAUUGAAUUACUAGAACCAAAUGUAUGUCCAGAACAAAGAAAGGGGUCAAGGUUUGGGUAACCGCAUUAAAAACAUUGGAUUUUACUGUACCAUGAACACUUAGUUACCAUUACCAUGCCUUGAGCACCUAGUUACCACAAACAUUAAUUUAGCCACUUUAGAGGUUCCUCAAUCACUAUAAAUAAUAUACCAACACCGUACCAUGAAAACAUCAAGAAGAGAGACAGGUACAUGGACCACCAUCAAGUGAGUAGUGACAGCAUGCACAAGAAUACCCGGAACCUUUUAGCUUGUCUGUAGUGAUCUGUUUUCUUCCCCGUAAAAUCCAUGAGUAUUGCCACAAAUAAUGAAAGAGGCUGACCAAGCUAGCAACGAGGUAGAGCAAACGUGAUACACGUAGGUUUCAUUCAAGACAUCCAUGUAAGAUUCAUUCAAAACAUUCAUGGAAAUUUCUUAUAAGUUUUCAUGUAAAUUUCAUUCAAGACAUUUGUUAGAGGUGUUGUAUAUAUACUUAACGUACAUAUAUCUAUGAUUUCAUGGUUGUUAGUGAUGGCAGAUGAGGAGCAUGCAAGGUAUUUAAUGGAGCAGAUUAUUGCUAGUGGCAGUGGCUCCAACCUGCCCGUAACGUACACCGACGAAGAGGGCAGCCAGGCGGACAUGUUCCUCAACAUGUCCGGUGAUGGCAAUGAAGAGCCCGAGCAAAACCUUGCCGUGACGGAAGGUUCCAGCGAGGUAUAUAUCAUUUCCAUUAUUUUACCCCAUCUAUAAUUUCAUAUUCAUUAUUACUAUGUACUAAUUAACGAAUCUUGAACCGUUAGCCCUCUAGAUCAACGAACCGAAAUAAGCCCCGAGGUCUUACAAAGAUAAUGCAGGGAAGGCUUCACAUCAUGGAAGUCACAGAAGAGGGCACCUCGGUUGCUCCCGAACAUGUGGCAAGAACGUACGUGAGUCAAACCGGGGCAAUCGUAAGGGACAACGUGCCCAUCAGCAUCAGGGAAUGAAAGAGCAAUAGAAAUGAUCUAUACGCACCCCCGGAUACACAAAAGGAUAUGCUGUGGGCAAAUAUCAAGAAACACUUCACAUUUCCCAAAGGAUAUGUUGAAAAAGAUGUGAAAGCGUGGAUGCUGAAGAAGAUGGCCACCCAAUUCCAAACAUUCAAGAAGAUGUUGGAUGCCAACUUCGUCAAGAAGGGUCGAACUCCGGGUUUCGAUGAGUGGCCAAAGUUAAGGGACCACUGGGAGUCAUUUGUCGAAUACAAGACGAGCGAAGGUGGUGCCAGUAAGGUUCGCAUCAAUGUUGCCAAUGCUAGCAAGGAGUACCAUCAUCAUCUAGGGCGACGUGGUUACAGCACUGCAAUUCCCAGAUGGCGCAAGAUGGAACAAGACUUGAUCGAUCGGGGUAUCGUACCAGCAACUCUUGACUGGCCUGAUCGAUUGAAAAAUUGGUAUUAUGCUCAUGAAGGCAAUCUGAGCCAAGAGGAUGCGACAUUGGUCUUCAAUAAAACAAUACAUCAGAAGGUCGGAAGGCUUAUUAGGAACAUUGAAGAUGCUAAAGCUGGGAGGUUCAAGGUGGAUAGAGAGAAUGAUGAACUCACAUUGGCCCUCGGGACUGUCAUCUCUAGCACUUCCAGCUCCAGGACUAUCAUCACCACCGGGACCGUCGCUUCUUGCUCGAUCACAGUCUCCAUCUCCAGCACAUCCUGGUGGUGCGAGCGACGACGACAACAACACCCCUCCCUGCCCACCAUUGCCGGGACUAAGACCCGCAUUGUGUAAGGAACCUGCAACACCACUGAAGAAGUCGCGACCACCACCUUCAAGGCAAGUCAGCAAAAGAAGAAAGCAGAGAAGCCUAAACCCACUGAGAAGCCAGCGACUGAUAUGACCGAUGCGGAAAGAUGGAAGGCACUCAAAGAAGAAUGCAUGGAGUGGUUCAGAAAAAGGACCAAAGAAAGAAAAGGAAAGGAGAUGGAGCCACCGCCAGUAGAUCCAAGAAAAUUAUAAUUUUUUAUUAAGAUGUCAAAAGGAGCUAAGAAGAUGAUGCCACAACUAUCAAACUACGACUGGGCGUUAGUCAAGGCUGAUGAGAGUUAAAAAAGGAAAGGAAAGUCAUCGUCAAGUGGUACUGUCCCCCAGCUCGAGGAUCUACCAGAAAAAGAUGCUAAAAAGAUAGUAGCAAUGCUCUUGGAUCAACAAACACAUAUAUCGUGAGAUUAAUGCAAGAAACAGGUAUGUCCCUUGCUGAAUGUCUAUGGCAAGUUGAUAUGCUAGCUCCAGAGCCAGUUGUACCGAAAUGGACCUUUGAGCUAGGCAAGCCUCUAGUAAGGCCUGAGUUGGUACAGAAGCUAUCCACAUAGAUGCAUGAAUUCCAUGAAUGGUACAUGAAGCAGUCUGCCAAUGAGAGGGAAAUGUUCGGUCUCGAGGAAAAACUAAUAAUUUUUUUCGGCGAAGGCGAGAAAGUCGUAUGAAUCAAAUUCAAGGAUAUAUAUGAAGUGAACCAUCAGGAUGCCCUUGAUGUCUCUCUCAUCAGCGCCUAGGUUUUGUAAGUGUAUGUUUAUCUAUACGUAAAUUUUGGCUCAUAUCAUUAUUUUUUUUGCGUGCGUCACCCUACUAACUUCGUCUUCCAUUUUAUGUAGGAUGCUAAUUCAGACGUGCCGCAUAGAAGCGUACUUCCAUGUUGGCUUCAUGGAUCCAUCCCUAGUUAACCAAAAGCCGAUACGGAAGUAGCUAGAGAAAACGUUGGAGGUGGUGUACAACUUUCUGGACAAACAAAACUACAGAAUAGGGGCAAUAUGUGAGGGUCUUGUAGGAUUCCUAGUGGACGAGGUGAUAAAUCCAUAAGGAGAAUAUCAUUACAACGGACGAGCAUUAGACACACUGAGCAACACCUAGACGGGAGGAUCCUAGGAAUGACCUCAACAGAUUUUGGUAUAAAUAGUAAUUGUGUAAAUACUAGUUUGAUUUGUAUAGGAAUAUACUAAGAAUUGUAUAUAUAGUAAUUGUACAAAUACUAGUUUGAUUUGUAUGAAUACUAGAUUGAUUUUAUUAUAAAAAAGUUUUAAGUCGUACGUGCAUGCGCCUACAAAGGCGCGGAUGCCCUUUAAUCCCAGUCGGAAAAACAAACCGGUACUAAAGGGGCUCGUGCCGCACCUGGCAUGACCACCCCUUUAGUCCCGGUUGAACGACCCAGGACUAAAGAUCUCCGCGUCUCAAAAAUUUUAUCUCGGAUGCUUUUUAGAGAGAUUUGAGGCCUAUCAACCAAGACUAAUAUCGAGUUUUCUACCAGUGGAACUAACUAACGUUCACAUGCUUUUGACAUUCACCUGCCAUUUGGUGUAGACAAGGGCACCCUAACAUAUGGUUAAUAUUAUUCUUGAAAGAAAAUCCUUUGAUUCAAAAUACUUCAAACCUAAUAAUACAAUACUUCUCACAUCUCAAAAAUAUGAGACGGCCCGACAGUAUUCUAACCGACGCAAUAAUAUUUUGAGGGCAGCACUACUACAGCGACCCUCAUUCGUGCCGGUGCUGGGACUCCUAUCACGACCCUGAUACAAAUGAGGGUACAUUAUUGGUGCCAGUGCUAGAACAGCCACCAAUAACUUGCUAAACGUGCUGUUACACUCACUACAGGGACCAAGAAGGUAGAUAAAUUACACGACAUAGCCUUGGUUGCCGUGGAAGCGCCAAGAAGGGAGACAAAUUACAGGGACCACACCAUCAAGUAGAUAGUGACAAUAUGCAGAUGAAUACCCGCGCCUGUUAGCAUGUGAACUGACCACACCACGAAACGUGAUACACGGCAAGCGUACCAAGGCCUUGCUGUGCAGACUAUGCGUGGACAACACAUGGUACCUGACCGCUUUUGGCCUCAGACACAUCGAAAAACUGCAUCGUUCCACGUUGUACAUCCACUGCUAGUUUAUCUAUAUUACAUAAUAUAUUAUUAGCUAUUUGAAUAGAAUGAACCAAUUAAAAAAUUGCGUUGUAUUUUAGUACCGGCUGCAGGAUGGUGUUACCAACCAGUACUAAUUAGCCUGUAGGAGUGAUGGUUAUUAGACUUGGUACUGUUGUUACAUCAUUAACCUAAUUGUGCGCGGUAUGAAUUUGGGGAUGCAAAGCUAGCUCUCUAUGAAUGUGAGGGACGGAAAGCUAGUUCUCUAGUAGUAAUUAGCUAUAUAUAUAUGACAGUCAAGAAAUCGAACACUAUGCUGCUACGAGUCACCAUCAUUUCCUUCAUUGAGAAUCUGACAUAGGUGAAGCUGCUUCAAGAAUUUCCUUCGCGCAGUCGUGGAGCUUAUUGGAUUAUCACCAGGACGGGACACGGAAAUGGCCAGCAAUGAAGCUGAUUGCCGUCUGAGGAAGACUACAUACUUUACCUAUGAAAUGAAGCGAUUGCAUAGACUAAUGAAGCAUUGCAUAUUUGCAUGUGAGUGUGGCAGAUAAUUCUGCAGGACAUGAUUGCAAUCCACGCACCAUCGAGAAGACUGGGGCGAUGGGGUUGCCUCAUCAAUAAUCACGUGGAUGCAUGCAUGCAUGUUCCCGCAACCGGACAAGGGUCUGAUAUAUGGCUAUAGUAUUACUGAGCCCACAUCAAUAAUUUCCGCUGGUGUAUCGUGUGGGAAGAAUCAACAUACUACACCUCGAGUUCUUGGAACUAACUGACGUUCACAUGCAACCUCCACAAGGUGCUGUAUAUAUGCUUUUGACAUUCACCUGCCAGUUCGUGUAGAGGACACCCUAACGUAUGGUUAAUAUUAUCCAUUUCAUGAGUAAAAUACUGUGAUUCAAAAAUACUUCAAAUCCCUUGAGACAAUACUUCUCACUUGACUAACCACUAACCAACCCCGAAACCCUAACUCAACUCCGAACCCUAACACCUAACGGCAUAACCACUCCGUUUUGCCAGCCAGAUGGAGGAACUGGCUGGGAGGGAGAGAGGGCAGCGGUCCAGGGUUGAAAACGACGGGCGAGCGCAGUAACAUGUGGAGGAGGAAGUGCCACGUAUUCGUUCACCGCUAUUGGGCAGCGACACACAACACGCCCAAUAAGAUCUUCGCACGGUAGAAGGACGUCAUGUAUUCAAUAAUGUUAUUGGUCCUCCAUGUGCAGAAGGGCGCGUAUGGAAUAACAAGUAGGGACACUGCAACUAAUCUACUCUGCUCGUCCAGUCCCUAGCCUAUAAAUAGAUGCCAUGCUAGCUCUUGUUGUGCUCACAGUUAAUCCGAUUACACACGAGCUCCUCUCCCUAGCCAAGACACAAUCAUAGUAUGAUGAAGAACAUGGCACUAGCCGGCAAUGGUAUGAAGAAGUUAAUCCUCGCUGUUCUCUUACUGUGUCUAGUUAUAGGGCAGAUACAAGUGGAAGCUAAGAGCUGCUGCCCAUCCACCACUGCAAGAAAUGUCUACAAUACCUGCCGUUUGACGGGUGCAUCCCGUCCAAUGUGUGCAAAACUGUCAGGCUGCCAAAUUAUCAGCGGGAACAAAUGCAAGCCCCCUAACGACCACCUCACCCUUGACCCGGACACUGGUAAAUAAUAAAUUUAUCUCACUUGAUUUCUUUGUGUUUUGAGUCGUUAAUGUAUUUUCCAUCUGAUGAAACGCAUUGGUUUUGCAUUGAAGAGGAAGUUAAUGUGCUUAACUUCUGCAAGUUGGGGUGUGCGUCGUCUGUGUGCAACAACAUCAACGCUGGUAAGCACCUUUUGCUCAGACAGAGAAAACAAUAAUCAUUAAUUAGCGGCAGCUAGAAUCCUAUAAUCUAAUAUAUAUAUAUAAUUUUAUCAGCUCUGGGAAAUGAAGAGGCGAACGAUGCCGUUGAGAGUUGCGACCAAGCCUGCUCUAGCUUCUGCAGCGUGCAUGUUGGCAGCGCCACCGUGGUUGCUUAAGCAAAUGCAUCCAACUAGAUCGUCCUUGUGCUGAAUAAUUGGAUAUCGUAUCCACUUAAAGCUGCCUUGUGUAGUACGUCUUUGUGUCUCUCUUUAUAUUCCAAUAAGGUCGGUGAUCUUGAUGCCACACACUCAGAUGUGUGUUCAUCUCCAGAUACUACUCCAUGCUACCUGCCCUUUGUGUUUUGUUCAAUAACUGGGUAUCAUAUCCGAGCCAGUAUGCCGUCUGUUUUGUGUUUGUUUCCUUCUAGUUCCAAAGGGGUCAUCAUGAUGUUACCUUCUUUCAAUAUGGUGCUUUGCAUGACUACUGUUGUAUGGUACCAUCUUGUGGCCAAUAAGUACAUCUUAUCCUAUGACCCUUUGCUAUGACCCUUUGCAAAUAAGUAGAAGAUUGUUAUAAGCGUCAAUACUCAGUAUAAUUGAUCGCUGCUGUGAGUUCCCUUUCAGCUUAUCGUAGGCAUACAUUAUUGCUAGCACGGUAAAGCCAACCAACACGAAUGAUGAAGUAAACGUAGCGGUACUUCUGUAUACCAACACCCUUACUUAAAUGUACCGGUGUCAUUCCCUACUGGCACAUAUAUUCUUAUAUGCUAGCCAGCUUGUAAAAUUAACCAAUUAAAAUAAUUAUUUCAAGAUAGAAAUAACUUAUUGGCUUCUCGAAGCAUGUGUAAUGUGAAUUCAUGAGACUUCAAGCAACCAGGAAAAGACACUAAUAAACAUCCAGAUCCCAUCCAGCACACAUCCAUGCACAUAUAUAACCCACAUAUUGCUCCAGCACACAUCCAUGCAUAUACGAUAUCCAAAUGUUAAUAUUGUAGACAUCCAUGCCUGAACUAGUCUGCCACACAAGUCAUUGAUGCUACAAAUUCUACAAUCGCAGCAUGUGCAUACAACUUACAGAAUGAGAUAAUGUACCAAAACUAAAACGUUAGCAUCAACUGUGCUUCAACCAAAGUUGUCAUCCCAACUCUCCUCUUCAUCCAUGCCAUUCUUGUCAUGGCCGUCGCUGUCAGUCUCCAUGGCAUUGCCAAUGCUGUGUAUGUCUUGGUAGGAACCUACAUGUGAUGAACAGUAACCUGCAAAAAGAGCUCAAAGGAUCUUGUUCUCAUAUUGUAGCUGUGAAAUUCUUGCAAGUAGUGUUGCAAUCUGUUCACUUUGAACCAAAAGAGCUCAAAGGAUCUUGUCCUAAAAGUUCCUCUUAAAGCUUAUGGGUUUGCUGGUGGAACCGGAAGGGCUUGAUGCAGCAGAUGCCAUUCUGCAAUAGAGAAAAAUUUAGAGGGCAGUACUAGUUAAAAUUUGAUGCAGCAGAUACACACGAAACUAGUAUUUAUACAAUUCUAUAUAUGUAAUAAUUUGUCCCCUAAAUUUUUAGGAUCCUCUUGAUGGUGGUGAGUCUUCCAGUAAGGCAAUUGAAUGUCCGUCAUAAUAAAAUUCUCCUUAGGAUUUAUCAUCUCGUCAACCAGAAAUCCUAGGAGUGCUUCUUGGAUUGCCAAAACCCUAUCCUGAUGCAGGAGUUCGUCCUUAAGCCUUAACAUUUGUAAUUUGGAAAUAUGUGAAAGUUAAACCAACAAUUAAAAUAUAAGGAGCCUUAUCAUCAUUUCCAUGUGUUGCGAAUUAAAAUAAUGAAUAAUACAGUGUUAGGUGAAAAUUCAAGAAACAAAAUUUUGCAUAGAGAUAAACGUCCAACAUUAUUACAAGUUAAGGUAGUUUUAAAUAUCCUUGUAAUCUUCCUUUGAUUUCCUCAACGAUUCGAAGACAAUAACCUUACUUCUAUCAAUGAUAAUUAUAAGGAGAACCCAGUGAAAACUGUGUAUUCAUAUUAGAACUACCUAAGGUUAAUUAGGUUAGGAAAGGAAAUCGAAAAUAGAUGGUACCCACACUUACUUAAAGUUGUCGGGCAAUAGUAUGUAAUGCUUGUAAUUCCGUUGCUCCAAGAAUUUGUAUAUGUGGUCCAAUGUAGACUUUGGUUGAUUCCGUAUCUGCUGUUGGUUAAAUAAGUGUUUCUAGCCAUUACUAGCCGUUAGAACUCGGACUAAAGGGGGCUCUUUAGUACGGGUUGAUAUUACUAAUCGGGAUUAAAGAGCCCCCAUUAGAGUUGGUUUUUGGACGCGGAACUAACAACUCCUUUAGUCCUAAGUACAAAAAUGACUGAAAUAUUUGUUGCUGGAUGGAAGGUCCUUUCUCUACCAUGAAUAUUGCCAGAAAGAAUUGAAAGAGACUGCUUGCUAAAAAUAUGUCAUAGAUGUAGACCAAGCUACCAAGGAUGUAGACCAAACAUGAUACACACCAUGCGUACCUUGCUGUGCAGACUAUGCAUUGACAAGAUAGAAAUAAUUAAUUCUAAUAUGCGUACCCUUACUUACACUAGUAGAGAAUUGGGCUUUAAUCCCGGUUGGUAAGGUGCAAAUAUCUCGAAAAUGCAUCCGGGAUAAACCAACCGGGACAAAAGGGGGAUCUUUUAUCCCGGGUCACUCAACACGCGAUUUUUCACAAAAAAAAAAUUCCCGAGCUCCCAGGCAGGCCCCCCACACGCGAUUUUUCACGCGAAAUAUGCGCGUGCGCGGUUCGUGGGAUUCGAACCCACAACCUCCAGCCUCGCGCGUAGUUUCCUUGCCAUCCCACCUACACACCACAUCUGACUAUGUAGGGGAUACUAUCCUUUUGUAUUAAAAGGCUCUUGACCCUUUUAUCUCGGUUGGUGUUACCAACCGGGAUAAAAGGGGGGGUCUUUUAUCCCGGUUGGUGUUUCAAACCGGGAUAAAAGGCCUCUCAGAGUCUUUUUUUCCCAUUAGCCUUUGCAACCGGGAUAAAAGGUUCCGGUUGGUGAGCCCCCCACCAGUGACCGAGUUUUAGUCCCGGUUGGUGAACCUUUUGUCCCGGGCCAACUUUAAACCGGGACAAAAGGGGGCGUAUGGAAAGCCAAUUCUCUACUAGUGUUAAAUAUACCGGUGUUAUUGCCCACUGGCACAUAUAUUCUUAUAUGCUAGCCGGCUUGAAAAUUAACCGAUUAAAAUAAUUAAUUCAAGACAGAAAUAACUUAUCGGCUUCUCGAAGCAUGUGUAAUAUGAAUUCAAGGACUCGAUGGAAGUUGAAUCGCUUCAUCUAGAUUGCUUUCAGGAUUUUGGGUAACUAAAUUUAACAUUUGCACACACAAAUGUUAAUGUACAAAUGUUAAAUCUAGUUACCCAAGCAGAAUAUGAAUAUACUCUAUAGUAUACAUAUACUAUAUAAAUCUAGUUAAUAUUUAGUCUAAAUGUUAAAUCUAGUUACCUAAAAUCCUGAAAGCAAAAUGUAUAAAUAUAUAUCUUUUAAGGCAGUAUAAACUUCGAUUCCUUUUGCUGCUCUGUUAAAUCUCAUCUUUCGUUGUGGCCCAACACUCUAGUAUGUAUGUUGCACCAAGCUUCCUUGAGCCGCUCUGCCCUCUGAUUUUGCUGCGUAGGGGAAUCUUUAUCAGGUUGGGCUGCUUCCAGUCAUACGAUGUGUGGCUUCAUAUCUUCUACAAGUUAGACAGGAAACCCGCGUUCUGGAAGAUUCUGCAACGUGCACGUUGGCGCUGCCACCGUGGUUGCUUAAGCAAAUGCAUCCAACUGAAUCGUCCUUGUGCUAAAUAAUUGGAUAUCGUAUCCACUGCUUAAAGCUGCCAUGUUUAGUACAUCUUUGUUUUUCUCUCUUUAUAUUCCAAUAAGGUCGGUGAUCUUGAUGCCACACACUCAGAUGUGUGUUCAUCUUCGGAUACUACUCCAUGCUACCUGCCCUUUGUGUUUUGUUCAAUAACUGGGUAUCAUAUCCUAGUCAGUGUGCCAUCUGUUUUGUGUUUGUUUCCUUCUAGUUCCAAAGGGGUUAUCAUGAUGUUACCUUCUUUUGAGGUGUCUAUGACUUUGUUAAUAUCAAUAUUAACCAAUUCAAUCUAUCUUAACUAUUUGUAAGGGGUAUGAUGUAUGCAUGAUUAUAACAAUGAUUGCGCAUACAAUCACUGCCAAAGAAACGGUCAAUACCAUAAAGACAUAUUACAGACAAUUCUCAUAAUCUAUAAUGAAUAUACAUAUUCACUACUGCAGAGACUGUCAUCUGUAUCAGCUCAUACGUGCCAGGGCAAAGGUCACCCUUGCAUUAAAAGUACAUUUGCACGGUAAAGAUAACCAACACGAAUAAUGAUGUAAACAUGCCGGUGCUUUUGUACACCAACACGCUUACUUAAAUGUACUGGUGUCAUUCCUCACCGGUAGCCGGCUUGAAAAUUAACCAAUUAGAACAAUUAUUUAUUGUAUCGGUGUGAAUUUUGACCUAUUGGAAUAUGAAUUUGACCAUUACUGCAUUCGUCAAGACUCAAGAGAGAAAUAACUGAUCGGCUUCUUAGAGCGUGUGCAAUGUGAAAUCAAGGACUGGAUGGAAGUUGAAGCGCUAGCUUCAUCUUCCGCUGCAUGUUAAUUGCUUGGAUAAGAAGUUGUAGCCGCGUAUAUAAAUAGUCCCGCUGAUGCUGUGCUCCGAAGUCUAUACUAUAUAUGCGAAAACUAGAUUGCUUUCAGGAUUUUGGGUAACUAAAUUUAACAUUUGUACAUAAAAAUGUUAGUUUACGAAUGUUAAAUCUAGUUACCCAAGCAGAACAAGAAGAUAGUAUAUACUAUAUACUAUGUAAAUCAAGUUAACAUUUAGUCUAAAUGUUAUAUCUACUUACCCAAAAUCUUGAAAGCAAAGAAAGAAUAAGUAUAUAUCUUUUGUUGGAAAAUUGGUCCACGGAGAGUGGCCUCGUUCGUUUCACCGGGAAGGAAUUCCAGUCAGGAUUACUUCCAAGUCCGGUUUAAGUGAUUCCACCCAUGUCACUCAAUUCGGCUAGGAUUCAUUCCAGGGGUGAGGAGGUAUGGUUUCAAUCCGGGCCAUCUAAUGUAGAAGGAUUCCAAUCCAGGCCGGUUUUCGUUCUAGGCUAGACUAAAACGAACAACACUUUCAAUGCAAGUCUGGUUUCAAACCGGGCCACUUCAAACCACCCGGAAUGGACCUCAUUCCGGGCCAAUCCGGUGAUAACAAACGAGGCCUUAAUGGAAUCCCAAAGCAAGAGUUCAGUGGCAUUCUAUAGUCCCAUGCUGCUAGUUUGAGUUGGUCGAAGCCAACUUAAAUAGGAGAGCUCUCUCACUUCUCUAAAAAUGUAACUGAAGGAGAGAAGGGGGCUUGGGUUACACAACGCACGCACGCACGCAUAUUUGCAUUCUUUUCGCGUAACCGACCGCGUGACUUGAAACUUGCGACGUAGCGUGCUGCUAAGUCAAGUUGAUAUAACCUUUUUGCCGUUUGCGUGUAAUCUUUUGACAACGGUCAUUGGAGGUGAUAAGCACGCAGUCAAUACCUUAAUCCUGAGUUAAUAGGGCGGUUACUACUGCCAAUUAGUGCAGCAAUUUUGUAGGGGAAACGGUUAGCAGAGGGCUACCGUCUUCUCUAUAAGAAGUUUUGGAGACGUCCAGGAACACACAUGUACAUGUGAGAGACCCACGGAUUCCUUCCCUUCUCCCUUUUCCAUCUGGUGAAGUGUGCUAUGGUACUGAGCUGCUGGAUCUCGCUGGCUCUUCUCCUUGGCGUGCACCGAGGAGGAGGAUGAGCGGUAUCUCUGAGCUAUUGCCGUCAGGAAGCCUGCACGAGGGACAACAAUAAAGUUUUUAGGUAGCGCCUGCCUAAUCUUCGAUCUGCACUGCAACGCGUAACCCUGCAGCAACUCUACACGAGGACGGAGCACUAAUCUGUAAGUCCUAGAUUGGUUUCUUACAGAGUUGUAGGUUACACAAGAUCUAGAAUGGUUACAUACCAAUUAUUAUGGGUUACAUGAUGUUUUGUACGGUUUCGUCUAUUUUGCAUAUGUUAUUUUUACAUACCGUUUACAUGCAUAUGUUAAUGGUUACACCUAGCUAUUUGAAUCUAGAAUUGGGUUACAUAGCAGUAGCAAUGAGUUACGUAAUAUGCCUCACGUUUAUAUCUGGUAGAAUUUAACACGUAUCUCCAACAUAUUUUGAGGCAGUAUAAAUUUCAAUUCCUUUUGCUGCUCUGUUAAAUCCCGUCUUUCGUUGUGGCCCAACACUCUAGUAUGCAUGUAGCACCAAGCUUGUUUGAGCCGCUUUGUGCUUUGAUUUUGCUGCGUAGGGGAAUCUGUAUCAGGUUGGAUUGUUUCUUUGUCUUGCGAUGUAUAGCUUCAUAUCUUCUAGAGGUUAGACAGCAAAACCCGCAUUCUCUUAAGGCAACAACCCGAAGAAUCUGCAGCGCCUCUGAUAUAUCACUGCUGCAGAAACGAUCUUUAGUACUGAUCUCCAACCCUCUUUAGUAUCGGUUGGGCAACCAGUACCACUAUGUCGGUACUAAAGGGAGUUCUCUAGAAUCGGAUCAAAUAACCGGUACUAAAAGGGCUCCUUUACUACCGGUUGGUAACAACAAUAGGUAGUGACUUUUUUGCACCCAAAAAAUUAAAGAAUAACAGCCGGGAGGCUCGCACACACACGCAUCAUGAGUAAUAUGCGCGUGCAUGGUUUGUGGGAUUUCAACCCACGACCAAGCUAUAAGAACGUAGUUACAACAAAUCAAACACUUAGACAUUUUAGAGCAUCCCAAAUAACUACAAAUUCUAUAGUUUACCAUAUACCAUAAAAUAUUAGUUAAAAUAAGAGCAUACACAUGUCGGAAGAGUCCCAAUGCACCGGUUGAGGAUCAGACCAGGCACUUUGAAUGCACAUGCCAUAAGAUAAUUCUGCAGGACAAUGAUUGCAAUAAUGGACCAUCGAGAAGAUAGGGGCGAUGGGGUUGCCUCAUCAAUUAUCACUUGGCGCAACAAGACCAGCAAAGUCUUUAUCGACGGGGGUGGAUCAAGGGGUGGGGCAGGCAGAGCUCCAGUCCUCCUACCGCCGCUCGAACAAUGGAGCCCCCUUAGCCCCUCCAUAAAUUUUUAGGUAGAAGAAAAAAGAAGAGAAGGGAAGCAAGGGGAAGAAGAGGGAGCCCCUGCUAAGUAGGUCGCCAUCGUGCUUCCCAACGCAUGAUCGCCGCACCGCAUCCAUUCCUCUACAAGCCUUCAGCGUCUCUCCCGCCGCUACCUCUGAACCAUGUGCAGCUAUAGACCCAACUAGUGUGUUGUCGCCCAUCUCAGUCCCAACAGAGCGGCGGCGGCUGCCAACACAAAUCUCCCUCCGCCUCUUCUUCACGGUCGAUGGCCGCCACAAGCAUAAACCUCGCCUUCGCAUCCAAGCAAAAGGGUCGUUGGGGUGCCUUCUUGCAUCACUUCUCAGCCUCCUUCACUUGCGGCCAGCGAAGAACUGCGCCACCACCUCGGGUGCGUGCCACCACUCCAGGGCCGCUACCCCAUGCCUGCGGCCGCCACCGGCCACCACGCGUGUGCAACCGCGUUGCACCGCUUCCCUGCUUUGUGCCACCACUACUGCUGUACCACCAGCUCCACCACCUUGGGAUGGUCGCCAGGGUGACUGAUUGGUGAUUAUUACUAAAAAUAAGUUCCUUAUUAUCUGCAACUACUAUUAACUCAGAGAUACAUGCGUCUUUUGCUUCUCCUGCUAAUAGGUCCUAAAAUAUCUAGGAUGCUUUAUAUUUCUGGACAGAGGAAGUAUUUGAAUAAAAUGAACCAAUUUAAAAAAAAUGUGUUGUACACUACUACAGAAAGACCUAUCAGUGUCAAACCCAAAAAUGUCGUCACCGCCAGUUUUAGGCAUCGUUGGUGAAAGGUUGGCGGUGAUGGGCAUCCCCUUCAACAACGGCACUGGAGCCGACGGUGAUUGACAUUAGAAAACAAAAAAGGGAACCCCACCUAGCCACCCCUGCAACCCAGCCGGCCGUGCCUCCCCUCAUGCCCACCACCUCGCCUCCCCCGUGACCCCCCGCCGGCGCCCUUGUGCCUAGCCCCCUCGCCUGCCCGGCCGGCCACCCUCGUCAUGAGAGAGAGAGGUGCAUGUUGUAUAAUUGCGUGAAUUUUUGAAUGUUUAAUUUUAUGUAAGUUCCAUGUAAUAAAUUGUACAAGUUUUAUUGUAUAUAUGAAUUCCAUAUAUAUGUAUUUAUAAUUUAAUGUAUGGUUUCAUGUGUAUAUUUCAAUCAUGUGUAUAAUUAGUAGAUUGCCGAUUUUCUUUUUCUACUAGACAAGGGUUGAUGUAUAAUUACGUGUAUAUGUUUAUUGUAUGGGCAAUUAGGACAAGUUUUGUAUAAAUUUCUUUUAUUUCAUGGUUGUUGUAUGGUUUCAUGUAUAUACAUUUAUUGUACUACUUGAGACAAUUUUAAUUUAAUAUUUCUAUGAUUACAUGUGUGUAUAACUAAUUGUAUUAUUAGUUAAGAUGGGAGCCAAAGAGGAUGAAAGGUAUAUAAUAGAGUAGAUUAUUGCUGGCGGUAGUGGCUCAAACGUUGCAAGAACCUACACCGAGGGUGAGGGUAGCUAGGUGGACAUGUACCUCAACAUGUCCAGUGAUGGCAAUGACGAUGAGGAGCACGAGCAUGACGUCUAUGAUAAUGCGGAACAAGACAUUGCAGAAUUGGAAGGUUCUAAUGAGGUGUGCUUCAUGUUGACGAUCUAGUUGGCUUUUUUUCUUUGGUCACACCUUAGUUACCAUAGAACUUCGUCUCGGGAGAAGAUUGGUGGUGCUAUGGUGAUUGGAAUUUUAUUGCCUCCAAAUUUGAUUUCCAUCGAAUCAUAUCCCUUGUAUUUAUCUUCUUUUUAUUUGUGAGAGCAUCUUCUUUAUGCUUGCAAAACAAUUCAAGUGCACAUACUACCCCUAGGGUGAUGAUUGGGAGUAGAAACAAUUGCCAACAAAACAACACCACAUCCUAAGAUUCUUAACUUGUGGCAUAAUUAAUCUAGUGAAAAGAAAGAUAAAAACCUAAUGGGUGUACGUGAGUGCAAUGUGUAUAUGCAUAUGAGUGGAAGGCAUAUAAGCAAAGACAAUAUUUACACAUAGUUCUAAACACCAUGUUUACAGCUAGGUUGCUGAAUUUCUCCAUAGCUAUAGAGAUUAAUUAACCAAGGUCAAAACACGAUGUCUAUCCCAAGAUCAGUAAUUCUUUAUAGCACAAGAAAAAUAAAGCGCAUUGCAAAGUUUAUAAACCAACCAAUACAGCAUGAAAACAAGAUGAAUAGCUAGCAAGGUUUAUUAAAUUGAAUGAUGACGGUCUGCAAGCAAGUUUGAACACCAUCUUUACACAAGAUUGCAAAUGGAAAAUGCCCAUAUGAAGCACUAACAUGGAUAUGAAAUCAUUCAUCAUAAAGCGUAAAGAACAACCAAGCCAACCAUAUGCAAAGCAUGAAUGGAAUGCAAUGAAGGUGCAAGAGAACAUUUUUGGAUGAACACAUUAUGAUGAUGGCAAAAUGCAAUGCGUGCAGAAAUAAUAAAUAUGAACAUGAAUAUGAUGAUCAGGGGCGGACCCACUAUUGUGGCCUGGGUAUUCCUGGGCAUACCCAAUAUUUUUGGGAAAAUGUUUAGUAGUUUUUAAUGGCAUAUACAUGUAUAAUAUAGUUUAGGUGUUAAAAUUGAUAUUCACAGCUAUUUUGGGCUCCAAUUCGCGUCCAAACCAACCUAGCCCACAGACCACACCCGGCCGGCCAGCCCAUCGGCCCAUCUAGUCACUGAUCCUUCCACCACCACACUCAGCCCAUCAGUCGGUCAGGUCCCGAGCUCCUGCCUGACCUAGUCUGCUACCGCCGCCGGGCGCCAAGCACAGCCGUACGCAUUGCACCGCCCCCGUCCACCCACGUCCGUUGGGGGGCCAAGCCGCGCCCCCCAGCCCCCGCGGUGAGAUCUCGACGCCCGCUGCCCCCAGACCCCAUUAGGCCUCCAUCGGCAAGUCCACCCACAGUCCCACGGGACGGGGCAGCCUUUUGGCUUUGGGCGCUCGGGGCGCGCCAAUGCCAGCGCAGCCCCAGCAGGCGACUGCCCCCCCCCCCCGCAUCAGGCCUCAGCCCCUCCCCAGCUCCCCCUCCCCCCUCCACCAGGACUGCUUGUUGGCCCCCACCGCGAGGUAAUCGAAAUGGACUGCUCAAUCACUCAAUCUGUUGACAUGAUGCACACGGNNNNNNNNNNNNNNNNNNNNNNNNNNNNNNNNNNNNNNNNNNNNNNNNNNNNNNNNNNNNNNNNNNNNNNNNNNNNNNNNNNNNNNNNNNNNNNNNNNNNNNNNNNNNNNNNNNNNNNNNNNNNNNNNNNNNNNNNNNNNNNNNNNNNNNNNNNNNNNNNNNNNNNNNNNNNNNNNNNNNNNNNNNNNNNNNNNNNNNNNNNNAUUUUUUUGCAAUGAGCAUACCCUACUCUGAAAUCCUGGGUCUGCCACUGAUGAUGAUGGUCUAAACAUAAAACAAGCCAAGAUUAAUUAGCCACAACUGAAAUUAAGCAAAGGUUAAUGUCAUUGACCCUAGCUCUAUCCUAGCUUUUACAAAAGUCCCAGCACAUAUAGUGGUUGGGCCCACUCUCUCUGCUUCCCUCUCUGCUGCAUGCAUGCACACGAGCAACGGGAGGCCCCACAAAGCCCAGAAGGGUUCGGCUGAACCCGGCCGAUCCAAUCUGAGCACCACUCCCUCCCAGCCUUCGCGCAGAUGCUCCUCCAACAUUCCUUGACCCCUCCCUCAGCGUCCCAUUGGGUUUAACAUUGCAGGAGAGGAGUCCCUUUUUUAAAAUCUCAACCACCUCCUCUCCUCAUUCACUCCACUCUCAUCUCCAUCAAACUCACCAAGAUCCACAUCGGAAAUCCCUGCUUACCACCAUGGCUGGCAAAGCCCUCGUCCCUUUCACCAACUUGGGCUUAACCAUUGAUCUCGAUGGGGAAAUCACUCCGGAAAUAGGGCAGUGACCCAGAGCAAAGGUGAUGCCAGAGUGUAGAUAGCAGUUAGCAUGCCAAAUUGUGAACCGCAAGCGCUCGGAUUAGUUGUUUUUUUUCCCUUAGAGAUUCCCCCAAGGUUUAUCAAUCCAUGGAACAAGGGAUUUGCACAUUUCACUAAGCAUUAAUCAAUGUAAUUGAAAGCUUUUUGAAUAAGAUAUGAUUAUGCUAACAAAGGAACUAAGCAAUCUAGAUUAAGAUGGAUAGAGAGUAAAGGUUGUGAACAAGAUAGAUUAAACGCUUAUAGAUGCAAUCACCAUGCAUGAAUGAAUUAGAUCUAGGUGUUAUUGUGAGUGGUUGUGAACCAUACCCCAACACUUUCCCACCCGCAACAUUGUCACUACAUGUGGGUACUCAACUAUCGAAACAUAAGAACACAUCAAGAUGAUCAUUCUAGGUAAGCAAAUAAGCAACCCAAAGUAGCGCUGGCCAGCCUUUUCAUGAAAGAGCAUCAUCAAGAUAAGAUUGAUAACAAAAUAGAUCUCAACCAAAGGUUCAGCGAUUACAAAUCAAGAUCUCCGUAUAACCCCGAUGACAAAUAGAGGUAUUACCCCCAUGAUCUUACACAUGUUGAUGAAUUUUAGGGUAAAGGACGCCCUGUAGAUCAACUGGACCAAAGAUGAUGAUGAACAGGGGCAGGGAAGGCCCAGGCUGAUCAGCCUGGGCACUUUUGAGCCGAUCAGCUUAGGGAGUUUCCUCCUCCCCUGGUGCUCCUCUUCGCGUGGCCUCCUCUGGAUCCAAUCUUCUCUUCAUUUCUCCUACUUGUGGUGGCAAUGGAUGGUGUUUGCAUGGUGAUUUCCUCUUCUCCCCAACUCUCCCUCCUUGAAGUCCAUGAGGGGGUAUUAAUAGUCUCCAAUAUGCGGCAGCUCUGGGUCAAUGUCGGUGAAAAAACCCUAGAGAUCAUCGUACACUUCACGCUGAGGAAACAAGAGGUCGACCGAGCCCUGGGAUAGACCAAGAGGAUCAGCCUAGAGGGUCCCAGGCCAAUCGGUCUAGGCCCUUCCUAGCCCUUCUAGUCCUCUCCUUCCUCGUGCUGGCUUUUCUCGAUGACCCUUGUCCAAAUAUCCAUUAAGCUCUAUAUACAUACCCCCUUGAUUAUGUCGUAUUUCCUGUCAAAAUACAAUGCUCCAAAAUACAACACAUAUGCAAUAAUAGGGUUAUUUCAUGUGCCAAUUGGUGCGUUAGUAUACGAAUAAGCAUGAAAAUACUGGUUAAAUGACACUAAAAGUGUGUCAAUAACGAGCACCAACAAUCCCCCCACGCUUAGAUCUUGCUCGUCCUCGAGCAAGUCUAGCGACUAAAAGAUCUUGAAUUAAACAUGAGCAAGCGAGUCAAGUACCUAGCCUUGAAACAAAAGAUUAGAGGAGCAGCAAAGAUAAUCAAAGUCUGGGUGUUCAAAGAUUUAUCUAAGCAAAGAUUCCCCUACAACUAUUAUUCAGAACCAAGUAACUUCAAGAAUCAACUACACUUAUUUUCUGGCUUUUUUCAGAGGGUUUUUCUUUCAUCACAAAACAAUCUCCCUGCAACAAAAUUGAAAAAAGAAUUAUUUUCCAGGUGCUUACAUGUCGUUUAAAUGAAUGUUCGCUAUCCUACUUAUUUGCAAGCUCUCAUCUCUCAAAAUUCAUUCAAUUAUAUGGUGGAGCUUGGGUAAGGUUAGCUAGAAUCAACACGUAUAUUAUUGAAUUAAGAAAACCCUCUAACGGUAGCCUACCUUUCGAGCCAUUGAUCAUAAGAAUAUCCACAUAAUGUGAAGUUUUCAAGGAUGAGAAUAGAAUGGUGGACAUGUGCAAAGGCAAAGAAAUAUAGUGACUCUGAGGCACAAGCAAUGUCCUCGUCGUUGGAUUGCAUAUGGUUGGAAUGAAAAUCUGUUCCUUAAACAAGUCCAUCUUUUCUUUGCACCACUCUUGAUCUUCAUGACAGUAAAAACUCCUCCUUUAUUUCUUUCUCUCUUUUCCUAUUAUUUCUUUUUAUUUGUCUCAAUACUUUUCUUUCUUUAUUUCUUUAUUUUAAUCUCUUCUCCGAACCUCUUCUGAACACCACACAAUAAAAAUCAGUUUUAGAUCCUUCUAGAGACCUUCCAGGAAUUUGCUACAUGAAAACCGAGGCAAGGAGACCCCAGGCCGAUUGGCCUGGCCACUCCUUUGCUCUCCUCUAGCUCUUCUUUCUUGUGAAGCUUCCUUAUCUUGUAUCUUUCCAAAAAUUUCAUAAAGCUCAACUAGAAACGGAACACAUCUUCAUAUAAUGAGUUGUGUUCAAGGAAUUGGUAAUAAAAUUGAGAAAUUUGUGGUUCGGGUUUACGAAUUCAGUACAAAAAUAUGAUUAUUCCAAUGAAGAACUCUCAUUACUGAAUAUUGACGAGGCAAGCAUUCAAAGAUGGUAAAAAGGAUAUGAUCAAUUCUCAGAAUUAAAGCAAACCAAGAGAGAGCGAUCCUAAUUCAAUUCAAAGUGUCAAAUGUUGCUUAUGGUGGUAUGAAUAAAUAUUUUUAGGCAUUGGGUAGGAUAAAUAAAAACUCUCAACCUGGUUAAAAGAUAUUGAUCAAUCUUGUUUUUGCAGAGGUUUUAAAUAAAAAAUAAAAUUUUAAAUCACCUCCAAUUCAAAGCCUUACUCAUAAAUCAUAAUCAAAACUGAAGCACUUGAUCAUCAUAAAGCAUGGGUAUUGCAUAAACAAAUCGAUUACUAAAACUCCACAACUACGAUUUAGAAUUCAAGACAAUGCUCAUAAUCUAAAGUUGCAAAGACAAAAUAAAAGACAAGCAAGCCAAGGUAGACACUAAAAACACUUGCACGAUCCUUGAAUUUUAUUCAUGCUUCUUCUCACAAAGACGCUAAAGUAGCCAUGUAGGCCUAAGUCUUCCCAAAAGCUUAAGAAGACUACUACUUUAUCUACUUUUGGUUCUAAUAAAAACACUAAUCUAGACUCUCACAUGAUUCGACUCGACCAAACUAGAUCCAAAAACUCAUACGAGCGACAAUCUCCCCCCCCCCCUCUCAAAUCUACGACCUCCUCGUGGUAACCAUAUGGAGUACAAGGAAAAGACGCUUGUAAACGCACUAAUGACGCUACCCGGACUACUUGCACACGGAAUGGUUGCUGUUUCCUUUGCUUUGUUCUUCGUCAUGUUGCUGCACAUCCCGAAGAGCUUCCUCACGUUCCUCUGCAAGAACUUGAACUUGAACUUGUCCUCCUGACGGCAAUCAUUAUCUUCUGCCUUUUGAUCCAGAGCUUGUAAGGCUUGCAUGAUGUCAUUGAACGCAUCGAAGAGGUAGUGGAUGUUCUUCCUGCAAGCUGUGGAACAUGUACGAUCAUGCUCCUACGAUUCUGGCCCGUCGUCUUCUAGAUCCUCCUCUUUGCCCUUGUCUUGACGGUGGCCAUCUUGCUCCUUGCUCGUCUUCUUGCCUUCAGCCCGAUCCCAGUACGUGUUGUCAUCUUCUUCAUCAUCACGGCCUGCAGCACCCUAUGAUCCAUUGUCUAUCUUGUAUGAAAGAAUCAGAAGCUUGUUCUCCUCAGGGUGUCUUGCGCGGUGCAGCGUUUGCAAGUGCAAGGCUUGCUAGUUCUUUUUACACAUUGUAAUGUUCAUUGCAUGCUCUAAUUGUUCUACAUUUGUAAUUUCUUGGUGAAGUUUGGUUACUGAUCCACUGUUUGAUUAACUCUUGGGCCCAAACACUGUACUACUUCUGAUUAGAUAUCUGUAUCUUAACUUUGACCAAAAAAAAUAUCCGGCAGUUUUUGCCAUUAAAGUUUCAUAAAUCAUCUUGCAAAAAUCGUACUAUACAACAAGGGACGGUUUAUUAUAAAAUAUACGUUCCCCUUAUCACAUGCCACUUCCACUCAAAAGGCAACGAAUCAGUUUUCAAUCCUGAGUGAGCAAUUUGCUUUUAUUACCGAUGCCUCCUAUUCCCUUGUGCACCAAGUUCAUUUUGGAUAGGACUGCAAAAAGCGACUAACCAGCUCGGAUUCUCCACCUGCAAAACCGCAUCUGCAGCAACCAACCCCACGCGGUGGAAAAAAAAACAAAACCCAGAAACCGGACGGGGGUGGAUGUGGGGCUCGGAGCCCAAGCAAAAAAAGGAUCGGGAGCGCCGGAGCAGGCCAUCACCGGAUGUUAGAGAUAGAAAAUGGUUGAAGUUGGAGUGGAAAUCAAACAAGCCUUGGAGCAAAGGAAAAAAAAGAUCAAACCACUCAAGCAUUCAUUUGAUUUAGAAAAGAGAACAUUUGUUAAGGUGGGGAGUUGAAAUCAUCUUUUAAUUAGUUCCACGUAUCUGGUAUCAUUACAGUUGGUUGACUUGUGUAAGUAUAUAAGUAGCUCUGCCGAAGCCUUUGCUCCUAUAAUUUAGUAACUAGUACAAAUGGAUCAUUAGGAAAAUCAAGUUGCAAUCAUUUCUCAGCCAACCAAACCUAUCUAAAUCAAAUUAUUGUCCAUGCCCGGCAUGCACAGGUGCCUGCCAUGCAUGCAUUGUUGCUCCAUUGUAAUAACCAUUAUUGUCCAUUGAUGUUCCAGCGCAUGUGUGCACUGUGCAGACACCAAGCAUCGAGAUUAUGUACUAGUAAGGUACCAAGAACACGUGAAGCACACGGGGGAGGCUGCUCCACUCGGCAUGCACAGGUGGGGCACGGCACCACUACUCGUCUCCUUCAGGCAGAGGACAAGUGAUGUACGCUGAUCAACCACUAGUAGAAAAACGACUUUCCAUCCACCCCCUUUUGUCCCGGUUUAAAGUUGGCCCGGGAUAAAAGGUUCACCAACCGGGACUAAAACUCGGUCACUGGUGGGGGGCUCACCAACCGGGACCUUUUAUCCCGGUUGCAAAGGCUAGUGGGAAAAAAAGACUCUGAGAGGCCUUUUAUCCCGGUUUGAAACACCAACCGGGAUAAAAGGUGGUCUUUUAUCCCGGUUGGUGUUUCCAACCGGGAUAAAAGGGUCCCCACGAGUUAAUACAAAAGGAUAGUAUCCCCUAUAUAGUCAGAUGUGGUGUGUAGGUGGGAUGGCAAGGAAUCUCCGCCCUCUCCACCUUCGGUACUCCAUGGGAAACCAUUCCUUUGGAACCAAGGAAGCUUGAACAGUAUAACGAAUAAAGUUUCAUAUAUCCAUUUGAUUUCACAUGAAAUAAAAUAUCCUGUCAGAACCAAUGGUUUCACUGAAGCUCCAGGCAGCGAGCGAAGGGGUGAGAGAGGAUAACGCUUACUGUGUGUUACCAUCACGUGCACCAUGGAUGACCAACGCGCAGCCGAGAUGAAACGGCGGACCUAAACAGGUCCUCGCUAUUUUUGCAGGUUCUCGACCAGGCCAGUUCUUUGGGCCAACCUAUAAUUCACGAGUUAAACAUACGGUGGCUGUAGAAAUGUUCUAUUCUUUUCAACAAUACCAGCUGGUUCCUCCGUUUUUAUUCCACCAAUACAAGCACCACCUUGUAACAUUUCCUAUGUUUUUUUUCCUUUCGUCUGUUUUCUCACUACAUGCGUUGCUCUUUCAUGCAUUUUUUUCCAUUCCUGUAUUCCAAAUAGGUCUACAUGAACACAAAAUGAACUAGGGGACAGAAAAAGCCAGUGAAGUUAGUUUUGAGCUUCACCAGCUACUUGCUACAUAAAGUGUGCUAUAGUCGCAGAAAAGCUAAGCUGGAUCAGACGUGGCCGAAACCAUGCCAAAGAGCUAGGUCCCUAGCUGAUGGCAACACAUCAGAUGACUAGCCUGCUUUUUUGUAAUAAUGAUAUUGAGCAAUACACUGCAUGGCUAACCUGCUUUACAAUAAUUGUCAUUUUAUAAUAUUGGUCAUCACGAGAGAUGCACAUUGCAUACACCGGUCCAUCCCUAUAAAUAGCCAAGCCUUUCAGCCAUCUUGGGCACCUCCUCUCAGGGCCUCGUCUCACCAUUAGACAUCUCGUUCCCAGUUAUAAUUUGCGAGGUUAGAUCAGGCUGCGCCAUGGCGUCCGCAGCUGCUGUCAAGAUCGCCGCCAUCUUCAUGCUGGUGCUGACCAUGGGCCACCUGAUGGCCGAAGCAUCACCGCAGCCUCGGCGUCUGCUUGCAGAAACGGAGCAUGCUGCGGUGUCCGGGAAUCCUGGCCUCCCAGGUGAUGCUAGCGUCAUGCAGGUCCUCGAACCCGCCCUAGUUUCUCCUCUUGCCUGCAAGCCAGAGUGCACAGUCCCUUGGCCUCCUUUUGUAUGUAUCUGCUAGAUCCUCUUCCUGGAUCAACGGAACUUCAGGGAAAUGGCUGUGACGUCGGCCAAAGAAUAAAUUGGCUGAACAUAAUAUACCCCGGGUAGUGUAGCUUGGGCUUUUGUUGAGCGUCUGGUACUAGUUGUAUUUUGUUUGCUCAUGUGGCUUUGUUUCUGGUUGCAUAUUGUCUUUCCUAUCGCUCUCUGUUGCAGCUAUGGUUUCUGCCAGGUGUGUGUCAAUGCGGUUUGUAAGCGGUGCUUGUUCCUACCUUCUGUUUUCAAUAAAAGAAGUCGGAGUCUCCCUCCGACUCUUGUUAUCAGUCAAGAAAAAUGAGUUGUAUCAUAUAUAUCUGCGUCUUUUUUCUAUGUAUCUCUGGGCUGCUUCAGCUGGAAGUUUAUCGUAAGUACGUGUAUCAGGAUGAUCGUUUGAAUUAAAACGAAAUGAUAAUGUGUGGCUGCUAGAAAUGGAAUGAGCAUCUUACUAUAUUACUAAUUGGAAGCCUCCACGUGAAGCCACCUAGAAAUUCUAGGUGGAUGUUUUAAAAAAAAGAAAACCAAUAGAAGCCUCCACCACCUAGGAAUCCUAGAUGGACGCUCUAAAAAGAGAGAAAUCCUAGAAAUUCUAAAAAAAGAAAAAAAAUAAUAACAAUAAGAUUUUUUUUGCAGUCAGUUACAUAUAUUUUUUUGAGACACCGUGCUGCUAGCUCUUGCCAUUGCGACCAAUAAAGCAAGCAGAUAGUAAGAUGACAUGCGUGUGGAUUGAUUAAAACAGAUUCUGUUAGUUGAUUCUAAAUCAUAUGUAUCCUAAAAGGAACUAGAUAUGUGCGUGCAUGGUCCCUAGCGAUGACAUGUAGACAUGUAUUGCAAUUUCUUUUUUAAAAAAUAUGUCUAUCUCUAAACCAACAAACAGAAAAAAUAUCAAUCUAAAUCUAAAUCUCUUCCGUUCUCACACGCCUAUUAAAGAGAACACAACCAAUCCCAUCCAUGUUCCAUAGAAUCCAUCUAAAAGCUUGCUCACUGCGGACGGCAAAUCAACGAAAGAUCAUCCUCUCCAAAUAGCUAGACGGCAUCACCAUCUUUAUCUCACCAACCUACAGAGCUACAACGAUGUUGUAGAGAUCAACUAGGUAACCUACCAAUCACCCUCCCCUUUUCUAUAUGCUCUAAAGAACACGUGGAGUAAUUAUAGGCCUAUAGGAGCCGACUAACCUAGAUUAAUAUGAAAAAUAUUCCAAUAUUAAAAGCAAGCAGAUAGUAAUACUUGCCUUUGAGCAUUUUUCAAGAACUGUUAUUCCUAUUGAAUGUUCAAGUGCUACGGCCAGGCAUCGAAUGUCUGCACGGAACCUUCCUAUUGAAUGGUUACUCUAGAGAUCAACGCACCGCGAGACAUUGUUUUUGGAAUUUGUUUGAUUCCCCUUCUACAAUUAGAUUAAUUUUUCAUGGUAUAUAUUACUACUAUUAAAUUAUUUGUUUAUUAUCUGGCCUGCUGCAUGUGUGGUAUAGAUGACUUGCUUCUCACCAUUGUUCUCAAACUGUUAUUCCUAUCCAAUCUUUCUAUCGAAAUAUAUUUUAAUUACUUGAUUGUUGUUUGUGUACCAUAACUUCUGUAUAGAAAAAUUCCAUGUUUGUAGAUAAUGUCUUUUGUAUAGAAAAAUAGCCCAAUUAGGUCCAUCACCAUCUUUUGCUUAUGUAGUUGAACAAGUUGCAAUGCUGAACAAAACUUUAAGUGAAAUUAGACUAGGAAAAGGAAUUGUGGAACAUUAAGGCAAGGGUAACCAGAUUGUGGAAUGCAACCUUACUCAGUAGUGGCGAACAAUUAAGUCUUGACAUGAUCCUUAUUGAUCAAGAGGUAUGAUAGAUGUUCACUUUGAUUGCAUUUUUGGUAUAAUUUUUGGCUUACAAAUUAUUAAUGAUGAUGCAAAAUUAGGGAACCAUGAUCCACGGUGUUAUCAAUAAGCCCUAUAUGGAAAAGUUCAAACCAUUGAUUGAAGAAGGCAAUGUGUACAUAAUUGCAAAUGUCAGAAUCACACCAGAACCACAGAAGUAUCGGCCAGUGGGAAAUGACAGGAUAGUCAACUUCUUACCCACAACUGCACUAAAAAAGGUCAAAGAUACUGAAGACAUUCCAAAGUAUAGUUUUAACUUCAUGAGCACGGAUAUGCUUUCAGCAAGAAUAAAUGUGGACAUGUACCUAUCAGGUAAAACAUUACUGGUUUUUCAAUUUUUACACUUCCACUCAUUCAAUGACCAUCUAAUAAUAAUUCAGAUUUAUGUUUCAUAGAUGUUAUAGGUAUCUCAGCUCACAUUGGACCGAUAGAAGAAACAAGGACAAACUUCGGAUUUACCAAAAUCCGUGAUAUUGUGCUCCUGAUCGAGUAAUUCUCAUUUCUUUUGUAGAGAACAACUAUGAAACUUUCAACAUUUACAUGUAUGGUAUAGAACUUCUGUUGAACUAAAAGAUAUCUUCUACAGUGCCCCUACAAAUAAUUAAUUUCGCAGUUAGGUAUUUAAAAUAUUAAUUAUUCACUUUUAAUUUUGUGGCCAUGAAGUUAAAGUUAGAUUUUGGGGAGACAAAGUUGAGGAAGUUGAUGAUAAGACAAAAUCCCAUGUCAUUGCAAUAACAUCUACAACUGUGAGGAAAUUUGGCAGUAAGUCUUCAUUCAAUAUGAGUUAUUCAAUAUUAGUCAUUCAACAAACUAACCUCCUAGGAAAAAUAAAUAAUUGAUAUUUUAUCAGGGUAUUCUCUAUCGUCAACCAAUGCAACAAAAGUUUAUGUAGAUCUACCUAUUCCUGAAACUAAGGAUGCGCAUGAUAGGUGAGAAAAAUUAGAUAUUGUUUUUCUAUUUUAAUCUAUGUAGCAUGCACUCUAACAUGAUACAUUCUUUCGUAUGAUGAAAAAAUGUUAGUUCAAUUGAUAAUAUUGUCAAAGAGAUUCAUUAUUGAGGACCAUCUAAAAGGGAUAUUGGAAGACCAAAUGCAGUACAAUAGAAGAACUUUAGAAGAAUUAAAUUUGAUAUUAUUUGAAACAUCAAAUCAGGUAUGGAUUAGUAUGUUCAUUGUACACUAUACUAUUUAGAGACAUACAUACAUAAUGAUGGUAUUGUUCCUACUUUCAGGAUGAGGUAUUUACGAUGAGGUAUUUACUAUUGAAGCAACAAUAAAUGAAAUUAAUGCAACAUAUGGUUGGUACUACAUCUCAUGUAGUAGAGGCGAUUGUAAGAAGCAACUUGAAAAGAAGUUUCAUCACUACUAUUGCAAUAAAUGUGACAAGAGAGCCGAACCUAAAGCAUGGUAAAUUAUUUAGUAGUUUACAAUCUUAUUAUAAUACUUCUAUUUCUAAUUGGAGAAUAAUAUUUGCAAAUUCAAAAUUAAGCUUCAAAUAAGUGAUCCAACAACAAGUGCAACUUCUGUACUUUUGACAAGGAAGCAGAAAUGAUAAUUAAUGAAUGAGCAGAUUCGAUGAUCACCUCCGUUGAUCAUGAUAAUAAGUAGCUACCAAAAUCAACUAUGCAAAAAGUAGGAACAGAUCUUAAUCGGCUAUGCAAAAAGUAGUAAAUUGAGCAAUAAGAUAUAAAAAAGCUGACAGUCCUAAUUCCAAGCUGUAUAACUGGUGAUAAAACUAGAACAACAUGCAAAACCUAGAAUUCUAGUGAUUAUCGAUAACUGGUGAAUAAAUCUAAACAAAACGACAGCAAUGCGCCCGAAGUUAAAGCUUAGAUAUUACUUGAUAAGCGGAACUUAUAGAAUCGGCCGGAGAUCAAGUUGAUGCAGCCCCGCCAACCCGUACGAACUCGUGAAAAGAAGAAAAGUAUUGGCGAAGUCGCCUGCUCGAAAGUAAAGUGCGAGGAAAUAGUAGUUUGUUGUAUUGAUUUGAUGAUGAUUACAGAUCUAUGAAAGCGGCUAUUUAUAGCCAGUUACAACCAAUCUCUUAACUGACUAGGACUCUAUCUCUAAUUUUAAACGAAAACGAAUAUUUACAAGCAUAAUUCGUAUCGGAGUUGGUCAUCGUGUUCCCAUGGGCCGAUCUCCUUUUUAUCUUCAUAGCUCACUUUAGGCCCAUAUUGGCCCAACUGCUCCAACCUCCCAAUCGGCCGAUUUCCACCAACUCCAUCCGCCGAAAUACUACAGCACCAAUCGGCCGAUCCUCAACUGUAGCACCAAUCGGCCGAUUCCCAAUCGUGACCUCCGUGUUUCGCCGCAUCAGCUGAUUCCUUCCCUUCUUGACGCCGAUUUCAUACGCGUCAAAAUCUGGCAUCAACACAUGCCCCAAGUUUCGGAGUAAAACAUAAUCUUUACUUCAAAAUUCCUUUCAACUUCCCUUCCGAAACAAACGCAUUGAAAAUACCCUUCCGUUUCGCGGUCUUCUGCCUGAUGAUUGCAAUCUUUUCGAAACGGGCGCCCACGACAACCACUCCUCCUGAAAAAAUCGAACCGCCGGCGUGGUAAAAAUUCCGCUUUUACCCUUUCUCAGACCGCCCUUAGAUAUCAGUACGUCCCGUACUUCUUCUUCACGAGCCCACGUCUUCCUUCUUUGGCGCACUGACCUCCUUCUUCUUCCGGCGUCUCUUUAGCCUCUAACCUCUCACUCCGGCGAGUUCUUCCAUCUACAUUCCACCCCACCUUCCCGAUGGCAACACCUUCAGGCACUCCACCAACAUCCGAGGUCCCGGAGACGGCUCCAUCAGCAGCGGCUCCAACAGCAAUGGUGGCAGCUCCAUUGGCAGGAGCAGGAGCUCCAUCGGGCGGGAGCGGGAGCUUCAUCAACGACCACAAUGAGCUUCAUACCAGAGGUUUCUACCAAAACUUUCCUUUCCGCUCCUCUAUGUCGAUGCAUUUACCUUAGAUCAUUUCUUACUGCCCCUUCCAUUCUUUACCUGUUUAGGCAGUUAGGCACCACAUUACUAUUCGCCUCACCGAAACUCCCGGCCUUAUCUAUUUUGGUCCCAUGGGAAACCCAGAUCCAACCGACCUAAUCAAUUUGGAAACCCAUAGGAUCCCUUUCAAGCAAUCAACCAUGGACCUAGAUCACUGGUCAGGUACCUUCAGAUCAUGGCCGAAUGAAACCCCCGGCUGGAGGGAAUGGUACAAAUGGAUAGCCGCCUCAAAAAGAGUUCAAUGGGACGAGCACAAAAUCGGCCAGUGCAUCGACUUAUCUUUGUCCCAAAUGGAAAGGAAUGAGCCUUUAGUAAUAGCAGCCUCCUACUUUUGGUCCGAUGCCCUAAACGCAUUCCCCUUAGGACACGGAGCUAUGACCGCUACCCUAGCCGAUGUGGUCAUGUUGACCGGCCUUGAUAUCUCCUCUCCCGAUACUCCUUUCCGUUACUUGGCCAAAACAUCCCAUCGGCUAGAGACGAAAGGAAUCGGCGGGUGGAAAGGAUUCAUCAAGUGCAACAGAAGGGCCGGGACAGCCCAGGAAAGAGAGCAUGCGGCCUUCUUGAUGAUGUGGCUAGAAAAACACCUUUUUUGCGGGAGGGCAGCCGGUCCAUCCACUAACACACAGGCUUUGGCCGAGGCACUAUCGAUAGGUGCCUCUGUUCCUCUUGGAAAGCACCUAUUGGGAUCGGUUUACCAUAUGCUGCAUCAGAUCGGCGUCAAGCUAUCCAAAGGAGAGCCGAUUGGAAACCCAGGUGGACCCUGGUGGUUCAUCAACUUGUGGCUUAAUCUAUAUAUGAGCAAGAUCUCCCAGCAGCGAGUGGAGUACAUGAUGUUCCCCAACAUCGAAUCGGCAGAGAAUCCCACUGUACGGUGCCGGUGUACUUCCUUCGGUGAAGCGGCAUCGGCCUUCUCCGGUUGCUCAUAUUCUGCUGCCAAGGUGGCCGAAUACUUCAGAUGCUUCUACAAUGGCUUCAGCAAAGACGCAACCAGCUUGUUCCCUUAUCAAAGGGAGGAACCACUCUUCGAGCUCCCCUCCUGUUUUGACUCGGCCACCAGCAAAUUUGAUGAGGACCUCACAGAUGAAUUGAUCAAGCCUCUCGGGGAAGGAUGCCCCCACUUAUGAGUUUUACCAUCCUUCCGUCACAGCACGGCAAUUCGGCUUGGGUCAACUGCCGAUUUAUGCAUACUUCACCGGCCGAGCAAAAUUUCGAGACGAGCUCACCAAAGGUCUCCACUACUACGAUCGGAUUCCAGACUCCAGCACCAUAGACUUGGCCAGUUGGAUAGUAGCCCCUUUCGCUGUUCAGCAGUUCAAGCUAUGGUGGGUGGAAUGGAAGCAACAUCUAUUCUGCGCCUCUACGGCGAUAUAUUGUAAUCUCCUGAAUCCCGACAACAUCGAUCCGAAUGCUGAGGUAUCGCUCUCUUUCUAGCUGAUUUUCAACUCCUUUUUUUUUAUACUGACUCUUAUUAUUAUUUCAGUCUGAGAGCCAUGCUCCCCCAAAAUGCAGUCGGAGUGGUCGGUCGAUAGAGGACCGUUAUCCAUACACAACAUUCCCCCUCAUCGGCUAUCACGCCCCCUCCGUUGAUGACAUAGCCGGCCGAGCGAAGCAAGCGCAGAAAAAGAUUAUCAAGAAGACAAGUCGCCGAGUACGCGCCCGCACAGAAUCGGCCGAUCCACCCGUGGUUGCAUCGGCAGAAAUUUCGGCUACGCCGACCCUUCCGGUCGCUGAAGAAGUUGACCUCCAAGCCGCUAAAGAGGCCGGAGCGGCUGCCGCGUCAUUGUUGGUGGAAGCUAUUCAGGUAAACUCACCAUCCGAUUUUCCUGACAGUCAUUUCAAUACUGACCUUUCCUUUAUUAGGCCGUGCAGAUUGCCUCAGCAGAUCCACAGCAAUCUGCAAUGCCCCAAGCAGAAGUUGAAAUACCAGUGCCCCUUCCCGUUGAGGUACAUGAUCUCUCAACUCACUUCUUUAAUAUUUGAAUGAUGAUCCUACCAACCUUGACGCAGGUCAUCGGCACGUUAACUAUGCUAUCCGACUAGCCAUCUGCCAAAGAAGUCCUUCAAGAGGCCGGCCCGAGCAGAACGCCGAUCGUUGUCGAAUCCUCUUCUUCCGAUGAGCCAAUGGCACCAGUCCCCGAGUCGAUAGUGGUUGUUCCACAAACGCAGAUGGAGGAGAUCCAUUUCAAAGAGGUGAGAAGUCAUUUGACUCGCAUUUACCGAUUCGUCACCACCAUCGGCUGACUCAUUUUCCUUUUAUUUAUCAUUCACAGGAAUAGGACACUCCCAAUAAUAGCCUCUUCUCAUUUGCGGUCGCGCUCUCUGAUGACGAGGAAGUUGCUUCUCGUCAAGUUACUUUGAGCUCCAUCCCCGAUGACGUCCGCGCUAAGCUUGAAAGUAUACGGUCCCUUCUUUAAGAGGACAUCAGCCGAUUGGUGGAGGACGCCUCGCCGAUUCGGCAGCUCUUUGGUGACGUCAACGGGCGAGUCCCAGAGGAAGCAGAAGAAGCCUUGGCACCGGCCGCUUAUAUCGAGUCGAUGCGGAUCCCGGUCUUCAGGGCUCUGCGUCACAUGGCCGAUCGCGCCAAGCUGGCCAAGACUCGUGAGGAAGAGGACUCGUACAAGCAACGGGCCCAGGAGGUACACCAUCGGAUUCACUUCCUCGAGAAUUCCCGACCUGGACUCGUCGGCACGAUAGAUCGCCUCAAGCACCGAAGGGCGGAACUUGCCAAGGAGAUGGAGUAGGUAACCAAAGAAAUAGCUAUUGAAGAGAAGAAGCUUCAGGAACUCCCUUCCGUUAUCGCCGAUUUAAAGCAGGAGAGGCAGCAUUUGGCCCAUGAGGCCCUUAGACUCCAUCGCCAUAUGUCAGAAGUUCCAGGGUCGGCAGAUGAUGACCAACGAGUCUUGGACUCGGCCGAUCAGAUCAGGCAUCGAGCGAUUGCGGCCAUUAACGCCCUUCUGGGUGACUUGUAAAAGUACUAGCCGUUUUGUACGAACAUUAAUGCCUUUUGACCGUCCUUCGCGGCGCUCUCCUAUUUAUUACCCUUUUUACUCUGACAGGACGCGUCUUACCAAACCUCCGCUCUUCCUCUUAUUAUAAAUACCGGCCCUGGUUUCGCUCUUGAGAAUACCUGCUCCACUCGAUUCCUUUUUCCCCCAUUACGUUUCCAUCGGAACGUUCGUAGUCAUGUCUUCUUCAUCUUCUUCUUUCUCCUCUCCUUGUAUCAAUCAGGUACGAGGUCCGUCUUCGCCCUUUUUUCAGUUUGAUCCCUUUAAAUCGUUCCAACUUUUAGGCGGCUAUGUGCUAACUUCUUCAGCCAAGGCACCUUAUCCCUGAACUCGAAUGAGCAAUCGAACUCGUGCACUCUAAUGAGUCGUUGUCGCAAGAGGACAAGGACUUGAUCAAGGAACACCGUGAAGAACUCAGAGAUCACGUUCCUGCCGACGUCUAACGGAUCUGGGACUUCAUCGACGGCAAUGAUUACGGGCGACCGCAAGUUGACAGGAGCCACCCACUUCCUCUUCCGGUUGUUCUUGAAAACGCCGCGGUAGGGACAUCGCGCCCGGUGAUGGAUCGGAGCCAUCCUCUUCCUUGCCAAGUUGAGGCGGAGGCCGCGAUGAGAGAUGUGGCAGAACGAAGCAUUCGCCUUCUAAUGGAAUUAGGUAGGAUUGAGAGGGAACUCAAGAAGAAGCGUAGUUGAGUAUUUUUUGUUCUAAGGGCGAAGUGUACUGUGUCGGUCGUGUAAUUCAUCGUUCGUACUGAAUCACAAAUCGGCCGAUUUGAACGAUUAUUUUUCUCCUUUAGGCGAUUUCUUCUCCCGUAUCGGCUGUGUGAUCGUUCAGGGAGCGAUCUUUCUGUCUUGUCAAUGCCUUGCGAUCGAUUCUUAUGUUCCGACCCAUAUACUGGGGUAAUACCUUUUCAAGUACCUCCCGUUUAAGGCCCUAGUAAAUUCUUCUCCUUCGAUCAUUUCCAGAAUGUAAGCGUUUCCCAGGGCACAUCGGCCGAUUCUAUACAGCCCUUCCCAAGUGGGAGACCAUUUACCGAAUUUAGGAUCUUUUGAUCCAAUCGGCAACACUAACUUCCAUACCAGAUCCCCUUGGGAGAACUGCUUGACUUUGACCUUCUUGUCAUACCAUCUGGCCACUUUCUUUUUGUUUUCCUUGAUACUGAUCAAGGCUCUCAAACGUUGGCCCGCCAAAUCGUCGAGUUCCCUAUUCAUGAGCGAGGAGUAAUCAUCGGCCGUCAGCUGAUCUUGAAGCGACGUGCGUCUCGACCCUGUUCUCAACUCCCAUGGCAAUACUGCCUCAUGACUGUACACCAAUUGAUAAGGAGACACCUUGGUAGCCCCAUGGCAGGCCAUCCUGUAUGCCCAUAGAGCUUCGGUUAGACAUAAGUGCCAUUUUUUGGGUUGUUCUUCGAUCUUCCUCUUGAUCAACUUGAUUAUCCCUUUAUUGGAAGAUUUGGCCUGGCCGUUAGCCUGAGGAUAGUACGGGGAGGAAUUUAGCAACUUGAUUCCCAUAUCGGCCGUGAACUCCUCGAACUCUCCCGACGUGAACAUCAUCCCUUGAUCAGUUGUGAUAGUCUGAGGGAUGCCGAAACGAUAGACAAUAUGAUCCCUCACGAAAUCGACCAUAGCGGCCGAUGUUACGGCCUUUAAUGGAACCGCCUCCACCCAUUUGGUGAAAUAAUCUGUGGCUACCAGAAUGAAUUUAUGUCCUUUACUUGACGGAGGAUAAAUUUGUCCAAUGAGGUCUAUUCCCCAACCUCUGAACGGCCACGGCUUGAUAAUUGGAUUCAUAGCCGACGCGGGCGCGCGUUGCACAUUCCCAUAUUUCUGACAAUCUUGGCAUCCUUUAUAAUACUUGAAACAGUCCUCAAGGAUUGUCGGCCAGUAAUAUCCAUUAUUCCUAAUCAUCCACUUCAUCUUAUGCGCCGAUUGGUGGGCUCCACACACCCCUUCGUGCAUUUCUCCCAUCAGGGUCUUUGCCUCCUCCGUCCCUAGGCAUUUGAGUAGAACACCAUCAAUCGUCCGGUAGAACAAAUCAUUUUCCAAUAACACAUAUUUUGUGGCCUGAAAUCGUAUUCGCCAAUCCACUUUCUUAGAUGGGUCUUUUAAAAAAUCGGCGAUCUCUUUUCGCCAGCCGUCGGCCGCGAGUUCCAGAAUCAUGGCGCCUUGAAUCGGCCGAUACCCGAACGCGUGCUGAGCCAGCCUGUUGGCUUCUUCAUUGUAAUCCCUGGGGAUAUGCUCAAUAACUGUGGAUUUGAAUUCUUUCAGAAGUUGGAGGCAAUCCUCAUAGUAAACCCUUAAUACAUCAUCUUUGCACUCGGAUCUUCCUGUCAAUUGGUCCACGAUGAGCAUGGAAUCUCCAAAAACCUCGACGGUGUCGGCCUUAAUUUCUCUUAACAAUUGUAACCCUUUCAGGACAGCCCGGUAUUCCGUCUGGUUAUUAGUGGCGGAUGCUUCUAUCGACAGAGAGAAAUCAUAGCAUGCCCCCUGAGGCGAUAUGAGAACGAUGCCGAUUCCCGAUCCGGCCCCACAUGACGAGCCAUCAAAAUAUAAGGUCCACGGUACUGGUUCCACGACAGCGAUUUUUGGUCCGCAGUGUUGGGCGACGAAAUCAGCCAUAACCUGACCUUUGAUGGCGUUUGCCGAUUCGUACCGUAGAUCAAACUCUGAUAAAGCCAAAAUCCACUUUCCGAUCCACCCUUUCAAAAUCGGCAAUGACAGCAUAUACUUUACUACGUCAUUCGUGCAUACAACCACGCAUUCUGCCGAUAACAAGUAGUGCCUGAGCUUGGUGCAUGAGAAGUAAAGACAUAAGCACAGCCGCUCUACCGGGGGAUAUCUUGAUUCGGCGUCCAAAAGUCUUCUACUAAUAUAAUAUAUUACCCGUUCCUUUCCUUCGAACUCCUAGACCAGUGCCGAUCCGAUAGCUCGCUCAUCGGCUGAUAAAUACAGCUUGAAUGGCUUACCAGUUUCUGGUGGGACCAAGUACUGCUUGAUGUCUUCUAGUGCCUUGCGUUGCUCUUCUCCCCAUACGAACUCUUGGUUGGGUUUCAAUUUCAACAACGGUGUGAAGGCCUGGAUACGUCCAGAUAGGUUGGAUAUGAACCAGGCAACGUUGGUAAAGAAAACUGCUAAGAGUAAACUAAACAACGCUACAGUAGCAACACUAGGAACGGAUCUUAAUCGGCUAUGCAAAAAGUAGUAAAUUGAGCAAUAAGAUAUAAAAAAGCCGACAGUCCUAAUUCCAAGCUGGAUAACUGGUGAUAAAACUAGAACAAUAGGCAAAACCUAGAAUUCAAGUGAUUAUCGAUAACUGGUGAAUAAAUCUAAACGAAACGACAGCAAUGCGCCCGAAGUUAAAGCUUAGAUAUUACUCGAUAUGCGGAACUUACAGAAUCAGCCGGAGAUCAAGUUGAUGCAGCCCCGCCAACCCGUACAAACUCGUGAAAAGAAGAAAAGUAUUGGCGAAGUCGCCUGCUCGAAAGUAAAGUGCGAGAAAAUAGUAGUUUGUUGUAUUGAUUUGAUGAUGAUUACAGAUCUAUGAAAGCGGCUAUUUAUAGCCUGUUACAACCAAUCUCUUAACCAACUAGGACUCUAUCUCUAAUUUUAAACAAAAAUGAAUAUUUACAAGCAUAAUUCCUAUCGGAGUUGGUCAUCGUGUUCCCAUGGGCCGAUCUCCUUUUUAUCUUCAUAGCUCACUUUAGGCCCAUAUUGGCCCAACUGCUCCAGCCUCCCAAUCGGCCGAUUUCCACCAACUCCAUCCGCCGAAAUACUGCAGCACCAAUCGGCCGAUUCCCAAUCGUGACCUCCGUGUUUCGCCGCAUCAGCUGAUUCCUUCCCUUCUUGACGCCGAUUUCAUAUGUGUCAAAAUCUGGCGUCAACACAUACAUAAUGAUGGUAUUGUUCCUACUUUCAGGAUGAGGUAUUUACUAUUGAAGCAACAAUAAAUGAAAUUAAUGCAACAUAUGGUUGGUACUACAUCUCAUGUAGUAGAGGCGAUUGUAAGAAGUAACUUGAAAAGAUGUUUGAUCACUACUAGUGCAAUAAAUGUGACAAGAGAGCCUAACCUAAAGCACGGUAAAUUAGUUAGUAGUUUACAAUCUUAUUAUAGUACUUCUAUUUCUAAUAGAGAAUAAUAUUUGCAGAUUCAAAAUUAAGCUUCAAAUAAGUGAUCCAACAACAGUGCACUUGUGUACUUUUGACAAGGAAGCAGAAAUUAUAAUUAAUGAAUGAGCAGAUUCGAUGAUCACCUCAGUUGAUGAUGAUAAUAAGUAGCUACCAAAAUCAAUUCAGAAAAUAUGUGAAGAAACAUUGAUUUUUCAAUUCAAAUUGACCGAGUACAACUUGACAAGUUUUAGACCUGAUUAUACUGUUUCAAAGAUAUUUUUUCCAAAAGAAAAGAGCAGUUCUAGAAUUGGUAUGGAAAGUGUAAAAAAGGUAACACUUUAUUCUUAAGUUUUUAUUGCACUUUUUUCUUUUGAAUCCUUAAUAUUUAAUAAUUUUACUAUAUCAAUGAAACAAAUUCUAACCUAAAUUUACAACUCAGACAAAUGCUACAUGAUAACUACCGAGAAUGAAGAGGUAGACACUGAUGACUCUUUUACCGAGAAAGUAACAUUCGUAGAAGAAGCCAUAAGGACUGGGGAAAGAUUGGCUAGAAAAGUAUACUCACUUCCAUCUAAGUAUUCAUUCUAUUUACAAUACAUGCAAAAAAAUAUUAUUCAUGCAAAAUUGCAGGUCUACUAAGCAUUAAAGGAAUAGCGGAUAGUGCAAUAUCUAAUUUGAGCAGCAUGCAUUACAAAGUGCUCUACUGCAAUUAAAUUAAAAAACAUGAUAUAUGUUGAAUUCUUAGACUUUAUUAUUAUACUUUUCUAUGUGACAAUUCACAAUUUUUUAGAAAAAAGAAGAUCCCAGAAGAAGUGACCAUGAAAAAAGGUCUAUGCCCAGCAAUAAGAAAAAAUGCAAGCAUAGAAACAAAUCCGUAGAAAACAUAGAAAAUAAGGUACUCCAUAAACAAAAGUAUUCUCUUAUAUUUUUAUUAAAUAUUUCUUUAACACUUGACAAGUUCUUUUUUAGGAUCAAUAUAUCAGCAAUUCAGAUGUCAUUGGAGAUGAAAACCUUAGUUCGUCCAAAAGGUCAAAAAAAACAUCUGAAGAAAGGUGUUUGGCUGAAAAGGAAAAGCAAGAAAGUUGUAAUGCAGACAAACACAUGCAGAAAAAUAUAAAAACAUGUAAUAGGGAGGCAGACCAAUCUUGCAAGGAGGUAUAGACGAAACGUGAUACACGACCUGCCUACCUUGUCGUGGAUACCCCAAGAAGAUGUCAUAGAGGUGCAGACCAAGCUAGCAAGGAGGUCGAAACGUGAUACACGGCCUGCCUACCUUGCCGUGGAUAUUAGCCCUAAGAUCAUUCUACUGUUCAAGGAAUAACACUCAAUGCUGCUGCUGCUGCUGACCUGGCUCCAUAAAGUUAUACUCCUCUAGGUGCUUGCACUAACUUUAUCUGAAGUAUUAUUCUCUCUGCACUGUAUAUAUGGUUAUGGAGUUUGCUGGAGUAUCCUGGGGGAAGAACCUACAUAAUACGUCUUGGAACUAACUGACAUUGAUUCACAGACAAACUCUACAAGGUGCUGUUGUUGCCAUUUUAGAGCAUCCAAAGGACUAUAAAUAACAUAGUUUACCAUAUACCAUAUACCAUAAUAUGUUAGCUAAAAUAAGAGCAUACACAUGUUGCAGGAGUCCAAAAGCACCGGUUGAGGACCAGGUACAUUGAAUUACUAGAAAAAGACAGGGGACAAGGUUUAGGUAACCACAUGAAACAUUUGAAUUUACUGUACCAUGAACACUUAGUUACCAUGCCGGGAGCACAUAGUUAACACUAACAUUUAGCCACUUUAGAUCACCCCGAAUCACCAAUGACCCUCAAUAGUGACAAAUUUUGGUUUAAAUGCCGUCACCAAUGAUCCUCAAUAGUGACGUAUUUAGGUUUAAAUCCCAUCACUAAUAACCCUCAAUAGUGACCUGUUUUGGUUUAAAUCUCAUUACCACUUAUCCUCAAUAGUGACGUGUUAAAACGCGUUAUCUCAAUGGCAAAUCAUUGGUGACGUGUUUUAAAAAAACAUGUCACUGUGAGAGUCAUUGGUGAAGGGUAAUUAAAAUGCGUCACUAAUGUUGUAGCAUUAGUUAUGAUAAUUUAGUAAUGCAAAAAUCUACCAUCAGUAAUGAGCUUUAGAGCCAUCGCUAAUGUGGGUUUCUUACAUAGUGAUGCAAGCUCUACAAGGUGCUGUUGCUGCCAUUUUAAAGCAUCCCAUGACUACAUGUUAAUAACAUACUUUACCAUAUACCAUAAAAAUAUUAGUUACAAUAAGCACAUACGCAUGUGGAAGAGUCCGAAUGCACCGGUUGAGGACUAAACACAUUUAAUUACUAGAACCAAAUGUAUGUCCAGAACAAAGACAGGGGUCAAGGUUUGGGUAACCGCAUUAAAAACAUUGGAUUUUACUGUAGAUGAACACUUAGUUACCAUUACCAUGCCUUGAGCACCUAGUUACAACAAACAUUAAUUUAGCCACUUUAGAGCUUCCAGAAUCGCUAUAAAUAAUAUACCUACGCCGUACCAUGAAAACAUCAAGAAGAGAGACGGAUACAUGGACCACCAUCAAGCGAGUACUGACAGCACGCACAAGAAUACCCAGAACCUGUUAGCUUGUCUGUAGUGAUCUGUUUUCUUCCCCAUAAAAUCCAUGAGUAUUGCCACAAAUAAUGAAAGAGGCUGACCAAGCUAGCAAGGAGGUAGAGCAAACGUGAUACACGGCCUGCCAAGAUUGCCCUGGAUACGCCAAUAAGAGCGACAGAUACAUGGAUCACACCAAUAUGGUGAAACGUAUAUUCAUCACACAAGCAAAGCUGGUCAGUUUAUCCAUGGUCAAAUUGUGGUCUUUGUUUUCACUUGAGAGCUAAUUGAGGCACUAUAAUAUGGGCAGGCCUAUCUUCAACAGACAUGACAGCUACAGGGAACUUGACAUAAUUUGCUGGACCGCCUGUGCACAAUUAUUUGUUUUAUUGUCCUUGCAUAGAAUGCUAAAAUACUCUUUACAAAAUGUUGGAUCUAAUAUUUGAAAUAUAGAGUAGUAAUCAUAUAUUGAUCAACAACUUGAAAUUAUCUGUACAUUCUCGGUGAAGCUGUUGAACUAAUUUUUGCAAAUUAUUAAUUAAUUCAUCUCAUUACGUAAAGAAAACAGUAAGUGGAUAAGAUAUUUCGUGGACCACAUCACUGCAAACAUGUCAUGGAGAGACAGACCAAGGAGGCAGGACGUGAUACACGACUUACCCUAGGUUGCCGUGGAACCGCCAAGAAGAGAUACGGAUACAUGGACCACACCAUCUUGGGAGUAGUGACAGCAUAUAUGCAGAAGAAUACCCCGUGCCUAUUUGCAUGCAUGUCUCAAGUGAUCUGUUUUCUUCAGAAAAUACAUGAGCAUUGCCAGAAAGAAUGGCAAGAGACAAACAUGUCAUAGAUACUUGCAUGUCUUGCCUUGGAUACGCCAAGAAGAGGGACACAUACAUGGAUAACACAAAUCUAGUGACACGUAUAUUCAUCACAAAGGCAAAUCUGAUAAUUUUAUCCAUGGAGCAGACCAAGCAGAAAUUGAUGACGGACAUGUGAUCUCUGUAUUCAGUUGAAAGCUAAUUGAGCUACACUAAUAUGAGCAGGACUAUAUUCAAGAGACUUGUUGAGAGCUACAGGGAACUUGUAAUAAUUUGCUGGGCGGCCUGCGCACAAUGAUUUGUUAUACAUAGUUGAAAUAUUUCAAGAAUUUAUCAACCUCGUACUCUGAAACCCUUGGUGCAAUGUACUCUGCUUUCCGAGGUAGACUGUUCACGUAAAAUGAGGUCAUGCGUAAGACGGAAUCGGAUUGGAUUCGCAGGGAAUCAGAUUUGGAUAGCACCUUUUAGCCGGUUUUUAGUCAAAUGCAAAUUCGGAUCCAGAUGUGGUUGAAUGCGAGUUCAAAAUUCUACUUGGAUAUCCAUUUAAUUUAGGUGAUAGCAAUUAGCACAAAAUGUUGGAAGAACAAAAUCAUAGUUAGACAUACAAUUACAUGUAUUGUUAAAGUAUAAUACAAUACACCAAGAUUAUUCCUUCAAAAUAUUUCUUAAAAAUAUUAUAAUAAAUGAAUAAAUAUAAUUGUGGCCACCAACAAAUAGUCGGUGGUCACUAAGUUGGAGCCAUUUCUGGUUACUAAUGCGGCCUGCUCCUCGACCAGCGACGACAGCUGAGCUUGUUCCUUCUGACACCAAAUCAUCAGAGUCUUCCCUCCACUACUAUAGAAUGCACCUUUAGCACCAAUUGGGAAAUCCCCUUCAGUAUCGGAUGCUGCAACCUGUGCUAUGAAAAUGGAGACUAAAAGCCUCGGUCUUGGGUACCGGUUGCAUGACGCAUUACUAAAGGAGGCAAAAGAGAAAUGUAACAAAAAAAUAUUUUGAAUUCCAAGAAUGUUUCACUAUUCAAGAUGACUAACUGAGAGUCAUCAGACAAGAUACUAGGAAUGUGGGUGCUUGAAUGCAUUUGUACAGAGGUCAUACUAUUUACAAACUCUUCUGUGUUUCCAUAUGACUACCUACUUCAAUGUCACGCGAGCCAUUCAGGACACAUGGCACACAAGCUUGCAUGUCGAAUCCAUGAUUAAUUAUUUCCACUUGUGAUCUCUUACCAGUAUUUGUCCAGACUAGAAACGUGCAACACAUUUUUUGGAUAUGGACACGCAUAUAUUUGGACUAGUAUACAGGUCACCUUUGGAUGAGUACAAGGAUGACCGGGAGGGACUAAUGGAUACAAGGAAGGGACCAUCAGGAUUAAUAGUGACAUAUGCCACAUGACAAUCUUCAUUGUCAUGCAAUCCCUAUCAACAAUCAUGGAAUCCCUAGUGUACUAAUCCCUGGAGGGUUGUGUGGAAAUUUAUUUUACCUUGCGGUGAAAAUCUCAUGAGCAGUCAUUAGUUAAGCUGACUAGCUGAGAUAUAAUAGACAAGCUAGUAAGAUUGGGAGCAUCAAUGCAUCCAUACAGGGUCACAAUAUCCUUUCCAUUCACUUUUAUAUAUAACCCUACGAAUACAAGUCCAACGAAACGCGGGCCUUUCGAUCAAGAUAAAUUAAAUGGCCCACUUGUAUUUCUAAUCCAGGAUUAAUUAUGCCCUCUGUUCAUCUCUUGCAAGCACGUGCAACACAUUUUCACGAUAUGGACAUGCAUGGAGGUUAUUAUACUGUUUGGACAAACUCUGAUGUGCCAUGACCUGGGCCUGUUUGGUUUGAGUUGCUUAUUAUAAGCAACUUAAAGUUGCUUAAAGUUGCUUAUUUGAAGUUGCUUAUUUUUAGUCUAAACUGUUUGGAUACCCUUGCUUAUGAGCAUUGAAUGAGAUGGACAUUGUCAUAUUUGCCCCUUGUGUAGCUACCCCUCCAAUUUGCCUCCCCACCCUUCUUCUUCCUGCACACGCCCGAUCCCGGGGGCCGACGGCGGGCAGGGAGCAGCAGCAGCUGGCUGGGGCGGCGGUGGGGCGGGAGCGGCGGCGCACACCAGCAUGCGCUCGCACGCCAGGUGCUGGAGCGCGGCGAGGCAGUCGUCGUAGACCGCCGGGAGCGGGUGCUCGGGCGUGAGGCGGUACUCGACGGAGACAUCGAGCGUUGGGCGCGUGGCGGCGAGCGCGUUGAGGAAGCGAUGGUAGUGCGGCGACGUCGCGGACUCCGCCACGAAGCCGCCGCCGUGGACGUACACCACCACGGGCAGCUUCGUCUUGCCGUCGGCGGCCACGGCCGCGGCCUAGGGUGGCAGGUAGAGGCGGAUGGAGCAGGAGCCGAGGUCGACGUCCCCGGAGUCGACGCCCGUGGCGGCGUCCAGGCCGGGCCCGACCGGCGGCGGCACGAGCGACGCAGCCGCUCUUGUAAAUCCAGCAGGUCUGCGCGGAGGCGGGCGGCGGGCGGGAGCGGCGGCGGGUGGUGCGGAGGCCGGCGGCGGCGGGUGGCGCGGAGGAAGGGGAGCUGGUGAGUGGUGACAGGGGAGGGGGGAGAGAGAGAGGGGGGUAGGGUGCAUUGAAUGAGGGCAGGAGGUGUAAAGUGCACCUUUUAGUCCCCAUAAGCAACCAUAAGCAGCCCAAGAGUUGCUUAUUUACUUAUAAUAAGCAACCCCAUAAGCAAGAGUGAUUGGUUUCAUAAGCAACUUAUUUGCUUAUUUUAAGUUGCUUAUGCGUAAGCAUGUGAAACCAAACAGGCCCUUAACCUAUGGUUGUGGCACACAACCAUACAGUAGAUAGUAUUUAAUAAUGCUAUUCGUUUGGUAUGUGCAGAAGGGCACGCAUGAAAUGUCUGGCCCACGGUAAACAAGUACGGACGCUGCAAAUAAUCUACUCUGCUCGUCCAGUCCCUAGCCUAUAAAUAGAUGCCAUGCUAGCUCUUGUUGUGCUCACAAUUAAUCCGAUUACACACGAGCUUCUCUCCCUGGCCAAGACACAAUCAUAGUAUGAUGAAGAACAUGGCACUAGCCGGCAAUGGUAUGAAGAAGUUAAUCCUCGCUGUUCUCUUACUGUGUCUAGUUAUAGGGCAGAUACAAGUGGAAGCUAAGAGCUGCUGCCCAUCCACCACUGCAAGAAAUAUCUACAAUACCUGCCGUAUCACGGGUACAUCCCGUCCAACGUGUGCAAAACUGUCAGGCUGCAAAAUUAUCAGCGGGGACAAAUGCAAGCCCCCUAACGACCACCUCACCCUUGACCCGGACACUGGUAAAUAAUAAAUUUAUCUCACUUGAUUUCUUUGUGUUUUGAGUCGUUAAUGUAUUUUCCAUCUGAUGAAACGUAUUGGUUUUGCAUUGAAGAGGAAGUUAAUGUGCUUAACUUCUGCAAGUUGGGGUGUGCGUCGUCUGUGUGCAACAACAUCAACGCUGGUAAGCACCUUUUGCUCAGACAGAGAAAACAAUAAUCAUUAAUUAGCGGCAGCUAGAAUCCUAUAAUCUAAUAUAUAUAUAUAUAAUUUUAUCAGCUCUGGGAAAUGAAGAGGCGAACGAUGCCGUUGAGAGUUGCGACCAAGCCUGCUCUAGCUUCUGCAACGUGCACGUUGGCGCUGCCACCGUGGUUGCUUAAGCAAAUGCAUCCAACUGGAUCGUCCUUGUGCUGAAUAAUUGGAUAUCGUAUCCACUUAAAGCUGCCUUGUGUAGUACGUCUUUGUUUGUGUCUCUCUUUAUAUUCCAAUAAGGUCGGUGAUCUUGAUGCCACACACUCAGACGUGUGUUCAUCUCCAGAUACUACUCCAUGCUACCUACCCUUUGUGUUUUGUUCAAUAACUGGGUAUCAUAUUCCGGCCAGUGUGCCAUCUGUUUUGUGUUUAUUUCCUUCUAGUUCCAAAGGGGUCAUCAUGAUGUUACCUUCUUUCGAUAUGGUGCUUUGCAUGACUACUGUUGUAUGGUACCAUCUUGUUGGCCAAUAAAUACAUCUUAUCCUAUGACCCUUUGCUAUGACCCUUUGCAAAUAAGUACAAGAUUGUUAAAUACUCGGUAUAAAUUGACUACUGUUGUGAGUUCCCUUUCAGCUUAUUGUAGGCAUACAUUAUUGCUAGCACGGUGAAGACAACCAACACGAAUGAUCAAGUAAACGUACCGGUACUUUUGUAUACCAACACCCUUGCUUAAAUGUACCGGUGUUACUCCCCAUUGGCACAUAUAUUCUUUUAUGCUAGCCGGCUUGAAAAUUAACCGAUUAAAAUAAUUAUUUCAAGAUAGAAAUAACUUAUCGGCUUCUCGAAGCAUGUGUAAUGUGAAUUCAAGGACUCGAUGGAAGUUGAAUCGCUUCAUCUAGAUUGCUUUCAGGAUUUUGGGUAACUAAAUUUAACAUUUGCACAUACAAAUGUUAAUGUACAAAUGUUAAAUCUAGUUACCCAAGCAGAAUAUGAAGAUACUCUAUAGUAUAUAUAUACUAUAUAAAUCUAGUUAACAUUUAGUCUAAAUGUUAAAUCUAGUUACCUAAAAUCCUGAAAGCAAAAUGUAUAAAUAUAUAUCUUUUAAGGAAUCCCAAAGCAAGAGUUCAGUGGCAUUCUAUAGUCCCAUGCUGCUAGUUUGAGUUGGUCGAAGCCAACUUAAAUAGGAGAGCUCUCUCACUUCUCUAAAUACGUAACUGAAGGAGAGAAGGGGGCUUGGGUUAUACAAUGCACGCACGCACGCAUAUUUGCGUUCUUUUCGCGUAACCAACCAUGUGACUUGAAACUUGCGACGUAGCGUGCUGCCAAGUCAAGU
rnacentral:lncRNA from 1 species